UUUUUUUUUUUUUUGUUAUGUGAUUACAUGAUUAAUUAGUAAUUAUGGAAAUGAUCAAAUUUCAAAAUUUAUUAUAUAGAUUUUUUUUAUUUGUAUUGUAAUUCCUGUAGGUGAUGGAAGUUGUGGUUACAAAAGUACUCAAUUUGAUUUUUUACCGUUAAAACUUAAUUUAUUUUGUCAAAUAUUAGGCUAUUGGCGAUCCAAAAUUUUCAAGAGGUAACACUUAAUUUAUUUGCAUAAUAUUUGGAUAAGGGGGUAUAUUCUGAAAUAUUCCUUGUUGUUGUAUGAUAAGCAGAUUGAUUAUUAAAGAUUGAGUUGAUAUUGUGAGCUAAUUUAAUGUUUAAGUUGUCGUAUAAUAGUGCAAAUUGUUGCAGAUGUCCUUAGAUUUCAAUUCAAGCUUCAAUAGUUUUAUCAAAGGUAAUAUAUUUGAUAUGUUUGUAAUACAUACAUUCGUUGUUUAUGAAUUUAUAUAUAUAUUUUUAAUUGUAUUUAUUGUAAACAUUAUCUAUCGCUCUUUCUUAGUAAUAAGUUCUUCAAGCACACAAAUAUCAAUCCCAAAAUGACGUUUCAUUUCCCAUUUUCACAACAUCAACAGUAUUCAUAAACAAUGCAAUCUGAUUAGCAUCGACAACGCUAAAAUAUGAACUAAAUUUUGUUAGAAACAAGGAAUCCAUGCCGCUCUUUUGGAAAAACUAAGCUAAAAGACUAUCCCCAUAUUUGGACAUGUUAGCCGCCUAAGAUGUUGAUGUUCAUCAAACUGCCAAAUCAACAAAUAGUUUAACAAUGCACAACUACUUACAAACAUGAUGCAAUUCUGUCUUUUCUUCCUCAUAAAAGACAUUAGCACCAGCAAACUAACUAGAUUAUGCAACACAACAAUGAUAAGCGGAGAUAGCAAUUCUCAAGCUAAAGUAUAUAAACACUUGUAUCUUAGAUACUCUAACUACAUUGCACUAUCUCGGAAUCCAAGCAUAAUGGCGAAUUCAACAGUUUUUUACAUGUUGCUACUUGCGGCCCUCGUGCUCAACUGCCACUGUGAUGAGCGGAAGGUAUAUAUGUUAAAUUACCUACUUGUUGCUUCUUUCUCAUCUCUGCUGCCUACUUUAAUCUUGAUUUCCCUUAAACGCAUGCAUUGCGUAGCUACACGUCGUGUACAUGGGGGAUCGGCCUCAAGACGAUGCAUCCGUUGCAUCCACGCAUCAUACCAUGCUGCAGAGUGUGCUAGGAAGGUUGGUCAUUAAUUCUUCUUGAGUAGCAUUUACCUUUGGAGCAUUACAUAUAUAUAGAUAUGAAUGAUUAACAAUCUUUUGGUUCUUGUGAUUUCUUUGCAGUGCUUCAUUAGCAAAGGAUUCACUUGUCCACAGUUAUGGAAGAAGUUUCAAUGGAUUUGCAGCCAAGCUUAGUGAGGAAGAAGCUACAACCAUUGCAGGUAAGACGACAUCAGAGCAACACGUUUUCUUGAAAAAGAAUGAAGUGGAGUGUACUUACUUACAUGUGUAUAUCUGGUGCCAGAGAUGGAGGGAGUGGUCUCUAUAUUCCAAAAUCGCAAGCUAAACCUUCACACGACGCGAUCAUGGGACUUCAUGGGAUUCAGCAAAGGCGAACUUGGACCUGGCCAGGAAGGAAAUAUCAUCAUUGGAUUCAUAGACACCGGUGAAUGAUAAAUGUAUAGAGUUAGUUAGCUAUACUAAAAUCAUUGCGUUCUCUGAUGCCUUACAUUUGCUUUAUCUCUGUAGGAGCCUGGCCGGAGCAUCCUAGCUUCAACGACACAGGGUAUGGCCCUCCACCAGCUAAGUGGAAGGGAACGUGCCAAACAAAAAAUUUCACCUGCAACAAGUGUGCAUCCUCCAUACCUUUCUUUUGAUAAAAAAAAUAGUCCUCUGCAUGUAUAUUACUCCCUCCGUCCACGAAAUGAGUACCCAUUUGUGGACGGCACGAGUUUUAAGAAAUGUAUGGAGUGUAGUGUGAAUAGUUUAAGGGUCCCACUUUUUGAGUGUAUUAAUUAAAGAGAUGUGUGGGGUACACUUGCCAAAAAGGAAAAUGGGUACUCAUUUCGUGGACGGACGAAAAAGGAAAUAUGGGUACUCAUUUCGUGGACGGAGGGAGUACUAAUUAUGUGAAAAAUCUUGUUUUAUUUCAUCACAGCAAGCUCAUUGGCGCGCGCUACUACAACAGUGAAGAUAACUAUGAAGAUGGUGACAUCCCAUCCCCAAGAGACACUCUAGGGCACGGCACCCACACGGCCUCAACAGCUGCUGGUAAUGAGCUAGCUGGAACGAGCUUUCUCGGAUUAGCAGAGGGCCUAGCAAGGGGAGGAGUUCCAAAUGCAAGAAUAGCAGUGUACAAAGUCUGCUGGGUGAGCGAUUGUGGCGAUGCAGACAUCCUGAAAGCCUUUGACGAUGCAAUUGCAGAUGGAGUUGAUGUACUAUCAGUUUCCUUGGGCUAUACUGGGAUUUCUGAUUACUUUGAAGACUCCAUAGCAAUCGGAACUUUCCACGCCAUGAGAAAUGGGAUCUUGACCUCGUGUUCAGCUGGAAACGCAGGCCCUGAUCCCGUUUCACUCUCCAACUACGCACCUUGGAUACUCACUGUUGCUGCAAGCACCAUUGAUAGAAAAUUUGUUUCUAACUUAGUACUUGGCAAUGGAGAAACCUUGACAGUAUGUCAACUAUUCUCACUACUUGAGAUUAUAAUCUUUCACGUUACCUUGUGUUUUACUAAUGAAUUUGUGUCUGAAAUGAAGGGAAUCGCGGUUAAUAGCUUUGAUCUCAAUGGAACAUCCUAUCCUUUGAUGUGGGGAGGAGAUGCUGUGAACUAUACCUUUGGUUAUAGUCCAGCUUAUGCUUCAACAUGUGAUGAAGAAGCGAUGAAUCAUGCCAUGAUACCGGGGAAGAUAGUGAUGUGUGAAGGUUACCGGCAGGAUGGCUCCACCAUUCUUCUGUCCAACGGCAUUGGAAGUGUUAUAGUGGGCCAGGAUGAGAUCAAUCCUGACUACGCCUUCACCUAUCCGUUACCAGCAACACUAAUAAGCCCAGACGACGCCAAAAAGGUUAUGGCCUACAUAAGAUCCACUAAGUAAGACAAAACUUAGCUUCAUCUCAAGGCUCGUCCAUACUACUCUUAGCUUGCAUCUUUAAGUUUUUAACUAUUUUCAGAAACCCCGUGGCGACCAUCAUGGUUGGGGAGACCUGGAAAGAUGUUGUUGCUCCAAGGGUGGUUUCGUUUUCUUCAAGAGGACCUAGCCCUAUUAGCCCAGAUAUUUUGAAGGUGAAACAUCCAUCAUCUAUUUCAAAACUUCUUCAUCUGCAUAUACAUUUUCUGUCUAACUAUACUUACUAGAAUUACCAUGUCACAAUAUAUCUAGCCUGAUGUUACUGGCCCCGGUGUGAACAUCCUCGCCGGGUGGUCCCCACUUGCUUCACCUUCAAUGUACGACGGAGACACCAGAAGCGUCUACUUCAAACUAGUCUCGGGUACGUCCAUGGCAUGCCCCCACGCAAGUGCCACUGCAGCCUAUGUUAAAGCAGCACACCCUGAUUGGUCUCCUGCUGCCAUCAAGUCUGCAAUCAUGACAACAGGUAAGUUAGCACACAGAUUUAUAAUGAGUACUCCCCCCGUACUUAAAUAAGUGUCCCUUGCUGUCGAAAAACUCAUAUCAAGAAAGUGGGUAAUUUUACUCUUUGUGCGCCUAAAGAAAAUUGAAAUAGUAAAGAAUUUGUAAUGAUUAUAAGUUGGUAAAAUAUCGAAGUGGGAAGUUUUGCAUCAUUUUACCAUGGAAUUCUGAAGUGGAAUACUUAUUCGGGGACACAUUUCAUUUUUAAAUAGGAUACUUAUUGGGGGACUGAGGGAUUAGAUAAUGGUACAAUGAUUUCUGGUUUCUAAUAUUGUUUCUUGAUGAUAAAAACCAGCAUACGUUAUGGAUCCAAGACUCGAGACUAGCCUUGAAUUUGCCUACGGCUCGGGACAUAUAAACCCUAACGCGACAUUGGAUCCGGGGCUAGUCUUCAACGCAUCCGAAGCAGAUUACAUCAACUUCCUCUGCAAGCAGGGCUACAACACUACCACACUAAGACUAGUCACAGGAGACAACAGCACCUGCACCAGCACGACCCCUGGAAGAGCGUGGGAUCUUAACUACCCGUCGUUCUCACUCUACGUGGAAGACGGGCAACAGAUCAUGGGGACCUUCACUAGAACAGUCACGAACGUGGGUGCAACAAACUCAACCUACACUGCCAGCAUGUACAUGCCGCCGUGAUCAAUGUCAAAGUGGAGCCCUCAGUCCUCACAUUUUCGUCUACCGAAGAGACACAGACGUUCACGGUGACUGUCACCGGACCUGCCAUUACGCAGCAACCAAUCAUGUCGGGCGCCAUCAUGUGGAGUGAUGGAAUUCAUUCGGUCAGGACGCCUCUCGUGGUGUACAACUACUACCCUGGGGCUCCUUACACUACAGAUUUCGAGAAUUCUAUCACCAUGGAGGAAAAGAGAGAUAAGUUGAAGGGUUCUUUCAAGCAUCAUAGGAAUGGAAUGUUCUGAUUUAAGCCUCUCGUUUCAACUUUUCUCUAUACUGAUACAAAGAGAAAAAAAUAAAAAUUUCAAAAUAAGAUGGUUAAGUUCAUUCUUAAACAACAAAAAAGAAUUGAUAAAAUCAUGUAAUAACAUAAUUUAUUGCUCAGAAAACACAUAUAACUAUAUAAGCACUUUUAUGCCACGUGUCCAGGAAUUUUCAAUUUGAAUUCACGCAAGGAAAUUUUAUAUCUCUUCAAAUCUACAUAUAAUACUGGAAAUUAGCCCCCUCAAAGAAAAAAUAUACUGGAAAUUAGCACGUGGAGACGGUCAGAAUUUCAGCAAAAAUAGCAAGAUCAAAUUUUGGGCAAAGUAAUACAUACCCCUAGCAAUUUAGGCGUGAUUCUUUUCUGGUAUUAACACUAUAUGAAAGAUCUGCAGAUAGUUGAACCGAAGAUAUAUGAUGUUUUUUUUUUCCUGCAACAGUUAACUGUGAUAACUUGAAUCCAACUUGUUACGACAUUCUUGAUCACUUUAAAGGAAAGAACAAUCAAACCCUUAAGCAUAUGAAUGUAUUUCGAGUUAAGUUGAGCAAUAAGAUUACUGAAAUAAAAUCAUCAUUACGCAUACCUUUAUCCUUAAUUUAGUACUGCUGGACAAUUUUGAUCUUUCCACUUUGGUUUCAGACAAAAAAUGGUGUGCAUCUGAAUGGUGCAUCCGCCAGAACUAACUCAAAUUGUGGAUCAUUAAUCUCCAAUUAAGAAUUAAUAAACUUAAUUAGAAAUUACUAUUAUAUAACCCGUCGAAAUUCGACGAAUUUUAAAUUAUGAUUUAAAUUAUUUAUAUUAUUUUUGAAUAAUAUAAUUAUCUUUUAAUUAAUUUAACUUGAUGUAAUAGAGUUUAUGUUACCAAAAUGUUUUUGUUUCUUUGUGUCAUUUAUUGGUUGCUCAUUCUACUACGCUUCGGAUUCUCAUCCAUGGAAUGGCUUCUGCUAGGGUGACCCAAGAGAGACACAAGCAGGGACGGAGCCAGGAAUUAAGUUCGGGGGGGGGGGGGCGGAAUGAACGGGGUUCGGGGGCGGAGCCCCGAGAUUUUUUGGGCAUUUUGUAUAUUUAAGGUAUUUUUUUUAUUAAAAUACGAGCAUAAUACUAAUAAUAACGAACAAUAUUUUCAUAGAUUAUAUAGUUUCAAUAUAUCACAAAACUUUUUUUGGACAUUCCAUAUAAUUAAGACAUUUUUUAUUAAAAGGCAAACAUAAUAAUAAUAAUAACAAACAACAUGUUCAUAGAUUAUAUAUUUUCUAUAUAUUACAAAUUAGUUUCAAUACAUUAUAAUUUUUUUUAGCAUUUCAUACAUAUUAGGCAUUUUUUUAUUUAAAAGACAAUAUAAUAGUAAUAAUAACAAAAAUAUUUCAUAGAUUAUAUAGUUUUAAAUAACAGAAUUAUCCUUAAAUUAAGUAUAUAUGAGAGAAUAUAAUAACCAAAUACUCUUUUACAAAACAAAAUUAUUUUAUAAUAGGUAUAAACAUAUUUAUAUAUAUAUAUAUAUUUAAAUAAAAAAACUCAGAAUUUGGGAGAGGGCUCUAGCCCCCCCUGCCUCCAUCCCUAGACACAAGUAUUCAGAAAAAGAAGAGAAAAAAACAGGGAUGCGUCAGAUUGACUUAUCGCUGCAUUCGAUGAUGUGAGAGAUUGGGGGCCUUUCUUUGUGAUGAGGAGUAAUAUGUGCAGAGCAGAGAAGUGGUAUAAGUCAGAGAAGCGGGCUUCAUCAGAGAAACGGGCUUCCGCAGAGAAGUCAGAGGGAUGGGCCUUGACAGAGGAACGGUCUGCACCAGAGGAGCCAUCCUCGCCAGAUAAAUGGUCUUCGCCAGAGGAAUCACUAAAAGAGCGGGAAAAUCUCCCGCUUGAGGGCAAAUUUACUAUUAUGCCCCCGACCACGCAAGACGCAUGCUCUAGCAAUGAAAUUACCUUUUACCCUUAACGUGUAAUCUAUAAAUAGUCAUGAGCACGUACCUUGUAAACUUACGCUUACUUCACUUGCAAUACUACGGCAGCCAGAUUCUCGUGCUCUCAACUUCGUGUUUCUCUCUAGCUUUUCCAAACAACACUAGGUAUAAUUCGCAAUCCGAUAACAAUUCACCGAUCAAAUCUAUACUCACUCGGUUAUACAUCACCACUUUGCCAUCAAAAUUUGACAUCCCUCUCUAGCUGAGGCAAGAAGUAGUUCUCAACUAUUUUCACUUACCCCAAGAUGUUCUCUCUCCAUCAGAAUAACACUGUCUACAUCGGAUAUGCCAAGCUUUUCCACUACUGAUUUCAAGCUAAAUUUGAGAAAAUCAGCUGCAGUAUCUUCAAGCAUGUGGUUGGCAAGGCUUGAGACACGAAAAUUUCAAAGCUCUUAAACUGGUCCUCUCUCGAAGAACAUUCAAUGUCUUUAUGGAAAAUAAGUAUCUGCAUAUAUUCCAAAAUGAUCAAUUAGUAAACAUGUAUGCAUCACUAGUAAUAUUGAAGGAAGUAAUGAUUAUACUUACUUUAUCAGAAGCCACUUGUGUAAUAAGCCUUGCCCAGUCAUCUUCUGUGUGCACAGAACACAAUCCAUGAUAUUUGAAAAUUAGGAGAUCCUCAUGGUGAUCUUCAUCUUUGCGUACAAUAUCAGCGAUAUUUAUUCUCGUACAGAACCAAGCCUACAAUAACAUUGUAAUUAAAAAUAUAAAAUAUGUAACUGAAAAUAACCGAAACACAUAAGUACCCAAGUAACGGUCCCAUGCAUCCGAUUUGUGCAAUGGGCUAUUGUUCUUUGAUAUUUUUUUGUAGUUUGUAAAUAUUCUUCCAUAACACUCAUGGGGAUAUCCAUAGUACUCAAAAAAUUAUACCGCAAAGGUAAAAUAAAAAAGGUUGCAAACUCACUGACACAUGCAUAACAGUAUUGCAAAGCAUAAAAGCAACACUGCAAAAACGCAAUAAGUCUAUACUUACUUUAUCAGAAGCCACUUGCGUAAUAAGCCUUGCCCAGUCAUCUUCCGUGUGCACAAAACACAAUCCAUGGUAUUUGAAAAUCGGGAGAUCCUAAUAGUGAUCUUCAUCUUUGUGUACAAUAUCAGCGAUAUUUAUUCUCAUACAGAACCAAGCCUACAAAAGCAUUGUAGUUAAAAAAUAUAAAAUAUGUAACUGGAAAUAACAAAAAACACAUAAGUACCUCAAGUAAUGGCCUCAUGCAUCCGAUUUGUGCAAUGAACUUUUGUUCUUUGACAUUUUUUUUGUAACUUACCGGUAACUCUUGUAAAUUAUCAGUAAUAUUAAAUAAGUUGUAAGUUACCGGUAACUCGUGUAUGUUACCGAUAAUUUAUGUAACUUACCGGUAAAUCUUGUAAAUUUACCGGUAAUUUUAAGUAAGUUGUAAGUUAUCGGUGAUUUAUUAACUUACCGGUAACUCGUGUUAGAUUAGCUAUAAAUCUUUGUACGAUAUCUUGAAAUCGUACGGGGAAGAAUUGUCAAGUAAAUACAUUUUUCGGUUCGUUUAAACAUUGAACGAAAUUUCUCACUUCACACGCCACCUUGUGUAUCAUCCAUUAAAUUGUUCGAUUUCUUGAAAUCGUACGGGGAGCUUUCAAUUAAUGCAUAUCAAUGAUCUCUCAUGUGGCACAUAGUUCAAUUAUUUACAAAUAGGAAACACAAUGAAACGUAUUUGUUUCUUUGCUUUCUUGUUCUUGAUUUACACAUGUACUUCAAACCGUAUCCUCUUUGUAUCGGGUCGUUGAUUGGGUAUUUAAUGAUUAAACGAAUAAAAUUAUGUAAUUGGUGCGUCGUUUUACACCAAAAAUAUCCGGCAGUCAGCCGGUAUGCCCACACUGCGCAGACAGCAGUAAGCAAGAUCGUCUCCCAAGGGACUGGCGAGAAUUUCUCUAAUUAAAGCCUGCAAGUAACCCACGAAAAUUUGAGAAGAAAAUAUAGAAAAUACUAAACUUAAAAUUAAAUAAAUAAAAUCCAAAUAAACCAAUUUUUCCAAUAGCUAAAAGAUGAAUAAAAAUUCCAACAAUUAAUAAAAGAAUUCCAGCAAUCAAUUAAGUCCACUCUAGCUUAAUUAUUCCGAUCAUGGAUGCAAAAAUAACUUUAAAUUAUGCAAACAAACCAGUUAUAACCACCGAAGACGCUUCUGACGUGAUCUUAUUUCUCCUUAAUUAUUCGGUAACCAGGAAGACGCUUCACUAAUUACUACCCUAAUCGACUGACAACCGUAAGAGACGCUCUAUAGGUUUAAUGAGCCGACAGCAUUAAUAUCUAGAGAAACCCGAUUCAAAACCAAUAAACUCUGACGCAGGAUUAUUGAAUUAAGACUGCUUUUUCCUUGACCCUGAUGUGUCAAUUUACCACUAAUCAAAUCUAAACCACAAUUACGGAUGGCCGAUUCAAUUGACUAUAUAAUUAAUUCUAACCCAAUAAAUAUUUGCAACUAUCUAAUGGAUUAAAACAAUUAAUAUCAUUAAACAUGGAGAAUCGCAGAUGCAAGCAUAAAAUAAAGUAUAAGAACAAUUAGAUCUCACAUAAUAAUUUCGCUAGUGCUUCCCUAAUCGUUGCCGGAAUAAACGAAUUUAGCUAGAAAACAUAAUAAUUAAACAAAACAAAUAAAAAAUUAAAUUACGAAAAUAAUGGAAGAAAAAGAAACUUGAAUUGAAAAGCUCCAAAUUGCGUCUAAGUUCUGCUGCUUCAAAAACAAUGCGUCUGGAAUGUGAUCUGCUUCUCAAAAGUGGCGCUUGCUUCUAACUAAGGAAAAGUAAAUUAAAUACUAACCUAAACUAACUUAACAAAAAGUGGCGUAUAAGCCCAAACAACUAACCUAACAUAACUUAACAAAAAAGUGGCGCAUGGGCCCACUAACAAAUUAACUAACUUGUCCAAUUAACUUAAACCAAAAAAUAUGACGCUGCAUAGCUCACAAAACAAGCUUAAGGUAUUUCAACAUCUCUCAAUUAUAUUCGCCACUUUAGCAAUUCCAAAUAGCUCAAAUUUCAGCUUGUAAGUGUUCUGCUCAGCAAAACCUCCAUCCUUCAUAACUUCAAGCUUUCAAAAUUCUUCUCAAAACCAAAAUAUUUUCUUCAAAACCUAUCAAAUAGACAAAUACCAUCAAAAUUCAUAUAAGAUCAUAAUCAUAUCCUAAAGAUGAUAUUUAACACGAAUUAAACACAAAAAUCAUACUAAAAUCCCCCGAGUAUAAAUACACCCAAUCAUCUAAACAAGAAAAUAUUGUGCAAUAUAAGUUUUCACAAUUUUAUUCAUCCCAAAAGUUUCUCGCAUUUCAUUCGGAGAUCAUCAUCUCGAAAUUUUUUUAUAUUUCAUUAUGAGUAGUGAUAAAUUAACAUAAUAUAUUUUGGGGCAAUAAUGUCAAUUUGCUAUAUAUGAAAAAAAAAUUGUAAUUAAUGUAAUUAGAAUUUUACUUGAUUAGCUAGCCUCAAUAAAAAUUAAGGAAAAGAUUGAAAUUAAAUUUUGUUUUUAGAAUAUUCUGCCAAUAAUAGAUUUUUUUUAUAUAUUUAUAUAUUCAAAUAAAAACCUUCUAUAUACUCCUAUAACUUAAUUUGUUGUAGCGGUAGGGAAAUGUGACAAGACCCACCAACUGAGUUUAUGAAUUUGUGAUGGUGAGAUUCGAGCUAGAUUGUGUAUUUUAGGUAUAAGAUUUAUAUAUAAAGAAAACUUUAACAAAUCAAAUGAAAACUUAUCUCGAAAAACAAAGUAAUUUCCAAUCCUCCAAUCAAGAAUCUUUUCCUCAGAUUGUUGAGAACUUUAAGUAAUUUUUAAGUAAUUUUUUUUUGAAAUUAAAGGAGGUAUUUGAAUAUAAUUAAUUAUGCAAACCGCACGCAAACGGGACCUCGCCACCCAACGGCGGGAAGACAACAGAGAAACGCUCUGCGUGUGGGACCGCAACACUAAUACAACACCGCAUUCAUGUAGGAAUACAACACCGGAAACAUCGCCGUACGCAACUUUGCCACUAAAACAAUGCCUUAUUGACAUUUUUUAAGUAAAAUCGAUGCAGUCAUUUUGUAGUCCGAUUUUUUUCAUAAAAUUCUAGUUGUGCGUAACUUCUUUCAUAACACGAAUAAUGUAAUUUAUCUCAAGAAUCAAAAACAAAAACAAGAUUCUAAUUCCCCCCACCUACAACAAAAUAAAUGCGACACGAAAUUAAUUAAUUAAAUAUGUAUGUAAUAUGCUUACCUACCUACGUGUAUAAAUCAAGCAAAUGCGUGUUCUAGCUACUCUCUCACUCAUCUCAUCAAACAUUAUCUUUCUCCCUCUCUCUCUAUUUUUCACGCACAACACACAUUACGUGAAACGACGUCUUGAAGAUACAAUCAUCAACAAUAUUUGAAUGGCUAUCUCGAGAAGGUCUCGAGAAGCCCGACAAUGUGCUGCUUCGGACUUCUCGAGACCUUCUCGAGAUAGUCAUUCAGGCUGCCGUUUUUCAUAUAUUCGUAGAUCAAGUAGUGGCAGCAGAUUGCGGAGGCGAAUUUCUGCUUGGAUUUUGCGCAUUUUCAUGUUGGUCUCGUAUUUUGGGAGCUCCUGUGCAUCUAUGAUCAACUGUUCUGAUCAUCUUUAUGGCGAUUUCUUUGCCGGUAGAAUAUAUGGUUUUGUAAACCUUGGCCGCAUCCGUCCAGGUCUUCUUGUUUGUUGAUCAAUAGGCUGAAUAUUGUCAUGUCGGCCGGUGCCGAUGAUUAGCCUAAAAAUUGAGUAAAAGAUUAAUCCUAAAAGGAAUUAAUCCUCCAAUUACUCCAAGGGGAAGUCCGAGAAACCAGCCGAUUAUUAUUUUCUUAUUGUUAUUCUUGUGUUGCAAACCGGGUGACAAGGCUAGUUUCGUGCCGGCGCGGCGAGACAAUUUUCGGCGAAGCAGUAACAUUUUAGCAUUUGGAGGAAGACGAUGAGUAUGACUAAACUGAGGAGUGAUUUGGGUGAAGCCAUUGGUAGCCGUGGUGUUUGGCGAUUGAUUUGGUUGUGAUGUGAGAAAUUUAAUUUGUGCAGAGGUUACAUAUAUAUAUAGGUAAUUUAAUAUUUUGUGAGAAGUUAUGGGAAAAAUCUUAUAUUCCGAUUUUUUUAUCGUUUCAGUUAUUGUAUUUUUGUUCUUGUCAAAUUUUAAUUUUAAUCAUUUUUCCAUUCAAUUUUAAUGUUUUAAUAUAAUUUUAAGCGAAUUCACUAAUUCAAUUAAUAUGGUUUGUAAUUUUUUUGUAUAUAUUUAUUUUUAAUUGUAAAUUAAUAAUUAAUUAUUAAGGUUAAUUAAUCUAAAAAUUAAAUAUGUAUAUUUAAUUUUUUAAUAUUAAAAUAAAAUUAAUAGUGAAAUACAUGAGACAUAAUAAUCAAACGAUGUUAUUAUAUAAGGUGGAACACUAGAUCUCAUCCACUAAUAUUAACCCCCUUUGGCCUUCACAACCAAAAAAAUUAUGAAAAAAAUCCCAUUCCCACUAUUGCACUAAUAUUAACCUUUACCACCAAAAAAAUUAUGAAAAAAAUCCCAUUCCCACAAAAGAGGAGAGCGAGAGAGAGAGAGAAUGGUUAGAUUUAAACCUCCAAAUUCUACCUCAUUACCACCAAAAAGAGAUGCAUAUAAUCACAUCACAUGCCAUUAAAGAAGAGAUCAAGAAACCACAAUCAAGAGAGAGAGAGAGAGAAUGAGCUUACCGGAAGAUGUGAUCACAGAAAUCCUCUCAAGAAUACCGGCAACACCACUCCUUCGAUUCAAAUGCGUAUGCAAAUCAUGGCAUAACAUCAUCAACGAUCCCACAUUCAUCGCCAAGCACCACCAAACCAUCUCGGCCGCGCCGGAAUCCGAGGCGGUGAUGAUCAGCCGGCGCAGCAACGCCACCAACAGGCGGGUCCUCUCGCUGCUGAGGAGCCCCGACGACGUCGUCGACCACGACCUCCCGACGUUCCUCAACGACAUGUUCGGCCACGUCCGCCUCGUCGGCCCCUGCAACGGCGUCGUGUGCCUCUACGGGUACUACGACAACAUCGCGCUGUGGAACCCGGCCAUCCGCUGCUUCAAGAAGCUCCCGGCGUCGCAGCUGCCCCGCCCCUCGAAUUUCAAGGUGCGGGGAGGCGAUCUUGGGGUCGGGUUUGACCCCAAGACUCGUGAUAUCAAGGUAUCGUCGUUGCGUUAGAUAGAGCUGUCAAAAUUAGCUCGACUCGAAAAAAACUCGUAUAACUCAAUGAAAUAAGGUAUAGAGUAUAGACCAAAUUUUAGAUAUGUAAGAAAAUGGUCCAAAUUAGAGAUGCCAAAUGGGUCGACUUGGCCCAUUUGAUAAGAUAAGGUAUGGGCCUGCAACCAACUCGAAAAAGGCUGACCAUCGAAGGGGCCCAUACCCCUAAAAUUUGAGACCGAUUAAAUUUUGACUCGGCCCAGCCCAAAUUCUGCCUUGGCCCAAAUUUCAGACAUGUAAGAACAUAUAUGAUCCAAAUUAGAGAUGUCAAACGGGCUGGCUCGACCUGAGUCCAUCAGGCCGGGCCAGACCAGACCAGAUCGUUUCGAAAUAUAUUUGGACAACAAUUUUGACGACCCAACCCUAACUCCACUUUAUGCCAAUAGAUGAUGGCUUGGUCUGAUUUUCCAGGCUAGAAUGGCACGUGAGUCGGACUAUUUUUUACAGCUCUAUGAAAAUAAUGAAAAAUUAAUAUUAAUAUGUUUUUUAAAACCGAAAAACGUAUUUCUUUAUUUAAAUUGUUAUUUAUACUCUUAUAGAAGCCAUGUUGCUAUUUUCAUGCAGGUAUUGCAGAUCUUAUUUUGCGUUUCAAUGGAUUCCCAAAUUGUUUAUCAAGUUGAGAUAUACUCAUCAAGAAUGAAUUCUUGGAAGAAAUUGGAAUCUUCUAUGCCAGCAAAUAUCAUGUGCUAUAAUCUAUGGAGCAUGGUGUACAAGAAUGAAAAUUUCUGUUGGUGGGCCCAAGAUAAAAAUAAUGUUGAGGUAAUUCUUUCAUUUAAUAUGGUUGAUGAAGCAUUUGAAAUGACUCAAUUGCCCUCCGACAUUGAGCCACUAGGAGGGCAACAUAGGACUACUCGAGCUAUUAUGCCACUAAAAGAAUCACUUGCUUUGAUUGUGUAUCGACAAUUGGAAGAUGACAAGGUUUUUGAUGUGUGGAUUUUGAACGAGAUCGGAGGAGUUGAAGCUUGGAGUAAGUUGACGAGAAUCGGCCCGAUUUCGGGAGUCGAGAAGGUGCUAGGGUUUUGGAAUAAGUACGAGUGCAUUUUGGAGAGUAGAACGGGAGAGACGGUUUUGUAUAAUCGUGUUACUCGGAAGACGAAGAAUCUUGGGAUAUAUGGUAAACGAAGCAGGUUGGAAGUCCUCGUUCUUACAGAGAGCUUGUAUUCAGUGAAUUAAGCACGAAAUGAGUAUCCAUAUUUUCUUUUUCGUCCGUCCACGAAAUGAGUACCUAGCUAUUUCCCUUUUUGACAAGUGUAUCCCAAAAUCCUUUAAUUAAUACACUAAAAAAGUGAACCCUUAUUCUAUUAACCCACAUCGACCAUUUUUAAACUCGUGCUCCACAAAUGGUACUCAUUUCUGGACGAGAACCAAGGUAUGUGAAUAAACAUAAUGAGAUAAUAGAUUUUUAAAUUUAAAAGUGUUAGUGAUUCAAACUAGCGAAAAAUAUUUAGAAAGUUCAGUAAUUCAAGCUACCUUAUUGUGAAUUUUAUAACCAUUUACAAAAUAUGUGUCAUACUAUAANUCCACUUGCAAUCUCCUGCAAUAUGUUGUAUAUUAGUAUUUGUUUAAAGUAAUUUCGUGCUGUAAAAAAUUGUACAAUAGAGUUGUAAUAUCUAAUGUAUAGUUGUGUGAGGAAACCCUUUAAUUUUAAGGGGUUUAUAAUUCUAAAAUUGAUUGUACAUUAUAUCCAUGUUAUUGCGCAUCAUAAAAAAUUAUAUUUAUUUAACAUUGAUGUGAUAUGAUAAUUUAACUAUAUUUAAUAUAAUUGAUGUAUCCCAAAUAUUCUAAUAUAUCUAUAUAUAUAGUCUACAUUACGCGUAGAAUUGUCAAAAAUGAUUCGAUCCAAAGAUUUUAUGGCCCAUUAGGCCCAAAUAUGCACCCAAACCCAGCCCAUUUUUUAUUUUUGCAUUUUAAAAUUUCAACUUAUUAGUUUUAAUGAAAUUAAAUAUAAUCUUAAAUUCAAGCCAACCUAACAUCAUUAAAUACAAAGCGACAUUUUUCUUUAGUUUUUUUCCCCUAAAAUUUUAUAUCAAAAUCCCAUAUAAUUCAUUCAUAAUAAAAACUUAAAAUAAAGAUAAAUAAAUCCACAUAUUUCAAAGCCUUAAAUUAAUUUUUCCUCUCCCACCAAAAAUAAUGUCCCUUCCACUCAAGAACUUUUCUGCAAUCGUAAAUUUAAUUUCCCAAAAUCAUUUCCCUCAUUCCGCAAAAUGCACACAACUAGAUUAUCGGCAGCGAAAAGGGAGAUAGACCCAUCAGCUGAAUCGAAAAACCCAGGUCAGAAAUUUGUCAGAAACGAUUUAUUAAUGUUGAUUAAUACAAAAAGGGCUAAAAAAGUUUCAACUUUGAUAAUUAUUUACUGUUUUUUGAACUCGCAGAUGAUGAUUCUGUAAAGAAACUUCGUGUCUUUGUAAGGAAAAAGAGAGCUAAAAAAACCGUUCAAGCUAUAGUUGAAGCGAUUAAGCCUGAAACUGUUGAUCAAAAGGUAAUUUAUAUUUUUCAAUGCCUUUUGUAUUUGUGGCUUUUGAGGUAUUUCUAGUUUAAGGAGUGCUGUUGUGGUUAAAUGCCUUUUGUAUUUAUGGUGAUGAUUAGUUGACUAUGAGCUNAAGGAAACCGUUCAAGCUAUAGUUGAAGCGAUUAAGCCUGAAACUGUUGAUCAAAAGGUAAUUUAUAUUUUUCAAUGCCUUUUGUAUUUGUGGCUUUUGAGGUAUUUCUAAUUUAAGGAGUGCUGUUGUGGUUAAAUGCCUUUUGUAUUUAUGGUGAUGAUUAGUUGACUAUGAGCUCUCUAAUCUAAACAAAAUUCACACUUUAUUUGAACUAAAUGAAGUAAUAUGCGUAAGUAGCAGCUUUGCUCUUACAUUGAAUGCACAUUAAGUGUUUGAUGAAUUGCAGCCUUGCAGCCUACCUGAAAUUGAAGAUUUUGCAUAUGGGAAGCAAAGCAGUUUUUCUCGUUCGAGUACGUAUCUACCUUAAUUUAUUAUAUCCUAUUAAUCCAUCAAAGGAGUUGUAUGAUUUGGCCACAUUACUGCUCCUUUAUGUCUUCUCUUAACAAAUGAUUAUCCUGCAUUCAAUAGUGUGUUAUUGAGAUACGACUCUACAAUAAAAGCUCGCUUGUUUGCAGUGUCGUAUAUAUAGUUAAUGGGCGUUUUGUAGUUCAUUUGUGGAAAAAGCAAAAGUAGUUGAUGGAGGAUUUUGAGCUUCAAAAAGUUGAUGAUUCGUGCUCAAGGAGUACACUGGUCUAACAAUUUAAGUUAUUAAUUGUUGAAAUAAUUUUUGUAUGUUUGUUUUAAAGAUCAAGACUACUUUGGAAUCUGAUGGUUGAUACGAUAAGGUUUAAACUUUAAAAUGUAUGUGGAUGCUUGCAAUAGUUCAUCGAAUAGACUGCUUUCAUGAGGCGAUGCAUUCUAUAAAACAGUAUAAUUCGGCCGAACUUGAUGCAGUCCGAAUUUCCUUUUUUUCUUUUAAGAUGAAGUACAGCCUCCUUCUGACUGGGAAAAGGUCAUUGAAGGAAUUCGCAAAAUGAGGUCUUCUGAAGAUGCGCCUGUGGACUCAAUGGGGUGUGAGAAAGCCGGCAUUUCACUUCCUCCUAAGGUGGUUCUUACGCGAUGAUUAUAUGUUGUGAUGUCGUUUGUAUUUAUAUGCGAGUGGUGAAUGGCAAGGUGCUCCUCUAGAGGGGCGAAUGUUGUGAAUUAGGCUCAUCUUGUUUAUGUAUCCUUGUUGCUAAUGUUUUCAACAACCCUCCCCUCAUUUAAGGAAAGGAGAUUUGCAGUUCUCAUUUCUUCUCUGUUGUCGAGCCAAACGAAAGAUCAAGUUACUCAUGGCAAGUUCUAAUCUACUCAAGCUUUAAUGUCAAUAAACGAGUCACAUUCUUUGAACUACUUAACUCUCUCUGAUAUAUAUCUGUGUACAUAACGGGCAAAUUUUUUGCAGGAGCUAUUCAACGGCUUCUUCAAAACGAUUUGCUUUCAGCAGAAGCCCUCGCUAAAGCUGAUGAAGGUGCCAUCAAGGAAUUAAUCCACCCCGUACGCCCCUUUCCUUUUUCUUAGGAUUUCGUAACAGUAAUUUAUUCGAAGCAUUCGUAUAUUAGCCAAAGAAGUAUUCUACCUUGUAUGCUCCAUAACUAUCUCCUCAUUUGACAUUGUCCGUUAGUAGGUCGGUUUUUAUUCAAGAAAAGCAAGCAACAUGAGAAAAGUCGCAAAAAUUUGUCUCGACAAGUACGAUGGAGAUAUUCCUAGCACAUUAGAAGAGUUGCUCGAGCUUCCCGGGAUUGGCCCCAAAAUGGCUCAUCUGGUAUGAGAAAAGAUGUACCCUAUAUAUAGAAUCGCUUAUAUUAACGUUCUCUAUGAAACUACGUUUUUAUUUUCCUAGGUCAUGAAUGUGGGGUGGAACAAUGUACAAGGAAUAUGCGUAGACACUCACGUGCACCGUAUUUGCAAUCGCCUCGGAUGGGUUUCGCGCCCGGGCACUAAGCAGGUAAUCUUUGCAGCUAUGGCUUUCAUAAAAUGGGGCAAAAUAACCUGUGGAUUUUGUCGUUUUUUUGUUAGAGAACUUCAACGCCAGAGCAGACGAGAGAAUCUUUGCAGCUAUGGCUUCCUAAGGAGGAAUGGGUUCCCAUCAAUCCUCUUUUGGUAUAUUUUGUGUAUUCUCCAACUAUACACUUUCUGCGUGAUGCCGUCGUUUUUCAAUUGAGAGAUGAUGCUUUUACUAUAGGUUGAAUUGCUGGAAAUAUUGUUGUUGCGAUUACCCGAAUCUCAUGAUUUUUAAAAUGUUGCAAUCAUAACCACAUUUUUUAGCUUGCAAUUACAACAUCCUAAACUUUUUAGGGAAUAAAACUACGUCGUUUCAUUGGUGAAGCAACGAUUUUUUAGGGUAUACGAUUUUUUAGUGUUAUUUCCGACAAUUAACUCUUUACAUUAUUUGUGGAUUUGCAGUGUAUUUAUUUUCUCAAACAUAUUUUCUGCAUUUCUUGAAAAUAGGUAGGUUUUGGGCAGACCGUGUGCACUCCUCUUAGGCCGCGUUGUGGCAUAUGUGCAGUGAGUGGUUUUUGCCCGUCGGCCUUCAAAGAGGCGCCUAGCCCAUCACCCUCACCGAAGAAAAAACGAGCCGAGCAUUCGUAGAUUAGUUGCACCAAGUAUGUAGAAUUUUGUUGUAUAACUCAUUGUUUUUGUUAAGGCUCUCGUGCAAUUGUACGUUCUGAGGGUGAAAGGUAAUGUAGAGUUUCUACCUUGAAAAUGCCCCAAGUAAAUAUAGCCUUUAGAUUUUGAUUAUCUUACUCAAAUGUGUUUGAAUAUGUAUGAUUGUUGGGGCUGGCCUAGUUGGCCAUUUAAAAUAUUUUGGACAUCACAAUAGCACUUUUUAAUUUUUGGUGGGCCACACUCAAUUAAAACAUAACACUCAAUUUCUUAAUCUCUGUGCCUCUAAGUGACCCUCUAACUGUUGGAAGAAAUGACUAAAAGAAUCUGGUAUGCUGAGAAGAAGAAGUGCUCCAAGCCUCCAACUGUUCAUUUAUUAUUAUCGCAUUGCAACUCGAAUUUAGUUGUUUGUGAUUCAUCUCGAUCAAAACAAACAGAACAUUCCCGCUAACGCGCAAAUAUAUAAUUUGUACUUAUAUUUUUCUCAGAUAAAUGGUAAUCUAUAUCUAUUAUAUCGAAUGAACAAACUCAUGGUUGGUAAUUUAUAUCUAUAUAUACCCUAUUAUAAAACAUCUUUAUUUUACAAAAUUUGAUUUGCCGUAUAUAUCCCUCAUAUAUACUCCCUCUGUCCCAAACGAAAUUUCCUGUUUUCCUUUUUGGGCUGUUCCAAACGAAAUGUCCUGUUUUAUUUUUUGGCAAUACACUCUCUCUCUAUACUUAAUAUUUAAAUAAUUUACACCAACCCACUUUAUCUACUUUAUACACAUUUCUUAAUCUCCGUGCCGAAAAGAAAUAGGACAUUUCGUUUGGGACGGAGGGAGUACUUAAUAAGGUCAAUUAUGUAAUUUAAUACUCCCUCCGUCCCAACUUAUAGUAUUCGUCUUUUAUUUUUUGGCCGUCCCACAUUUUGUCAUUCAUUUCUAUUUUUAAUAAAAGUAGGUGGGACUUUUACUCCACUUUCAAUUAUUUUAACACUCACAUAAAAGGUGAAAUCCUUAUUCCACUCAUAAUACACUCAAUUACUUUAUUUAAACCCGUGUCAAUCUCAAAUGAAUACUAAAAGUUGAGACGAAGGGAAUAUAUUAUACAUUAAAUAAAUCUAAAAUAUAUUUGGUUUAUGUUUUAUAUUUUAAUAAUUAUUUAAGUAGUAGUAUCCAUUAGAAUCUUCAUCGACAUAAAUUACUAUUUUUUACUAUGUAAAUUUAAUAAUUUAAAAUUACAAUCGAAAGGAUUUAUUGCUUUAUUAGAAGUUUAAUUUUGCUAGAAUCCUUGGAAUUAAAAUUAAUUUUGUAAAGAUGAAACCUAAAAAUAAAUAUGAAUUUCAUAUCAAUUUUCUUUUCUUUUUGGUUGUAUUUUUUUUAAUUAUGAUAAAAUUAGGCGGUGCUUAAUUAACUAAUUAAAAUUAAAUUUGAAUAUUAAAUUUAGAUUAUUUUUAUUUUAUUUUUAUGAGUUUUAAAAUAUUAUAAUCGUCAAACAUUAUCAAAUAAUGCUUCAAAAAAUAUAUUAAAAUGAUAAUUGUUACUAUAAUUAUGUUCAAAUGCACGUCAUCUUUGCUAAUCUUUCUAAGUUGUAAUUGGAUUGUUUUUUUUUUUUUUUCCUUUACUUAUCCUUUUUUGUAAAUUGGGUCUAUGUACUUUCACCUUUUUUUUUCAUAGCCUUUUUAAUUUCGUUUGUAAACUUUACGUUGGUGUAUAUAUAUUUCUUCUAGAAUGGAUGUUUUUGUUUUUGUAUACAACUCAAACACUUCAAAAUAAGCUCGAUUUUAAAAGUAUUGAUGGCCUGGGUGUUUGUGUUUUGUAUUCAAGGCAAACGACGUAGUUUUGUUUCUGAAAAUAUCAGGAAUGUUGUAUCAUUCUAAAAGAUUUAAAAAUGGUGUUAUGACUGGAUCAAUAAUAGUCAUUUCAUUAUUCAGUGAUUAUGUUUUAUUGUAGAAUGUCACUUUCCAAUUUGGACUUUUUUUUCUUUAAAUUGCGAGACAAUUCCAACAUCAAAUUAAAUUAUCAUGAGCUAUAUGUCUGGAUUUAUAUUGAUAUUAAUUAAUCACAGCACACUUCAUCUGACUUUUGUCCUUGACUUGCAAGUCGUCUAAUUGCAUUUUAGGAAUUGUUAUAAUCAUGUAUUAACUUUCAAUUUUUGUAUCUAGAUUUUAGUUAAGAGGAUGAAUCAUUUUUCUUGCCCCUCUUUCACGUCGGUUUAUUCAAGGAGGUAAAUAGUAACUCUUUCCACGUUAACGUAUCAUGAAUUAUCUUCAAACAAUUUCAACUCCAUCCGUCCCACGAAUCUUACGAAUCUUGAGUCACUUCUUUUCGUCUUAAACACGCAUCACUCCAUCUUCCUCGAUGGAGUCCGUUGUGCGCGCCUACGUUUCUAAGGCUCUCUCUGUCUCUCUCAAAUCGACGAAAAAUUCUUCGUCUCCCUUUCUUCUUGAAUCUGACACGAUGGUGGAAGAAACUCCGUUCUCGGAGAUGGAUGUAUGUGAAUCGGACACUGUCGUGCCGGAAACCGAAGUGGCGCCGUGGUUGCUGCCGGAAACCGACGCGGCGCGCCUCCCUCUCUCUGAAUAGGAGUCGAUUCUACCGGAAUCCGGAGCGGCGACUUUCGAUCUCUGUGAAUCGCCGGAAUACAAUUCUGAUGGCUUCCAUCUCUCUGAACACAUCAGACGAGAGAGGGAAAAGGCCAAGCUUUCUUAGUCUCCGUGUCCACACCCAAAUAGGGCAUUAAAUCAUGGACGGAGGGAGUAAUUAAUAUUGAGAGUUGUGAAAAAGUGAAAGUAAGAGUAAUUAUAAGUGGUGGGGUAUAGUCAAAAAAUAGAUAAUAAGAGUAUAAUUUUAUACACAGUUUGAAAGUGACAUUUGCAAUAUGUGAGGAAACAGAUAUGUUUUGGCCUAUUUAUUACAUUUACUGCUCACGAUUUGUCUAUAAAUAUAGGAUCUAUCCCAGCAACAUUUCUCAUCCUAAACAAAAAACACAACUAUUUCACAACUCGAAGAAAAAUGAGUUCCAAACUGAUUGUUCUUCUCGGCCUUUUAGCUCUUCUAGUUUCUUCAGAAGUAGCUUCAGCCAGCAGAGAACUUGCUGAGACAACUAAUGCUAUCGACGAUCCAUGUAAGAAAAUUCUUCAAUAAUAUAUAUAUAUAUGUGUGUGUAUUUUUUGAUACAAAUUAAAACUAAUUAAAUAGAGCACAAGUUUCCGCAAUUUGGUAUCAUCCAUUUUUUUUUAUAUAUAGAUUAACAAGAAAAUAAAAAAAUUAAAAGAUCGCGAUGCGAUGAACUUGAACCUAGAACCUCUGGUCUUGGCAUUAAUCCCAUUGCACACUAGCGUUAGGCGAACACACAUGUGCGCACUUUUUUUCUAAAAAGUACACGCAAUGUAUGUUUAUAUUGUUCUGAAAAUGUCAAAAUUAUAAAUUUAUUGAUUACUUUAAUGCCUAAGGCCAAAGGUCUUGAGUUCGAGUUCUCUGUGGCGCGACCUUUUAAUUUCUUUAUUUAAUAUUGUAAAUUUAUCAAAAUAUAUAUAUAUAUAUAUAUAUUGAUUACUUGAACAUGCAUGUAGUGGAGAAAGGGUCCCCACCAUUUUUUGAAAUGAGUGGUUGAGAUUGAAUUUAAGAUGGAUUUUUGGUAAAUAAAGGGUAUUUGUAAGGAUAAAAGAUAAGAAAAAAAGAUGUCAGCCAUGUUCUAAAAAGGAAAGUGCAUACUUUUGGUGGACACAGAAAAUGAAUUCAAUAGGUCAUGUUUCCUUAUUUCAAUAGACUAUUUCCUAAAAUGGAAAGUCAAUACAUAACAAAUAUCCUCGUAUAAGGUUAUCGUAAUUAUCAUAGCGGUGGAGGUUUUCCGCCUGGCGAGGGCGGCGGAUAUGGAUCAGAUUGUGAUGGCGUUCGAUUUGGAGGUGGUCAUCCUCCCAGCGGCUGAUAUGUAGGUUAUCUGCCUCCCAACGCGCGGCGGAUAUUGAGGUUAUCCUAGCGGUGGAUAUUGAGGUUUUCCCGGCGGUUGCAGCGACUGCUGAUGAAAAGGCGGACGUCGACACUCAGAACUAAGCAAGGCAGCCUUAUAAUUAAGCCUAAGAUGUAAUGAAUAAAAUGCAUGCUCGUGGUGUGCCGGUUUUACUUGUUAUAUAUAUUAUGAUGAUGUAACCGUCUGAUUUAUGUAAUUUUGCUUUCGCUAAUACACCAACUUUUAAGUAUUUUUAGUUUGGGGGACACUUGUGUGCGCGCAAGUUUAAAACUGCGCGCAUGGUGAGCGCUAUAUUAAAAGAAAAAAUAAAAAAAUACAACGGUUUACUAGUAUUAGGCUUUUGCAUAUUUUUUUUUCCUUUUUUUUGUUUUUUUUUNUCAUUUGCGUUUUUUAUGUUUUUUUUUCCAAGGCACUUCUAUACCACAUCGAAAAGUAUAAUUUCAUAUAUUAAAGGUGUCAUUUAUUAAAAAAAAUAGUGUCAUUUAAAUAUAUUAAAAAUAUUAUUUAAAUAUAAAUAUAAUACUCCCUCCGUCCCAAACGAAAAGUCCUAUUCUUUUCGGCACGGAGAUUAAGAAAUGUGUAUAAAGUAGAUAAAGUGGGUUGGUGGAAAUUAUUUAAAUAUAAGUAUAGAGAGAGAAUGUAUUGCCAAAAAAGGAAACAUGACAUUUCGUUUGGGACAGCCCAAAAAGAAAAACAUGACAUUUCAUUUGGGACGGAGGGAGUAUUAUUUAUUAAUGCAUAUUUACAUAUAUUAAAGUGUCAUUUAAAUAUAAAAUAAUUAUUAAUGCAGAUGGUGUUAUUUAAUAAAAUAGUGUCAUUUAAAUAUUUUUAAAGUGUUUUUUACUAACAAAAAUAAUAUCAAUGUUAUAGUGUCAUUUUUUUUAUCCGAUAAACAAAUGACACUACAAUAUUUCAAAAGACACUACUCCGACAAACAAAUGAUACUAUAAGAUUUCAAAUGACACUAUAACAUUUCAAAUGACACUACUCUGACAAACAAAUAACACUAUAUGAUUUCAAAUGACACAAUAUGAUUUCAAAAAACACUAUAAUAUUUGAAAUUACACUACUUGGACAUACAAAUGAUACUAUAACACUUGAAUAUUUCAAAUGACACCACAAAAUUUCGAAUGUCACAUUAACAUUUCAAAUUACACUACUUCGACAUACAAAUGACACCAUAAGAUUUCAAAUGUCACUAUAACAUUUCGAAUGACACUUUGACAUUUCAAAUAACACUACUCUGACAAACAAAUGACACUGCAAGAUUUCAAAUGACGCUAUAAGAUUUCAAAUGACACUUUGACAUUUCGAAUAAUACUAUGUCAUUCAAAUGCCACUAUAAGAUUUCAAAUGACACUAUAAGUUUUGAAAUGACAGUAUUCCAACAUAAAAUAAUAUUAUAACAUUUCAACAUUUGAAAUGACACUUUAACAUUUCAAAUGACACUUUAACAUUUCAAAUGAAACUAGAAGAUUUCCAGUAAAUAGGGAUUUUGUAUAUUUAGUUUAAUAUUAAAAAUAAUCGAAAUAACUUGAUUAGAUAUUUAUACAAUGUUCUUGUUUCAUGAUCCUCGUACUUUUUACAAUUUUUUUAUUUGAUUCUUAUUUGAAAUAUUUAGUAAAUUGAUUAUCUUCCGCAUCACAACACUUCAUGUGGUUGAUACAACAUGUGGAGCUUGAGCCAUCUAAGUGGCCCUCUAACUGUUCGACGAAAUGACUAAAAGAAUCUGGUAUGAUGAGAAGUGCUCCAAGCCUCCAACUGUUCAUUUUUUAUUAUCGCAUUGCAAUUCGAGUUUAGUUGUUUGUGAUUCAUCUCGAUCAAAACAGACAGAACAUUCCCGCUAACGCGCAAAUAUAUAAUUUGUACUUAUAUUUUUUCUCAGAUAAAUGGUAAUCUAUAUCUAUUAUAUCGAAUGAACAAACUCAUGGUUGGUAAUUUAUAUCUAUACCUAUUAUAAAAGAGCUUUAUUUUACAAAAUUUAAUUUACCUUUUAUAUCCCUCAUAUAUACUUAAUAAGGUCAAUUAUGUAAUUUAAUACUCCAUUCGUCCCAACUUUUAGUAUUCAUCUUUUAUUUUUUAGUCAUCUCACAUUUUGUCAUCCAUUUCUAUUUUUAGUAAAAGUAGGUGAGACUCUUACUCCACUUUCAAUUAUUUUAACACUCACAUAAAAGAUGAAAUCUUUAUUCCAUUCACAAUACACUCAAUCACUUUAUUAAAACCCGUGCCAAUCUCAAAUGAAUACUAAAAGUUGAGACGAAGGGAGUAUAUUAUACAUUAAAUAAAUCUAAAAUAUAUUAUGGUUUAUGUUUUAUAUUUUAAUAAUUAUUUAAGUAGUAGUAUCCAUUAGAAUCUUCAUCGACAUAAAUUACUAUUUUUUACUAUGUAAAUUUAAUAAUUUAAAAUUACAAUCGAAAGGAUUUAUUGUUUUAUUAGAAGUUUAAUUUUGCUAGAAUCCUUGGAAUUAAAAUUAAUUUUGUAAAGAUGAAACCUAAAAAUAAAUAUGAAUUUCAUAUCAAUUUUCUUUUCUUUUUGGUUGUUUUUUUUUAAGUAUGAUAAAAUUAGGCGGUGCUUAACUAAUUAAAAUUAAAUUUGAAUAUUAAAUUUAGAUUAUUUUUAUUUUAUUUUUAUGAGUUUUAAAAUAUUAUAAUCGUCAAAUAUUAUCAAAUAAUGCUUCAAAAAAUAUAUUAAAAUGAUAAUUGUUACUAUAACUUUCACCUUUUGUUUUCAUAGCCUUUUUAAUUUCGUUUGUAAACUUUACGUUGGUGUAUAUAUAUUUCUUCUAGAAUGGAUGUUUUUGUUUUUGUAUACAACUCAAACACUUCAAAAUAAGCUCGAUUUUAAAAGUAUUGAUGGGUGUUUGUGUUUUGUAUUCAAGGCAAACGACGUAGUUUUGUUUCUGAAAAUAUUAGGAAUGUUGUAUCAUUCUAAAAGAUUUAAAAGUGGUGUUAUGACUGGAUCAAUAAUAGUCAUUUCAUUAUUCAGUGAUUAUGUUUUAUUGUAGAAUGUCACUUUCCAAUUUUGACUUUUUUUCUUUAAAUUGGGAGACAAUUCCAACAUCAAAUUAAAUUAUCAUGAGCUAUAUGUCUGGAUUUAUAUUGAUAUUAAUUAACCACAGCACACUUCAUCUGACUUUUCUCCUUGACUUGCAAGUCGUCAUUUUUAGGAAUUGUUAUAAUCAUGUAUUAACUUUCAAUUUUUGUAUCUAGAUUUUAGUUAAGAGGAUGAAUCAUUUUUCUUGCCCCUCUUUCACGUCGGUUUAUUCAAGGAGGUAAAUAGUAACUCUUUCAACAAGUGAACUAGAAUAGAAACAAGUAAUACACAGAAAUAAAAUAAAUAAGUUAAAAGACUAAGCCAUUUCCACGUUAACGUAUCAUGAAUUAUCUUCAAAUAAUUUCAACUCCAUCCGUCCCACGAAUCUUACGAAUCUUGAGUCACUUCUUUUCGUCUUAAACACGCAUCACUCCAUCUUCCUCGAUGGAGUCCGUUGUGCGCGCCUACGUUUCUAAGGCUCUCUCUGUCUCUCUCAAAUCGACGAAAAAUUCUUCGUCUCCCUUUCUUCUUGAAUCUGACACGAUGGUGGAAGAAACUCCGUUCUCGGAGAUGGAUGUAUGUGAAUCGGACACUGUCGUGCCGGAAACCGAAGUGGCGCCGUGGUUGCUGCCGAAACCGACGCGGCGCGCCUCCCUCUCUCUGAAUAGGAGUCGAUUCUACCGGAAUCCGGAGCGGCGACUUUCGAUCUCUGUGAAUCGCCGGAAUACAAUUCUGAUGGCUUCCAUCUCUCUGAACACAUCAGACGAGAGAGGGAAAAGGCCAAGCUUUCUUAGUCUCCGUGCCCACACCCAAAUAGGGCAUUAAAUCAUGGACGGAGGGAGUAAUUAAUAUUGAGAGUUGUGAAAAAGUGAAAGUAAGAGUAAUUAUAAGUGGUGGGGUAUAGUCAAAAAAUAGAUAAUAAGAGUAUAAUUUUAUACACAGUUUGAAAGUGACAUUUGCAAUAUGUGAGGAAACAGAUAUGUUUUGGCCUAUUUAUUACAUUUACUGCUCACGAUUUGUCUAUAAAUAUAGGAUCUAUCCCAGCAACAUUUCUCAUCCUAAACAAAAACACAACUAUUUCACAACUCGAAGAAAAAUGAGUUCCAAACUGAUUGUUCUUCUCGGCCUUUUAGCUCUUCUACUUUCUUCAGAAGUAGCUUCAGCCAGCAGAGAACUUGCUAAGACAACUAAUGCUGUCGAUCCAUGUAAGCAAAUUCUUCAAUAAUAUAUAUAUAUAUAUAUAUAUAUAUAUAUAUAUAUAUAUAUGUGUGUGUGUGUGUGUGUGUGUUUUUUGAUACAAAUUAAGUGCUCGUUUGGUUCAAGUAGAGGAAUGGAAAGGGAAUGGAAUCAAAUAAAGGAGUGGAAUGGUAACAAUAACCAUUACUUUUAUUGAGUGUUUGGUUUAACAAUGGAAAUGCAUCAUUAGUAAGGGAAUCUCUUUCUUUUGUUUCCCCUCUAUUUUGAGGGGUAACAAAUUGGGUGAUUGGGUUACCCUUAAGUAAGGGUAAUGAUUAUCUCAUUACCCAAACCAAACAACAAGUAAUGGAUUCAAUUACUUGAUUCCAUAUACAACCUCUAAAAUCACCCAAACAAAGUUAAAACUAAUUAAAUAGAGCACAAGUUUCCGCAAUUUGGUAUCAUCCAUUUUUUUUUAUAUAUAGAUUAACAAGAAAAUAAAAAAAUUAAAAGAUAGCGAUGCGGUGAACUUGAACCUAGAACCUCUGGUCUUGGCAUUAACCCCAUUGCACACUAGCGUUAGGCGAACACACAUGUGCGCACUUUUUUUCUAAAAAGUACACGCAAUGUAUGUUUAUAUUGUUCUGAAAAUGUCAAAAUUAUAAAUUUAUUGAUUACUUUAAUGCCUAAGGCCAAAGGUCUUGAGUUCGAGUUCUCUGUGGCGCGACCUUUUAAUUUCUUUAUUUAAUAUUGUAAAUUUAUCAAAAUAUAUAUAUAUAUAUAUAUAUUGAUUACUUGAACAUGCAUGUAGUGGAGAAAGGGUCCCCACCAUUUUUUGAAAUGAGUGGUUGAGAUUGAAUUUAAGAUGGAUUUUUGGUAAAUAAAGAGUAUUUGUAAGGAUAAAAGAUAAGAAAAAAAGAUGUCAGCCAUGUUCUAAAAAGGAAAGUGCAUACUUUUGGUGGACACAGAAAAUGAAUUCAAUAGGUCAUGUUUCCUUAUUUCAAUAGACUAUUUCCUAAAAUGGAAAGUCAAUACAUAACAAAUAUCCUCGUAUAAGGUCCUCCUAAUUUGGGAAACGGUCAUGGAGGUUAUCCGCCUGACCAAGGCCGCGGAUAUGGAUCACGUUGUGGCAUUCGAUUUGGAGAUGGUUAUCAGCCGCCUCCCGGCGGCUGAUCUAGUAGGUUAUCUACCUCCCAACGGCGGAUAUUGAGGUUAUCCUAGCGGUGGAUAUUGAGGUUUUCCCGGCGGUUGCAGCGACUGCUGAUGAAAAGGCGGACGUCGACACUCAGAGCUAAGCAAGGCAGCCUCAUAAUUAAGCCUAAUUAAGAUGUAAUGAAUAAAAUGCAUACAUACUUGUUAUAUAUAUUAUGAUAUUAUGAUGAUGUAACCGUCUGAUUUAUGUAAUUUUGCUUUCGCUAAUACACCAAGUUUCAAGUAUUUUUAGUUUGGGGGACACUUGUGUUCGCGCAAGUUUAAAACUGCGCGCAUGGUGAGCGCUAUAUUAAAAGAAAAAAAAAAAAAAUGCAAUGGUUUACUAGUAUUUAUAUAUCUGUGAAUGAAAUUAAUAUCAAAAGAACGUGUAGCGGAGUUGGUUAUAGGUCGUGGGUUCAAACUUCAGUGGAGUGAAAUAAUCCAUACGUUUAAUUUAUUAGGCUUUUGCAUAUUUUUUUUAUUGCGUUUUUUAUGUUUUGUUUUUCCAAGGCACUUCUCCACCACAUGGAAAAGUAUAAUUUCAUAUAUUAAAGGUGUCAUUUAAAUAUAAAAAUAAUUAUUAAUGCAGAUGGUGUUAUUUAAUAAAAUAGUGUCAUUUAGAUAUUUUUAAAGUGUUUUUUACUAACAAAAAUAAUAUCAAUGUUAUAGUGUCAUUUUUUUUUUAUCCCAUAAACGAAUGACACUACAAGAUUUCAAAAGAUACUAUACCAUUUCAAAUGACACUACCCGACAAACAAAUGAUAGUACUAUAAGAUUUCAAAUGACAUUACUCUGACAAACAAAUAACACUAUAAGAUUUCAAAAAACACUAUAAGAUUUGAAAUGAUAUUAUAACACUUGAAUAUUUCAAAUGACACCACAAAAUUUCGAAUGUCACAUUAACAUUUCAAAUUACACUACUUCGACAUACAAAUGACACCAUAAGAUUUCAAAUGUCACCAGGGACGGAGCCAGGAAUUAAGUUCGGGGGGGGCUGAACUUGUACGGGGGGGCGGAGGCGGUACGGCCCCCGAGAAAAUUUUUUUUGGGCAUUCUGUAUAUUUAAGAUAUUUUUUAUUAAAAUACGAGCAUAAUACUAAUAAUAACGAACAAUAUUUUCAUAGAUUAUAUAUAGUUUCAAUAUAUCACAAAAAAAAUUUGGACAUUCCGUAUAUUUAAGACAUUUUUUAUUAAAAGACAAGCAUAAUAAUAAUAAUAACAAACAACAUGUUCAUAGAUUAUAUAUUUUCUAUAUAUUACAAAUUAGUUUCAAUACAUUAUAAUUUUUUUUAGCAUUUCAUACAUAUUAGGCAUUUUUUAUUAAAAGACAAGUAUAAUAGUAAUAGUAACAAACAAUAUUUCAUAGAUUAUAUAGUUUUAAAUAACAUAAUUAUCCUUAAAUUAAGUAUAUAUAUAUGAGAGAAUAUAAUAACCAAAUACUCUUUAUAAACAAAUUAUUUAUAAUAGUAUAACAUAUAUACUAUAUAUAUUUAAAAUUAAAAAAAAAAAUUAGGAGGGGCUUACCCCCCCCCCCCCCCCCCCCGGCUCCGUCCCUGACUCUAGGUGCACAUAGUUCGGUUUACCAAUCAAUUAUCCAACUAAAAUCUACAAUCUAUAUCUAUAAUUUAUAAUAUAUAAUAUAUUAAAAACGUAACUUUUAAAUUAAAAUUAAUUUUAAAAUUAUUUGACAAUUUUAUAUUAUUUUUUUUCUUUUUUUUAUUUUAUUUUUUAAAAUUAAAAAAUUCUACUAAUUAUAAAUAUUUAAUCUACAUAUCAAAUUAAAAAUCACGAUAAAAACUUUAAUUUAAUACUCUCUUCGUCCCUUUUAAAUAUCUCAAAAUUAUAGGACAAUUCUAUAAUUUUGAAACAAUAAUAUAUUAAUAUGCAUAUGAGCUCGGACGUCAUGAAAUCUUCAAUAAGUCAUAAGGUGCUCCUCGUAAUUAGAAUGGCAAAAGGAUAAAUAAGUCGAUCGAUAAACAAAGAAUAGAGCAGAUAGUGGAAUUCGUGCUUGGAACUUGAAUUUUAGGUAUCAAUUAAUGCUAUCAUCCGUCCACAAAAUAUUUACUUAUAUUUCCUUUUUAAUCCGUCUAUCAAAUGAAUACUCAUUUCCUUUUUUUUUAUGAGUGUAUCUCACACAACCAUUCACAAUAAAAAUGAAUCCCUUAUUCCCACCCACACACUUAAUUAAUUUCUUAAAAUUAGUGUCAUCUCUAAAUGAGUACUCAUUUCGUGGAUAGAGGGAGUAUCAAUUUUGACCAAGACGUAGAAAAUGAAUCUCAGGUGCAGUCUUCGAGUAGUGGCUUUGUGGAUUUUAUGAUUUAUGUUCCUUAUAUAUUCUCGUUGUCCCUCAAACAUCUUCUUAAAAAAUGGUGAUACGAGUUUUAAUAAAAGUUAAUUGUAUAUUUAAUUAGUGAAAAAUAAAUCCCGCAAAAAGUAAAAAUUGUAAAGAUAAUUCCAAAUAUAAAUUAAGAAGAUAUUUUAAAGAUGGACCAAAAUUGAAAGAAAGAUACUCCCUCUGUCCCAAUUUUUGGUAUCUAUCUUUUCUUUUUUAGUCGUCCCAUAUUUUGGUAUCCAUCUCUAUUUUUAGUAAAAAUAGAUGAGACUCUUACUUUACUUUAAUCAUUUUAACACUCACAUAAAAGGUGGAAUCCAAAUUUUACUCACAACACACUCAACCACUUUAUUAAAAUUCGUGACACUCUCAAAUGAAUACUAAAAGCUUAGACGGAGAGAGUAUUUGAGAGAGAGACGAUGGGAGUAUCUUGUUUUUGUUUUUAAGAAAUUGCAAUGAAACUAAUAGUUUGACUUUAAAAACAAUAGAGACCAAGUCUAACUGGCCCAAAAUCUAAAUGAUAAAACUGUGGGUGUUAUGUAUAUAGAAUGUGGUUCAAAUAAAAAAAUUGUUAUCGUAAGAACUAUAUAAGAACUCUUGGAAUGAACUUAUAAAAUAAAUGACCUGAAAUAAGAAAGAAAAAAGUGUUGAUUUAUUCCCACCAUUCCCAUAAAUUUACAUCUUAAUUCAUACAUACACUAUCAUCAACAACAACUCAUUCUCAGAUCAAUAGCUUCUAACUAAAAUGCGAUCAUUCUCGUUCAUGCAGGCUGGCUAAUAGUAAUAGUUGACCUGACAAUCUGAAUCAACUUUGGGUUAUCACCGAAGCUUCAUCCGAUAUGGCUCGUUUAGAAUUCGUAGGGCUCGUCUUGAUGGGCGCCCAUAUAUCUGCACCGUUGCUGCUAACAACUCCAACGGUGAAUGAGACAGGCACAACGCAUAACCCUCUGGCGCUGAGGCUGGAUCCUUCUUCCCCCUUUUAGAACAAACACGUUAAAAACACCCCGUUUUAGGUGCCCCCGUCAACAUAGAUCAAGUAAUGUGCUAUGCAUAAGCUUUCCUAUUUUAUGGGACAUUAGUCUGUAAUAUACUAUAGGAAUGUAGAGUUGCAACGAAACAAUCUGCAAAUCUGUUAAUGUCGGAUGCGAGGUAGAAAAUAAUAAGCAUACCUGUAAUUGUGUUGGUGUACUAUACAAGUAUGGAGCACUCAGUACCUGAAAAGCACAGGAAAGUAAGAGCAAUGAGGUCACUUGACGUUAUGAGAUGCAACGUCCAAUUUUGCCGGCAAAAUGGUAUUAAAACUAAUAAAAAAGUAUGAUGGAAAUUGGGGCCAAUUUUAUUGAUUCCCUAAUUUCUAGUUUGGGCUGCAUUGUAUUCUUUGAUCAUGUCUAAUAUUGUUGGACACCAACCUAAGUUCCUUUUACUGCCUCAAUACCACCUAGCGACGAGUUAUGGUGAAAUUGAUAUAUAGAUUGUGAGAAAUGGUAAGGGUCUUGAGGAGAAUCUUGAAACGGCCCGGACAAGACAAAUGUCACUAGUGGGAAUUUGUUUACAUCUUUAACCGAAUCAUUGUGAUUUUCUCCAUGUGAUGAAAGCAAGAUUCUAGUCAUCUUAUCAACAGUUAUGCCUUACAGGUGAAUUUUUGGCCAAUUUUCAAGUCCAAAACGAAAAUGAGUUAUUCAUUAAUGAAGGCAAUGCAAGAAAAGGAUCAAACUUCAGCUCAAAGUCGCUGAUAUCUUUUAUUUAGUGAUGGUGAAGAAACGUACCUUAACCUGUUCAUGAAGAAACCUUAUGUACUCCAUUGCUUCUAAAAGGACAGAAGCUGUAUCGGUCUGUAGCGAAUGUAAGAAGUUAGGGAAGGAAAAUUAUUUCAAAAAUGUAAACUGACUGAUGGAUGAAGCACAGUAUACAAAACAUUAAUUACUCAUUUUGCCCCAACUGUCACACCUACACAGCGAAGGAUUGUUUGAACGUGUUAGGGUGUUCCAAGGGAAUGUAUUAGGAGGAAAUGUUCAUGAAAACAUGAUGUGUGUUUGAUUUUAUUUCAAUCAAAAAAAGUAAUUGGGAAGGCUUCCACCUCAUAUGCAUCCAAGAAAAUCGCGUUAUGUUGAAUGGUCAACAGCUAUAAAUUUCUGAGACUCACAUGCCAAAAUCAAAACUGUGCUUGGAGACUGCACCUACCUUCCCAUAUGGUGAGACAAGCUGUUGAAGAGCAGAAAUACGUUCGCUAAUCUUCUCUUUCUUCUCCUGCUCCGAAGAAAAGAGGUAAACAAAGUUGCAUGUGAACUUGCUAAGUCAGUAGAUGCUCAGUUGCGCAAUUGAUAACACAGAGGUUGGGCACUUAAACCCAAUGAUGCAAACAGAUAUCGGACUCGUAGCAUUACUGGAUGAACGAAAGUGACUAACCUUUGAAGAAAGAGAUUCAUCAGUCUUUAGUCGUUUUGGCAUAAUGUCCACGAAGCUGCUUUGCUCGAGAGAGAUAGGGCCUCUUUUAUGUUGCAUCAUCUUCUCCUAUACAAGUUCCUCUUACUAGACAACAAAUGGCAAAAAGUGUUACUUCUAAGCAAGAGGAAAGCGGAAUCCAAUUAAUACGCAGGCACUUAGGGUACUUGCAUACUAAUAAACAGAGUAAUAUAUCUAAUUCAACAAUAAGUGCACUAUAUUCGUUGUAUUAGAGAUGUUCCUUAACUAGACUAAAAGUAAUUAUUCGCAGAAUCAUAUAUUUCUUUAUUCUCUACCUAAAAGGAAGAUCCUCGGAUUCGAAGUUAGGAGUAAAUAAUCAACAACCAUGAAUGCUCCUAGUAGUUCUAUAAAUAGGUCAAGAAUAAACUACAGCCUCCGAAAGUUGGAAACAUCCGAGGUGGAAUAUGCGGACGGGUUCUAAACAGACAACUUGUUGCACCCGAAAGAAAUAUAAGAUUGAUACAAUGCAGUUGGUUUGAUUUAUAUGAAAAAAUUAUACGAAUUCAUAAAAAAACAGAAUAUAUGAUGCAAGUGUAGUGUAUUGAAAUUCACAAGGACAGUACUAUUUUAGUCAAAAUUCCUUAGUUAGGCCUAAAACAUCUCUUUGUUUAAUACGAAAUGUCCCCUUGAAACAACCAACAGGUCUCCUACCAAUAUCAGAUAACAUUAUUUAAUCAUACAAGCUCACAGACAGACAAGUCUACUAUAGAAUAUCAAUUGAACUUCAUGAAUAAUACGAAGCAAACUAUAUACAACGCGGGAACCUACCGACGUCUCCAAUUAUGAUCCAAUCUAGUAUUUUAUUUCACCAUUGUCUACCAAAUUACAUGCAACGAUGAGUGAUGACACAGAAAUGAAAUUGGAAUAGAUAAGGGACAAUCCUCAGCUGUUAUCAAUCCUGCAUUCUCCAAUUUUAGAAAUUCAUUAAUGAUUCAACAAACUCAAUAUCCAUCAACAAUGGAAUCCACACCAGAAACCAGAUUCUCUUGGCUGGUCAACAGCAUGCAUUUUUGUAGUAAAUGAAUGCAGUAGAUAACAACUACCCAACCACCAAAAAUAUUUUCCAAUCACUUAUUUUCCAACUCUAAUAACCCAUUUUUCUGCUUUCUAACAUUAGGAAACAAAACAAAAAAAUUUGGUAAUGUCACAUCCAGAUUUAACAUUAUUACUGACUCGUUUUCGUGUUACAGUGAAAUCUUGAUUCUCCAGAUAUACUGUGAAUGCGACCGAAAACAACAUAAUCGAAAUUAUUAACUCAGCGGGCCCAUACCAUGGACAUUUUUGCACAUAUGGAAUUAAAAAAGUUGUUUAAAUUUGCAGUACUUGGAAUUAAAAUAGCAGUACAGAGCCAUGCAUGUAGGAUUAUAAAACUAUUAUCCCAAUUAUCUAUAUCCACAAUGAAAAAAUAUUCAAAUUCAAGAUUGAUCUCAUUUUCUGUAUACCAAAAAACUUUGUCAAUGGUCUACUAAUUACGCCUUAUUUACGCAAAUUAAGACGACUAAAUACCAAUAAACCCAAGGCAGUUUAACAAUCAAACUCAGGUGGAAAAAAUAAUGUAAAAUCAACUUAUGAAAGAAACGAAAAAGUAGUAAUAAAAAAAAUAUUCAUGGCGGAAUUGAAGGCUAGAAGGGCUCACUCACCCUCAAUGCGAAAUCUGCAUCAGAAUCAGUCAGAAAAAAUGUCGACUUUCGGUAAUGAAGAACGAACAUGAGCUUCAGUAAAACCAAAAAUGGCUAUAAAAAAUCUCGACUUUCGCCGCGGAAUCCACCGCCCCACCUCGAGAAUUCCAUAACCGAAGCCCUCUUUAUACCUAUUAGUGGGCUGAGCGGCGUAGGGAUUUGUGCCAACACAUGUACAAACCUUUGCUUAUUAAGCAACAGCGUGUUUGAGUGUGUGCGUAUUCGUUUUCACACGCGGAACCGGACGCAUACACAAACAAAACACCAGAAGAAACGGCUUUCCUGAAAGGGUUGAAACAGAAAAGCAGGCUGAAAGUUGAGGAAUUCGUGAAUGGGAAUAGGAUCACGAAAAUCGUGGCUGUCUUGAGAGAGAGCGAGAGAGAGGAGAGGGAGAGGGCUGGGAGUUUAAAAGUGAGUUUAUAUACGUAUAGUUAUAGUUAGUCACAGUAUGAUAUUGUGGAAGCUUAAAAGAAGUGGAAAUUGGAAGGAAAAGAAAAAAGGGAGAGGGAGAGAGAGAGAUGUGGAAAAUGGAAAAGAGUAUUUAUUUAGUAUAGACAGCUAAUAUACAGCGAGGGAAUGGAAAGGGAAAGGAGGAAGAGUAGUUCGAAAUGAGGUCACUUCACUUUUACUUUUGACUUAUAAUGGAUAAUGACUGCUAAUGCAAGUAAUUUUUUUCUUUCUUUUACCUUUUCUUUUACUGAUUUUAUAUGGCUUUUCAGUCUUAGCUUGGGGUAAGUGUGAGUAAAAGGAAAUACCUUAUAUAGCAUAGCAUAUUAGCAUUGUUGUAGGUUUCUACAAAGUGAUCCACAUAAUGUUUUGAAUUAUCUUUAACACCAGAUUUUGGUUGGUUAGAAGGCAAGUGGCAUUUCCAAGCAACCAAUGUGAUGGAUAUCAUUCUAAGAAGAUACUGAUCUUCCUUAAAAGUGUAUUUGAUUGUUUCUAUCGUAUAAAUAAUUUGAGUUACUGUUUAAGUUCUUUGGCCUUAGAAUUUUUGGUAUCGUUUAUUUAUUGCUUCAUUUUAUUUGUAUGUCAACUUCACUAUUUUUAAUUUUAUACAAUGUAUUUAAUAUUGAGCCAUUAUCUAGGUAUAAGACAGAUUAAAGGCCUUUCAAUACGAGCCUCGAAAUUUCAGUAAAUUUAAAAUCUAUCUCUCUCUCUCUCUAUAUAUAUAUAUAUAUCAAAUAUAUGCACACCUAAAAGUUAGUUCUAAGAGCAUCCACACUAGCGAUUCGAUCUAACUGACUCGAGUAAGUUAAAGAUCGAGUCACCCCACUGUAGCCCUUCCUUACUCGAGCAUUACUCGAUUUAUCGAGUAUGGCUCUUUCUCUCUUAAGUGAAGCGUGAAUGCACGAUUUAAUUAAAAAAAAUGUUAAAUUUGAACUGCUUUCCAACUAUCUAUUAUCUUGCCAAUUAUUUCAAUUGCUUUCCCACAUCAUUUUGCUUUUCUUCUCAUAAUAUAUCUUUUCCCAAUUAUACGUGCGAAUUCUGGCCCGAAAUAAAAGGAAUAAAAUAAAUUGAUAAGUUAAAAAUCAACAUUUAAACUAAAACAAUAAACGAGACACAGAUUUUACGUGGUUCGAUCAUAAGAUCUAUAUCCACGGUGGGUCUUCGGAGUUUUUCACUAUAUCGAGAGUGUUUACAUAUCUUAUCAGUUGGUGAAUGAAUCCCCUAAAUUUACCAGUAAAUGUGCUAUUUAUAGUUUGUAAAUAAACCCUAAUUCUAAAGGCUCACUCAUUUAGUCAAUUAGGCCCAAAACUCACUACAAUAGCCUUAGUUUCGGAGCUGAAUUAUCAUACGCCGUCUGCGCGGGUAAGCUUCUUGGCUACGCGGCUGCGCGGGUAAACUUGGUUGCGCGGGUAAACUUCUUGGCUGCACGGCUGCGCGGGUACGUUUCUUGUGCAAUAAUUAUUCAUUCCAUUUACUUAGGUGGAUUUCUUACUCUUUAUCUGAGAUAUUCGAUUGUACCUGUGCUUGGUAAAUUCUAUUUAAUAAUAAUAAUAAUUGAGAAAGAUAUUUCAGUAUUAUUAAGCACAACGCUGAUGAAGGAUUUAGUCCUCAUCAUAAAUAAUGUUACAAUGUUUUCCCAAUAGUAGAGGUUUUUAAAUUUUUAAGUUUUAUGUAAUUUUUAGGAUUUUAAAAUUAAUGUAAUUUAAAUUUGAAGUAAAUUGUGUUAUUUAAAUUUGUGCAAUUAAAGUUAAAUGAAAAAUACAAAAAUCAAAAUUAAAAAGAUCAAGUAAGAGAUCAAGUCAUCUCAUUGUGACAUCCUUACUCAUUGUAGUCGCAUCAUUCUAUCAAGUAAGCUAUCAAGUCAUCCCACUGUAGAUGCUCUAAAAACCUACCCAUAAACCAAUUGUCAAAAUCAAAGAUAUGACCCAAGCCCACGGAUACAUAGCAUGUGAUCGAGGCCGGCUGCGUCGAACGUAUGUGUAUUUACACAUAAUUUAUUUUGUGCAUAUAAUUAUUACAAUCAAAUUUGUAAUAACUUUAUAUAAACAUACUGAAUAUUAAUUAAUCAAUGUGAAAUAAAUAUUAAGUAAUUUUUUAAACAUGCAUAAUUUAUUCAUAACAACUUUACUUUUAAGUGUAUUAGUAGUAAUUAAUAAAGGUAUUUUGUUUUUAAAUCUGGAUUGACAAAAUUGUUUGCUAUCAAAUAGUCGCGUUCGAAAACAAAUAGUUGAGUGAACUUUAAAAUUGAAUUAUAAUGACGAUGAGAAAAAUGUUUGAAGUCAUUAUUUUAUACUCCCUCCGUCCACAAAGUAUUGUCUCAUUUACUGUUCGGCACAUGUUUUAAGAAAGCCGAUAAAGUGAUUGUGAGUGAAAUAUAAGGGUAGUUGACUAACGUGAUAAAGGUAGUUGACUAAAGUGUUAAAGGUGUUGUGUGGUGGGUCCACUAGUAAUAAAGUGGAAUAAAGUAGAAUAUAAAAAUAAAAUAAGUUGUUGUAUGGUGGGUCCAUUAAUGACAAUUGAUGGUAAAUAAAUGAAAGAAAAAAGGGUGUAGUGGUACAAAAAGCAGAGUAAGACAUUACUUUGUGGACAAGAAAAAAUGAGUAAAUAGGGCAAUAUUUCGUGGACGGAUGGAGUAGUAUCUAGCGCAUAUUUUAUACGAAUGGGUCAUAGUACUUCAUUCGUCCCAAUUUUUAGUAUCUAACUUUCAUUUUUUAAUCGUCUCACAUUUUAAUAUUUAUUUUUAUUUUUAGUAAAAGUAGGUGAGAUCUAUUUUAAUACUCAUAUAAAAUAUAAAACCCUUAUUUCACUCGCAAUACAUUCAACCACUUUAUUAAAACUUGUGCUAACCUCAAAUAGAUACUACAAGUUGGAACAGAGGGAGUAUUUAAAAGUAGAAUUUACUAAUUACUUGCAUUUAAAUUUUAAAAUAUGAUAAAUGUUGGGCGUAAAAUGUAAUUAAACACAGUAAAAGUCAAGUCCUUUUCUUUUAUUUAAUUAUUUCCCUUUAGAAUGGGUUUUUGAAAAAAUGAGCAUUUGUUUCCUGCUUGGCGCCAAUUUGCUAUCUGACGAGCUUUUAGUAGUAAGUAGAGUGUAGUGUCCCCACAUCUGGACGGUGAUUGGAACCGUACACGUGUCACAUCGGAGACACGUGUAAGCCUGAGAAAAGUGAAGAAGAAAUCUGGUGCGGGGCCCCUACUGGUACUGAGCCGUGCACAAAAGUCCAACGUUGGGGGUGCAAUUCUAGAAAGUGGGCCCACGCGGUUUGGACUUUGCUUCACUUCCACUUACAAUGUCUUUGUACAAUUUUACCCUCGCAAUGCUGCAAUAAUUUUGUACGACGCUUCACUUGCAUUCUUGCAAUUAUCCAACAAAACCCUUGUUUUAUCUAAUCCUAUUCAUUUUCUGUUAGAUGUUUUAAAAAAUUAACUGUUUAUUUAGCUAUACAUUAUAUUACCUCCGUCUCUAAUUUAUCAUUUUCGUUCGUCUUUAUAAAAUAUAUUCAAUUUAUUUUCAAUAAAUUUUUCAUUUAUAAUAAAAUGAGACUCUUACUCCACUCACAAUAUAUUUCAUCACUUUAUUAAAAUUUAUAUCAUUAAUAUAUUUUAUGAAGACGAAAGAAAUAUCAUCUCAAACGAAAUUAAUUAUGUCGGAAAGUUCAAGAGAUUAUGGAAUGUGGGAAGAUGCAAUAUUGCAUCCUACCUUUUGAAUCUUUUAUCACACCAUAAUUGGAUUUUCAAAUGUUUACAAUUUGGCACUUUCUCUAUCUCAUGAAAUUUAAGCAAAUUUUUUUUUACACGAAUUUAAAGAGUUAGUAUUUUGAAUACGUUAGUGUGGUAUGUGAAAAUAAAAAAGAAAAUAUGAGUAAAGAAAGAAAAAUAUCAUAUAAAAAAAGUGUUCAAAUUUUAUAGGACAAUUCAAAUAGAAUAUCGUUCAAACUUCACGAACCGAGAGAGUAAUAUCUAAGAUUAAUAUUUAAGAUUUAUUCCGAUAUUCAAAUUCAAGUACUUGAAAUCAACAUGGACGGUGUGGUGGGACUCUUAAUAUAUAAUAAUGUCAAAUUUCAAAACAAAAAUAUUGUUGAAAUAUUAUAAUCCACGUCACAUCAAAAUGACGAUGUUUUGAUAUAUAAAUUCGAAAUAAUUGAAAAGACAUGUCAUUUAUCAUGUUUUUGAAGCGUAUGGUGGUGACGAAGUGGCGUCAUUUUUAGAAUAUAUUUGUCUCUAAAAAUUGUAAUCUUAUUAUUAUUAUUAUUAUAUAUAUUGAUAUAUAUUUAAAAAUUAUGAUAUUUUUUUAUUUGAAAAUGAUUUCAUAAAUUCUCAUUUCAUCAUUUACAAAAUAAUGUGGAAUCAGUUUCCACUCAAACACAAUUAUCAUAUAUUUUCCUAAAAAUUAUGUUAUCUUUAUUGGGUCACAAUUUUUAGGGACGAAUGGAAUAUAUUUUUAUCUUAUUUUAUAAUUAUCUUUUAUAAGGGGUUUGAUUAAAAUAAUUAGUAAGAAGAUAUUACUCCCUUGAUCCACAAAAAUAAAACCUAAGGAAAGAUGGUACGAGUUUUAAAAAAAAUUGUACAUUGUUUAUUGAAUGAGUAGAGAAAUAAGCACACAAAUUAGGGAAAAUAGAAAAAAUAAAUAAAUAAAUUAGUGAGUGGACAAAUGAGCCAGAGUUAGUGAGUAGAAAAGGUAGCCCACAAAUUAGUCAAAUCUUUAUUAAAAAUAGAUUAAGAUAUAUUUUUGUAGACGAACGAAAAUAACAAAUUAAGUAUUAUUUUUGUUUUUAAUAAAAUGUUGUAUAGUGUAUUGAGAGUGGAGAAAAAGUUGUAAAGUGUAUUGGGAAUUGUGAAAAAGUAUUAAUAAUUUAUUGUGUUAUUUUAAUUAAUGUUAUUUGAGUGGUGAGAAUUGUCUUAAAAGGGGAGUAUUUUUUAAGUGGUGGGGUAUUGUCCCAAAAUAGGAAAAAGUAGGAAGUUCUUUCGUGGACGUCCCGAAAUAGAAAAAUAGGAAGUUCUUUCGUGGACGGAGGGAGUAUUUCUUAAAAUCGGUGUCGUGUACAAAUAAAUACUCAUUUCGUGGACGGAUGGACGGAGAGAGUAUUAUUCUUCCUAAAUAUCCGGUCAUGUACAGCUGUCUGGUUUGGUUCUCACUCAAGAAAAUAUUUCUUUAUUUGGCUUAAAAAGGAAUACAUAUAUUUCUCUAUUUAAUCUCGUAUUCUACGAAAAUUCUUUUCUCUCACAUCAAAAACUAGAUUUUGAAGAUGGCGAAAAAAGUGGAGGUGAUUUCUUCAUCUCUUGUCCGCGGCACUGCUACGGCUGCUUCAAUGUCAAGAUUAGAGCUUAAUCCAUGGGAUUUACGAUUCCUCUCAUUCGUCCCCAGUGAAAGAGGCCUCAUAUUCCACAGCCCUCACUUUCAAUCCAAGCAAAACCUAAUCCAACACCUCAAAAACUCCCUCUCCCGCGCUCUCGACUUCUUCCCUCCCCUCGCCGGCCGCCUCGCCGCCACCAGUCACGGCGGCGACACGGCGAGCUUCUUCGUGGACUGCAACAACGCAGGAGCCGAGUUCACUCAUGCAGUCGCCGCCGCCGUCUCCAUCUCCGACAUCAUUGAGCCGAGGUAUAUACCGGAAAUCGUAUCCUCCUUGUUCCCGAUCAACAUCGGCGUCACCAAUUACGAAGGAAUUUCAAAACCUCUGUUGGCGGUGCAAGUCACGGAGCUCGCCGACGGCGUCUGCAUCGGCUGCGCCGCCAAUCACGCCGUCGUGGACGGCACCUCCUUCUGGCAUUUCUUCAGUUCCUGGUCGGAGAUCUCCCGCGGUUUGAAAUCGAUUUUGAAAUCCCCAAUUUUCGACCGCGCCGCCAUUGAUAACAGACUCAUCCAUAUCCCUACAUUAGAGAAAAACCUAAUCGCUCCAUCUCAAUUGCCGCAGAAGGUAUUCCACUUCAGCAAGGAAAAAUUAGGUCAAUUGAAGGCUAAAGCCAAUUCCGAGGCCGGCACUGACAAAAUAUCUACUCUGCAAGCACUCAUGGCUCAUCUAUGGCGGAGCGCAGUUAGCUCUCAGACCACCAACGAUUCAACCACUCGCGUUAUACUAUUCGCCGUCGGUGCAAGAGCGAGGAUGUCGUCUUUGCCGGAUGCCUAUUUCGGGAACGCAUCUUACCUUGCUGUGUUGGUGAUUAGCGAGAGCGAUCUAUUGCAGAGAGGAUUGGGCGCCGCCGCGCUCAGGAUCAACGACCUGAUUUCUCGGCAAACCGACGAAGCGGCGGUGCGCGACUUGGCGAAGAAGGUGGAAUUUCUCGCGUCUGACGGGAGUGGCGCUCCGCCGCCUCUUAUCAUCGGGAGUUCUCCGCGACUCGACGUGUACGGGUGCGAUUUUGGGUGGGGGAAGCCAAUUGGUGUGAGGAGUGGGAAGAUGCAGAAAAUGGAGGGGUUGGUGUUAGUUUUUCCGGCGGCGGAGGGCGGCGGUAUCGACGUAGAAGUUUGCUUGGCGGAGGAGACAUUAGAUGCAAUGGAGUGUAUGAUGCGUUAAUAUAUGGGUUUUUGUAUUAUUCGUGUUUCAUGGUUGAAUCUUGAAUGAAGGAUCGUAUAAAAAAUAUAAUAAACUUAAUCCCUUAUUUAUUUUGAUGGAUCGUAACUUUGAGAUAUUUCAAGGCUCUUGAUUAUUUUUUUUAUUUAAGUUAGUUUUGUUUAAUUCUAAUCCGAUCAAAAUGGUGAAAUUAGAAUAAUUCUAUUUUUAAGGACAAAAAUACUCAAUUCUCUAUUUUAUCAAUCAUACUAAGUAAAUGUCCCCUUAGGGCUCGUUUGGUGCUCAGUAAGGAAUUAGUCAGUAUAGUUAGUAAACUAGAUUAUUAGCGUGAAUAAAUAUGUGUUACUAAUAUUGGUUGGUUGUUUGCUAUUAUGGUUAAUUAAUCAUGAUUUUUGUUUGGUAUCCAUAUUUCUAGAUUAGAUAAGUUUAAAAAUGGACACAAUUGAAGGGUCGUAUUAAUUAUCCUGCAUAAUCCGAGGGGAAGGCGGUAUUAAAAAUGGACACAAUUGCAUGACCUUUUGUGAAAGUUCGGAAUUAAUAUUUACCACUAAAAAUUGAAAUUAAAAAAAAUUAUAUAUCCUAACUAUGAAUUAAUUAAUCCAAAUAAUUCAUUAUUAAUUCAAAUAAAUAUAACAAAAAAAAAUUAUAAACCCUCAUUGUAUGAGCUAGUGAACCCUUGUUAAUUAAUUCAUCUGUCUCAAAUUUUGGUAUCUAUGGACUACAUUCUCAUUUUAAUUCGUCCCAUAUUUUGAUAUGUAAUAGUAAAAGAUUUAUUGAGAAUAUAUAAACAUUUAUAUAACAUAUAACGACAAUAAUAAUUAAAAAAAACAAAACAAAUUUGGAAACUUAAGGAUUUACAUUCAACAUACAUAGAUUACACAAAAAUGGACCACAAACAAAUUUGGAAACUUUAAGGAUUUAUUCAAGCAUUUACAUUCAACAUACAUGGAUUACCCAAAAAUGGACAACAAACAAAUUUGGAAACUUUAAGGAUUUAUUCAAGCAUUUACAUUCAACAUACAUAGAUUACACACAAAUGGACAACAAAAUUACAUUUUAUAGCUGUCCAACACAUUAUUAACUUUCCAACACAAUAAGCUUCACUCAAACCCUCUCUCUCUCUUCAAAUCUACAGCAAAAUGAAAAUCUAUUUCCAGCUAACAUCUAUUUAAUCUGUGUAUUCUACCAAAAAAAUUUCUCUCUCACACCCAACAUUAGAAUUUGAAGAUGGCAAAAAAAGUCGAGCUGAUUUCUUCAUCUCUUGUUCGCGCCACUGCAACUGCUGCUUCAAUCUCAAGAUUAGAGCUUACUCGAAGCGAUUUAUGGUUACUCACACACUUUCCCGUUCAAAGAGGCCUCAUAUUCCACAGCCCUCGCUUUCAAUCCCAUCAACACCUAAUCCAACACCUCAAAAACUCCCUCUCCCGCGCUCUCGACUUCUUCCCUCCCCUCGCCGGCCGCCUCGCCGCCGCCCCGUACGGCGGCGACACGGCCAGCUUCUCCGUGGACUGCAACAACGCCGGAGCCGAGUUCACUCACGCAGUCGCCGCCUCCGUCACCGUCUCCGACCUCCUCGGGCCGAGCUACACGGAAAUCGAUUCUUCCUUGUUCCCGAUCAACGUCGGCGUCCAUAAUUUCCAAGGAAUUCAAAGCCUCUAUUCGCGGUGCAAGUCACGGAGCUCGACGACGGCCUCUUCAUCGGCUGCGCCGCCAACCACGUCGUCGUGGACGGCACUUCCUUCUGGCAUUUCUUCAACUCCUGGUCGGAGAUCUCACGCGGUUCGGAAUCGAUUUCGAAAUCCCCAAUUUUCGACAGCUGCAAUACCGCCGCCGCCGCCGCCGCCGUUGAUAACAGACUCAUCCAUAUCCCUACAUUAGAGAAAAACCUAAUCGCUCCAUCUCGAUUGCGGCAGAAGGUAUUCCAUUUCAGCAAAGAAAAAUUAUUUCAAUUGAAGGCUAAAGCCAAAUCCGAAACCGGCACUGAGAAAAUAUCUACUCUGCAAGCACUCAUCGCUCAUCUAUGGCGGAGCACAGUGCGCUCUCAAAUCGCUAACAACUAUCCAACCACUGGCGUUUUGAAAAUCGUGAUUGGCGCGAGAGCGAGGAUGUUGUCUUUGCCGGAUGGAUAUUUUGGGAACGCGCUUUGUUCUGCUGCGUUGGCGAUCGGCGAGGGCGAGCUAUUGCAGAAAGGAUUGGGCGCCACCGCGCUCAGGAUCAAUGAGGUGAUUUCUGCGCAAUCUGAGGAGGCGAUGGCGCGCGACGCGGAGAAGAAGGUGGAAUUUCGGCAAAUGGAGGUGGGCGUGGGGAGCGCGCCCCCUCUUAUCAUUGCAGAAUCUCACCGGUACGAUGUGUAUGGCUGUGAUUUUGGGUGGGGGGAAACCAAUUGCUGUGAGGAGUAAGAAGGAUCAGAUAUUUGACGGGUCGGUGGCGGUUUUUCCGGCGGCGGAAGCCGGCGGUAUCGACCUUGAUGUUUGCUUGAAGGAGGAGACGUUACGGGGAAUGGAGGAGUUCCUCCAUCAAUAAGGGCAUGCACUAUGGGGCGCGGACGCCGGCGCGCACCGGGCGCGCGCCCCCCAUUGCCGCACCUCCUUCCCCCGCUCCCAGUCCCCUUUCGAACCCGAUGCACAUCCGUUUUUGAUUGGGCACGUGUUAUACACAGCUCGAUCAAUCAGAAAAAUAGAAGCAUAUUAAAAAAUAUAUAUUUUAUUAUCUUUUCCAUUCACUUCCUUAUUCUCACUUUUCUAUUUACAGUCAUUUUCACGCUCGCCUCCACGAUGAUUUAGUCUAUGAACAGACAUACCUGAGCUGGGUUCUUUGAACAGACAUCUUUUUUGUGGCUGUUACUUCCACAAAGGCUACAAUGCUGUGUCUUCCCUUUCCUACUCAGCUUGUGUUGAUGCCUGGGCUCAUGUUUAGCCCCCAGCCUAUUCUUUUUUGGCCUCCCAACCUUUCCUCACACUUUUUUUCUCUCAAAAUGCACUCACCAAACUCGUCGAUCCCGUGAAUUUGACAUGUUUUAAUUUGGCUUCUUGUCAAGGUUUUGUUCGCUAUUAUUUUCACCACGCCGCAAGUAUACGGGUAGUUGUAAUAUAUGGAAGCAAGGUCGUAUUCCACAAGGAUUAGUAGUUCAAUCUAGUGAUUAUCCUAAUUCAUUUUACUCGACUAUUUAGACUAAACGAUUGAGUGAUUGGUUUGAUUAUCUAACUAAAUACUUAACAAGCGCAAAGACAAAUAAAAAUCAAAUAAGCAAAGUGGAUAAAUAAGAUGAUUAAGGCGAUUUAGGGACUAGGCAUCGAUGAUUAAGUAAAAGACUUCAAUUAUAGCUCAAUAUUAAUCUUGACAAUCCUAAUUAUCUAGAGUGAUCUCCCAACUAGUUCUAGCCCCCUCCCGGACGACUAGAGCGGUAGAUUACGGGUCAUAGUUGCCGUCCCCGGUCAACUUCUAACCUAUAACUCCCAAAAGCACACAAGGAUCGACAUACUCUCACCCAACUCUCAACCUCCCGGUUAUCGAAUUGAUAUGUUUCAAACACCUUAUCUAUUGCAAUUAUCCUCUCCCGAUUCAAUGUGCAAAUUAGAAAUGCAUAGAAUGUGGCCAACAAUCCAUACAAGAAAUAAAUCAAGGGUUUGAAAAGAUAAUGUGCAAAUGAACAAACAAGAUUUAUAUUGAGCAUAAAUAAUCAAUCCAUUACAAUAAUCAUCUAGCCUAAUCCCCAAAUCAAAGAGAAAUUUAGCCUAACAUGUUCAAACACAAUAAAUCAAAAUUAAAGGUGUACAUAAUGAAAGAGAGAGUAAGAAAUGACAAAUCCUAUUAUCUUGAUCUUCAAUCAUGUAGUCUUGAUGAGCUCCUUUCCAAGUCUUCCCCUUCUUUAUUUGAUUUUGGUGUUGUUUUUGUGUGUGAAAGAGAGAAAAAUGGUAGAGAUGAAGGCUAGGGUUUGGAAUUGGAGUGUUGGGGAAGAUGAAGUGGGUGUGUGUGGUGAAUGAUAUGAGAAAAGAGGGGAAAAAUGGAGUUUUGGGCUAAAAAUCACGUCUGGGCCCACCAAAAGGCGGAUCCCCGCCUCUUCCCCGCGGUCACGGCAUGAACCGCGGUUGAAAACGCGGCUGGAAGCAGGGGAGGCCGCGGUCAUGGGCCGCGGCCGCGGCUCGGACCGCGGGUGACUGUAAAAAACGGGUGUCUGCGAGCUGACCGGGCAAUUUUGGAGCAGAGGCCCGCGGUCGGGCCCGUGGCCGCGGCCCGGACCGCGGGUGCUUGGGCUUUAUGCGCAGUCAGCUUGUUCGGCUCCGUUCUCCCUCGUCCGGACUCGGAUUUGGUCACCGUUUGCGCUCACGAAUUCCUAUCGAGACGUACUUCGAUUUCAUGUCUUCAAAAUCCUCCAAUUAAUCCUUGAUUUUCCCUGAAAUCACUCCAAAACUACACCAAGGAAUCAAAACUCAAAAUUGGGAUACAAACACAUAUUAGCAAUCAAUUCAUGGGGGAAAAUGACAACAAUUCAUGCGAUAUUGAGGUACAAAAACCAUGUUUGUCAACCCCCCAAACUUAAAGCGUUGUUUGUCCCCAAACAACAAAGAGAAGAGAAAUAAAAGAUAACAAACAUGUGAGAAUGAAUUGGUGUCAUUUCAAGGGCUUCAAAUUUUUCAAAAAAUCUUUAAAAAGUGUAUCACAAGUAGAAAUGCAUUCCAAGAAAUCACAAGUGAUGAAGAGUUCAAUAUUAUGGCCUCCAAGCUUGAAUCCUCACAAAUGUGGAUGUUUCAAUGAUGCACUCAACUCUCAAGUGUUUAGAUUGGACGUGUUUGCACUCAAAUUGAACCAUGUAUGCAAUCUACCAUAGGCUUGCCAUUUAUCCUAACUCUCUAUACUUCAAUGUGUUAUAAAUAAUGAUCAACAAGGGCUUUCAUAAGGUUGUAAUGAGGGCUCUUUGGUGAGGUGAGGUGUUUUUAGGCAAAUGACUCAUAUUCCACAAUCUAACAAUCACAAUGAACAAGUCAAAUUCACCAUUUCUCUUUUUUAAUCAAUCAAAAACCAAUAUCCCCACAUUUCUUCUUUUCACCCUUAGUGAUACUUAUCAUGAUAUGAUUCAAAAGGCAAAUCACUCCCCUUUAUGCUCUUUUAUUCACAUUCAUUUUCUAUUUUUUUUUCUUUUUUUUCUUUUUCUUUUUAAGUCUCAUAGGGGACUAGUGAUUUUCACUCAAUCAAAGCUUGAUAAGCAAUUUCAAUCAUUUCCCAAACAUUUUCAUCAAAGUAACCACUAACAAUCUAAGUUCUACCCAUCAUUGGUUAAUUCAAAGAAAUGCUACAAGGCACAAAGAGGGUAAACUAGGAUCAUAUGAGAAUUUGGACACAAUUUAAGUCAAGUGGCUAACAAGGAUGGCCUUAAAUCACUUCAAUAUUAACAACACAUCUACUUUUAUUUUCAAGAGAGGACUCAUGGCAAGUUCUAGAGAUCAACACACAUGCUCAAAUGAUUUACACUCAAGAACAAAAUGAGAUUGUAAAUGUAUGACAAUCAAAGGCUCAAUUCUCACAAGCUCAUUUCUUUUUCAAGUUCUUGGAGGUACAACAUUUAGCUCAUUGUCACAAGUUCAAACUCUACAUGCAAAAUCAACAAGUGAUACACAACAAUUUCUUUUCAAAAGCAACAUUCAUAUCAUAAGCCCAACACACAUUUCAUCCAACUCAUGUGUUUCAACAAUCAAGCUCAAAAACAAAAGACAAGGAAAAGCUCAAAAACAGAGACAAAAUCUCAUUAUUCGAAAACUAAACUAACUAAAUAAAUAAACAACGGAUAAACGAGAUAAGUAACCCAUCUUCACCCUCCCCCAAACUUAUUUCACACAAAAGAGAAAUAAGUUUGGAUGAAGGAGAAAAUGGUUACUUGUCUCGUACUCACAAACGAGGUGGAGGCUUAGGCGGUGGCCAUUCUCAUCAAAUUUGCAUGCUCCAUCCACCGCGACCCAAAAAUAUGGUGGCUUUGCAAUUCUUGAGACAUCCCGGGCGUCAUGGUAAUCUCGUUCACCAUCUAGAGUACCACCACACUCAAACAAUUCCUUAUUAGACAAAUCAAAGUGAAAAUCAAAAGAUGAAGAUAAAUAAAAGUGAAAGAAGCAAGCCUUCAUAGAAUCGCCCGUGGCGAGGUAAGGAUCGACAAAAUUUUUGACUUUGCUUUCUUUAAAGCUUGUGAAAUCUUCAUCUUUUUGAAAUUGUAGAGGUUGUGUCGGAAAAGUUGGGCUCUCGACUUCAAGGGGUUUGGAGAAUUGAUCCUCAUCUUCUUCAUACUCUUCUUCAACUUCUUGAGGCUCUUCACUUAGCAUUGGCAUUGGUUCCUCAUACAAGGUUCCAUUUUGAAGGCUAAUGGCCAUGCACAAAUCAUCAAUUCGCUUUUGAUUUUCCAUAGUGGUANAGACGUUAUCUCCGUAUGACCGCAUUUGAUUGAUUAUUUUCCAUUAUUCUUGUAGAAAUAAUCUUUUUGUCGGCUUCUGAAUCUUUCAUUUUAAGAUUCUCUAGUUCUCGCCUUAAACUUUGCAGUUUAAUGGUUCGAACUUUAACAUUUCCUUGGAACUCCUCCUUAAGGAUAUCCCAAGCUUCUUUUGCAGUAGUAGUCUCGUGAAUAGUGGAAUGAGGUAGACUCGCUCAGUCCAUCCUAAUAUCGGGGAUUUUAGGAGCCAUAAGUAAAGAAAUUAGAGGAAGGUGCUUGUAUAGCGAGAGAUCUGUUGCGAAGGAUUGGCGCGGACGGAUCAACGGAGGAAUGCGAAGAGAAGCGAAGAGUGAAGUAAAACAAGGUAGAAUCGACAAUAGGAACGGAUGCAGCGCUCCGCCGCUAUAUGGAGUAUCCCCGACACUGUAGGCGAUUUGGUGAGCGGUGUGAGGAGUGGGAAGAUGCAGAAAGUUGAGGGGUUGGUGAUAGUUUUUCCGGCGGCGGAGACCGGCGGUAUCGAUGUAGAAGUUUGCUUGGCGGAGGAGACGUUACAUGCAAUGGAGUGUAUGAUGCGUUAAUAUACGUAAAAAUCCAGUCAAAUAUAGUCUCAUUGAUAAUAUUUCACUAUUUUUAAAUAUAAGAUUUAUAAAAAUAUAGUUAGUAUGUAAAGUGAGUUGAAGAAAAAUAUUUAUGAAUUAUUUUAAAUGAGGUGGUUUAUAUUCAAUUUUAGCGGUUUUAUGUUAUGAAUUCCAUUUUAACUUUUAUAAUUUAUUGAUUAUAUUCCAAUCUUUUCAAUUUAUCAAAUUUAUUCUAAUUUUUCUAACUUGUACCAAUUUUAUAAAUUGUUUUCCCGAUAAUUAUUUUUUUAAUGAUAAAAAUUAAAGUGAAAUUAUAAUAUUCUCCCACAUAAAACAUAUUUUUCGAAUUGAGAUGUUAGAAGAAUCAUGAUACAAUGCAAUAGAUACGUUUUACUAAUAAGCUUAGUCAGUCCAGUUAAAUAUCCGAUACGAAAAUUUUAAAUACAUGAUCAAAUUAAAACAUAUAUGUAAAAUUCAUGAUUUUUGAAAAUAUAUCAAAAUUGAAGUCAUACAUCAUGAAAACGUUAAAAUUGGCAUUAAAAUCCAAAUAAAAAUAUUAUAAAUAUAUCAUCUUUGUAAAAAUACAUGCUUUUAUAAUAAAAUAAAUUACGAAAAUACCUCUACAAAAAUCACAAAAUCUUAGGAGGGUUAAGUAAUUCCACUGUCUCCAUGUGGCUCCGCCGCAUAUUCAAAUUGUUAGCUCUCAAAAGAUCGAAGCAAAACAAAAAUAAAGAAAUUUAAUUAGACGAGAUUUACGUGGUUUGACUGUGAAAGUUUACGGCCACAGAGGGCCAAUCGCAAUCUCAUUAACUUCGUCGGAGAAGAUAACCGGAAUUACAGACACUCACUUUCAGCUAACGAGAAACUCAAUUAGUGAACUCUCCACAGUGUAUCUCUCAAAAACUCUUUUUCUCUCUGAAUCAAAACUAGAUUCACAGAGUCACUCAUGCAAAAGCUGCUGCACCGAAUACAUACAAAAUAUCGCAACUAAUUCUAAAGAAGAAGAGCAAAACGACGUAGUCUUUCACAAUGGUAGUUAUAACUACUUUACAUCCACUUUGCAACUAACUCCUCUGACUUCUGUAUUUUGCACAUAAGCCCCUAUGCAUCUUUAGUAGGCAUCCCAUGUAACACAAAUCAUUACACUUAUGCUAUUUUGGUCCGUUCACAAUAUCAUUUAUGGUCCACAUAACACUUUAUUUUCCUUCACAUAUUUAUAAUGGAACCCAAACUCCACUUACAUCAAUAUUCACUAUUAUCCAUAAUUUUGUUAAAACUCGUGUCGUUCACAAUGUAGAAACUAUAUCGUGGAUGAAUGGAGUAUAUUUUAACAAAAAUACUUACAAAUAUCAUAUUGAAGAGGCGUUUAUUUUGCAUGAUUGAUAAAAUGGAUAAUUAAGCAUUUGUAUACUCAAUAGUAGGAUUACUUCAUUCUCACCCUUUUGAUAUGAUGAAAAGUAAUCAAGGAUCUUGAAAUAUUUCAAAGUUUCAAACCAAUAAAAUAAAUAACGGAUUAAUCUUACUAUUUUUAUCUAUCAAAGUUAAUUCUUAAAAGUAAAGACCCCUAAAUAUAUAAGUGAUCUGAACGGUCGCACGUAAAAUAAAAGUUAGAUAUUUAAGCUUCAUUCUAUCAAAAUUCUUUUCUCUCACGUCCAAAAAAUUAGAGUUUGAAGAUGGCAAAAAAAAUGGUCGAGCUGAUUUCUUAAUUUUCGUGCCAAAAAAAUUUUAAGCCACUUAUAGUGAGACGAAGGGAGUAUCUUUUAUCAUCAAGUUGAGAAAAAAAAUACAAAACAAUUCGUAUCUUAUAUCAAAAUAAAAUAAACCUAAAUACGCAAGAAAAUUAUAAGUAAAUACAAAAUUUGGUAAGAAUAUACACUUACAUAACAAUAAUAAACAAAUUUGAAAACUUCCAAAGGUCUUUAGUUCGAGUUCCCUGUGGAGCGGCCUUUUAAUUUUUUUUAUUUACUAUUGUAAAUUUAUCCAAAAAAAAAACAAAAACAAGAUUUAUUCAACCAUUUACAUUCAACAUACAUAGAUUACACACAAAUGGACAACAAAAUUACAUUUUAUAGUUGUCCAACAAAUUAUUAACAUUCCAAUUGCUAUCAAAACUUUGAUAGUAGACAACAAUCUAAGCAUCACUCAAACCCUCUCUACAAAUCUACAGCAGAGGCUCUCUCUGAUUAGUAACAACAGCUACACAUCGAUUACCCUUAGCCCUCUCCUGCCAUAUUCUCUCCACUUCCUCAAACGACAAGCCCUUCGUUUCCGGAAUGUAAACAGCCACAAAUACGAACGCCACGACAGCUAUGGCAGCAAGAAUCAAGAACGUCGGGCCGGUGCCCGUGGCCUCGGCUAUCGACAGAAAGCUUUGAGCUACAAUGAGAUUCGAUAUCCAGUUCACAGUAGCCGACAUCCCUCCGCAGAGUCCUCGGUAGGCUUCUGGGUAUAUUUCUGAGUUCACGGUCCAUGGAACGGGACCCAUCCCCGGUGCAAAGAAAGCGAUAUAAAGAGCCAGACCUAAAACUGCGAGCCAACCGUAGACUCCGGUUGUAGAAUCGGACGGCUGGAGGAUAAAGGCCAUAGCGAGGAUUAUGAGAGAGAUGGUCACUCCAAACAAACUGCUCAGCGCCAGCUUCCUACGACCGAAUUGAUCGAUGAGGUAGAUUCCGAGAACGGUACCUAGGGCUUCAUAAAUGCUACAAUGAGGGAUAGGAGGAGUGCUAGUUGGUUGGAGUGGAAUCCGGCCAUUUGGACUAUAGUUGGGCUGUAAUACAUCACCGUGUUGAUGCCGGUGAACUGUUGGAAUGCCUGCAAAAUCGGAAAAAAAACAGAUAUUCAAACUAUCGAGCCUCAUCAAUGAAUCUUAAUACAGAAGAAUCACACUGUUUCAGUUUAAAGAAUGCAUUAAACAGCAGAUUCAAAACUAUCCUCUUGGAAGACACUUGAGUCUCACCCUUGCAGAUGGAUUGAUUAAUAUUUACAAAAUAGACACGUGCCAUCGACCCCCCUGCCCCCUACCGAUGCAGUCAAAUCAUCUUUACUCUGGAACAAAACUAUAAAAGCCUUCUUAUUACCUGCAUUCCAGCUCCAGCCAUAAAGGCAAGUCUUAGCGGUUUUACUCUGAUGACAUCAAAGUAACUGACUAGAGUCUUCCGUUGGCGCUCUUCUUCAAGUGCAGUGGCAAGUUGAUCGAUUUCCUCUUCCAAGCGAAACGGAUCAUAGAUUUUUGAUAGCACAGCAAUGGCGUCAGAUUUCUCCUUCUGAGAGAAAGUAAGAUGUAAAAUGAAGUAUAAGUAAUCGAAUAAACCUCAAGGAAAUACAAAUGCUAUAGAAACAACGAAUCGUCACCUUCAUGUAAAGCCAGCGUGGAGACUCUGGCAAAAAUAGCAUGAGAAAGAACUGGAUAAUAGCAGGUAACCCGGAUACCCCAAGCAUCCACCGCCAUGUACCAGGAACCUAAAUUACCACGGCAAUGAGUUAAUAAAAACAUUUGUAUCACAUCAUUCAGCAUAGAACAAUUGUUAGAAAGAUAAAAAAACCCCAACAAUUCAGCAGUUUCCAGCUUCCUAACUAUGCUUGCAAACCAUCUGCUAUCCAUAUAUUCAAAUAAAAGAAAAUUAUCACCUACUGAAAUACCCAACACCAAAGGAACAGAAAAUUUGAGCAGGAACAAGAAACGCACAACAAAAUACCGAGUGCCGUCAAAAGAUAAGCAUAGAAAAUUUAAAAAGAAGACCAAUACCAAUCCUUCAAUGUACCGCCUACCUCAACCCCAAAUAACCAUACAGCAGUGGUACGUAUUCCAAGAUUUUUAUGGUCAAUUAAAAACUGAAGGACUUUAAAAGCACAUUUCAAAUCUAAUGUUGAUGUCUUAGCACACUGCUUAUUUUUUCACUGAGUUAUGAAUGUCUUAGCGAUCAAAAAGAGAAGUGCUUUGUUUCUAAAAGUAAUAGGCUUCAAUGGAUGAGAAGUAAUAUUCUCCUAAUACAUCAUAAGUAGGGAGUCCAGAAAGCAAAUCCUAAGUGCUCGACCUGGUAUAAAGCCAGAAAAAUGAGGAGUGUGAACAAUGUGUUCCGACAAGCUAAUAAAGUAUUUUACCAAAAGGAGAACGGGUUAUACUAUAUGAAAUACACUUGAUGAGCUGGCUGAUGAGAUAUAUCACAUACAGAGUACACAUAAAGCAUCAAGUUAUUAACAACUACUGAAGAGAAAGCAUUGAUUUACCAACAUGAAUUAUCACAAACAGAACAAGGACCGGAGAGAAACUACAAUUCCCCUUUGAAAUUACUCUUAGAGGAAACUUAAAUGCAGGUCCCGAGUUCUAUCUUGGAGGUGAAACUUCAGAUCAGCAAGAUGGCACCUUUCAGAACAACAAAGCAGAUAAGUAUGACUACAUAUAAUCUCAUUAUCACAAUGAAAUAGAUGCACAACGCACCACGGGAGUUACCCAACCGAUAUCAACCUUCCUGUUCAGAGUUUACACUCCCUAAAAGUACUGGCAGGAGAUAUGGUUUAAAAUAGAUAGUUCCCGACAGCAUUUUGUCGCUAAAACAACAUUGACUAUAUAACUAAGACAUAUCCAAAACCUACUGUCAACUGUAAUGCAGCUAUUAUAAUUUCAAAAUUCUACUUGAACUAGAUACCAUGCAGCUACAAAGAGAUUUCCUUUUAAUGACAGGCAAUGCAACAGAGUAAUGGUUUAGGCAAAAACGUAGGAAACAGAACUGUGAGUGACAACAUCACAAACUCAUUCAGAUAAUUCCUAUUCCAAGUUCAGAAAAUCUGGCUAAUGCUCCGACAUACAACCUCUCUGAUGUUCUAAGCCCUAAAAAAGUGGGCUCCAAGUAUAACAAGGAUAAAUCCAAAUAGCAUCAAAUGCCCAUAGCCUUUGCCCACACAAUGACCAUCAGGACAUAUAUGAGCCAAGAGGCAGUGCCCAAUAUAUACCAUGGGAAGGCAUAUCCUAACUCAACUGUACCUCAAAAUAACAAAAAUAGAAAUAUGAACAUUUAUUUAGAGAAAGGCCAUAUGAGGAGAUACAUGACCAAGGCAAAAGAUCUGACCUCAGUAAAAGCAAGGUUCACAAGGUAAGAGAGAAACUGUCCACCGGUAAUCAUAAGAACAUUUGUGCUCACUAGGCCACCUCUAAUUUCUGAUGGAGCGGCCUCUGCAAUAUACACGGGAGCAGUGAUUGAUGCUAUACCUACCCCGAGGCCAACAAAGAACCGUCCAAUAAUAAGAAUGUAUGGAUCUGGAGCUGCGGCCAUGACAAUAGCUCCUAGUGCGAAUACAACAUCAGCUGACAGGGUAGCUUUCUUGCGCCCAAAAGCAUCACUAAACCAACCGCCUACUGCAGCUCCAAUCAUGGCACCAACCAAAGCCAUGCUGACGAUUGUUUCCUGUAAAUUUAUUGAUUUAAGAACAUUAAAGAAUUAACGAGCUGAAAAGGCCUAAUGGAGUAUAAGCUAUUAAUAACUAUUAUAAGUAAAGACUUAGUUGAAACUGAGUUUUUUAAUUGAUUUAGCAAAAUCAGUAGAGAAGGAACUCGUUAUAGUCCAGAGUGAAACAGUCCAGUUUCCCUGGAACCAAAAUGUAACCUUUGAGGAAUUGAAGAAAGGGCAAUAUACUGCAACCAUAAAAAAACAAUUUCCACAAUCUAAACAGAGAAGCAGCAUUCCCUCUGCUAGUCACCUCCAGAAUAAUAUUCUCUCUCCAUAUAUAUCACAUAUACCACGCAAGGAACUCAGUUGCACACCUGUAAAAAGCUACUCUGAUCGACCUCCUCAAAUUCAUCACGGAUAUAUAGAAGUGCUCCUGAUAUAACUCCUGUGACCAAAACAGAAACAUCAGAAGAUGUGGAGUGAAAACAUGCUGAUAUUGUGCUAUUCUACGUCAAAACCACAUUCGUAAAAAUAAAACUAAUAUAUAAAAUUAUUUUUUUACAAAACGAUGGUUAAGUUAAAAAGCCUAAAAAGACGAUACACAAGAUAUAUUGCGUGUUAUAGGUAUAGCACAACGGCCCCAGACACUGUAGCCUUCCAUGAGUAUGAUAAUUGCACGAACAAUCUAUACUCUAAAUUAUAAGCUUCAUUUUUUAGAUAGUGAUCGCAAUUAACAAAUAAACAUAUCCUGGAAUCAGAAACAAAUUAUUAUUACUUAUUUUAAAUUUUGCCAUCUCGAUUUAGGAGAAUAAAGCCUUACUAACAAAAAGACGACUGUAGUCUUCCCCCCAGAACACCUUACAAAUGGUCCCAACAAAAUUUUACUAUAUAUUUCUAUAUUCUCUCUCUCUCUCUCUCGUUGCCUAGUGCAGGGUUUCUGGCUCUGUAGAAAUUUAUGUCGUUAUCACUCAGUGCAAUAUUUCUGUAGAAAUUCACGAUUUCUUGCUCUGUAGAAAUUUAUGUCGUUAUCGCUCUCAACAAACAAACAGGGAGAGCCUGACUUGAACCAAAACGCUUCGCUGCAGCAGAUUCCAAAUAAAUUUAAAACGUGAACUCCACCUACAGGCUACAGUUGGCCACCAAACCAAAAUCUGAAGCUCCAAAUUAGAAGUAGACUAGGGAAAAAGUCGUUAGUUACUUUAUUUCUGAAGAAGACAGUUGAAAAACGCACCAAAAUCAAAUAUUUACGUAUGAAACCAUCUUCCAAAAACCGAAAACCUCAGAAGUAAGUAAUUAUUAACUAAAAAAAUUAUACCCACAAAAUCUCAAUUCCAAAGGAACAUCGAAAAUUUCAAUGAACAUGAUUUAUUUAUUUAUUAAAAAAAACGAGAAAUAAAAGAAAAAGGAAAAUGCAUUUCCCGUUUUCCACGAGCUGAAGCUGCCAAAAAACCUAGCAAACGAGAGAGAGAAAUUACCAGUAUCAUAGCCGAAGAGCAGGCCGCCGAUACCAGCAACUACAGUCAAUCCCAGCACGUAAGAAUUGCUGAAAUACGUAAUCUUCCGACGACUCCCACUCAAAUAACCAGAACUCUCUCCAAACGAUUGAAUCGUCAUCUUCCGCUCCAAAAACUCGGCAAUGAACGCACCGUCGGAAACGAAUUCACGGAGAAAUCAGCCACAACCGCAGAAAAAAAACGAAACGGAUGGGCUGAUUCCGAGAUUUUGCGAGGCUGUUGACGCCGCGAUUAAAAUAAGAAAACGAUUUACAAACGAGUAAAUAAUUUCAGCUCGGCCGUGAAAUUGGGGCCCGAAAAUUUGGGGAUUUUGGACAAAUGGAAGGGGAGAUGGAUUUUGUGUGAGACAAUGAAGAAAUGAAACUUGAUUGUUUAUAUUGCGAGUUUUUCCGGUUUGGAUAAGAACCUUAAAAUAAACAAAUAGUAAGAAAAUCGAAUUAAUCCAAAAACAAAAAAACAAAAAAACGAGUUAAUAUUUAAUAAGUAAUUCAACGUUUAGUGGCCCAUUUCCUUUUUAUGGAGCUGCCAUACAAGUCCAAUUUCAUUUUUUAAUUUUUUUUUAAAACGGGAAUAUUUUGGAAAAAGAGUCAUAUUUUCGGAUUAAAAAAAAAAUUACCCGAUUUUCGAAUAAUUAAAAGUUCUUGCUUAUUCAUUUCGACUUUUAACAAUAUUAUUGGAAAAAGAGUCAUAUAUUGUGUUGCAUGCAAUAUUAUAAAAUUAGUCAAAGCCAUUUUUCAUGUAAUUAGAGGAACAAUAAGUACAUUACCGAAAUAUAUGUUGUAAAAGACCACAAGGAUUGGGCUAUUAUUUUUAAAUUAUACUAUUAAUUUUGAUUUUAUUAUAACUUUUUAAUUUGAAUUUAUAAGAAUUAGUCUUUAUUCAUUUUCGUUGUUUACUUAAUUAUUUUUAAUAAACUAUAUAAGUAAAUAAAGAAAUUUAAAGACCGUCGGACAAAAGAUUCGAACCCAAAAUCUCAAAUCUUCGAUAUUAACCUUCUACCGUUACACUAACACAUGCACGCCUUGAUUAAAAAUUUUGAUCAACUAAAAACUAACGUAUCUCGUGGAAUGUUAAUUCGGCAUAAUUAAAUUUGUCUACUUGCAUGGUUGAUCAUAUUGAAUUAUAGGUAGUGGAUAAUGCAUGAGGUGUCCGUAUUAAAAAUUUAGGGUUUGCAUAUGUGUGAUGUGAUUAAUAUAUUUAUGUGUUACUAUGCAUGGUAUUACAAUAAUACAUUGAACGUGUGCCACAUUAUUUAAUACUCCAUUUGUUUUAUUAGAAUAAAUUGAACACGAAGAUUAAAAAAUUCAUUUAUAAAGAGAAAAAUAGUGUGAUCCAUAUUAAUUAAAUAUUAAAUUUUUUAUUCAAAAUAAAAAAAUAAAUCUAUUUUAAUGGGACAUCCUAAAAUAAAAAAUGAAUCAAUUAGAGUUGGACGGCCAAUUGCAAGAAUUCCAGUCUCAUAAGAUGCAAGGUUGAGCUAAGUCUAUUUCCAAAUCUGAUUAGUUGUUAAUUUUUGAAUUGUCAUACCCAAUCAUAUAACCUUUGCGAAACAAUAUAUUUCUCUAUCAGAGCAAAAAGAUAAACUUAAAAAAUAGAAUAGAAAAAAAUUAGUGGCUAAGAAAAGAGAAAAUGACAUGGACAUCACAAUGUAACUUCAUUAUAUUAUAUUAUUUGAUAGCAAAAUAUUAGCAUGUAAAAUCAUUGAAGUAAUCAUAAUAAAGUUCAAGAACGGUGAAAUAAAUUCCCAACAAACUAGAAGAGGAAAUUGAAAACAUUAUUGAAAAAGUAAUUGCUCCAACUUUCAAAAGAUUAUAAAUAAAGCCAAAUAUAUCAAUUCAUUCAAGAUCUAUAAAUGAAUUAUAAAGAACGACGUUUUAAAUAAUUAACUUUUAAAGUUUUAAAUUAAUUUUGAGUCUCAAAGUCAAAUGAAUAUCUAAAUUUAACACAUAAACUCGUGCAAAAUAAAUAGAAGAGGAAAUUUGCAAUAAAUUUAAACAUUGAGACAUUAUUGAAACUCUUUAAACAUCGAAUCUAGCUAGCUAGUAAUAAGAUCCAAAUUUGAGAUUAUCCUAAUUGCAAUUAUUUGAAGAAAGAAAGAAAACUCAACUUGUAAACUUAAAAAAAUGGUAAUAAUAAAUUAAAUUUGACAUUAGGUUUAUUUACCCACUUUUCGGUGCUAAAUUUGGUGAUGGAGCGAAUGUAUAUAUGAAAACGUUGCAACAAAUUAAUUUAUUUUUCAUAAAAAGAUGUAGACCACAAUUUAGAUACCGAUAUUCAUCAUCUACGUUUGUUGUCUUUUUUAUAGUAUAUUUUUUAUUUAUAUUUUUUCUAGUGAGUCCAAAUGUAUGGCUGAAAUUUAUUAUAUUCAUUUUUUUCUCUCUCCUUUGCAGAUUAUUGUUCACGAAAUGUUUGAUUUUGAUCGAUGCAUCCCAUUCCGCUGCACAGCUCAACAUUUUCAAAUCAUUUUUAGACUCUCACGAUAAAUAAAUAUUUAAUAAAAAAAUAAUACUUUAAUACUCCAUCCUACUUUAUAGUCCAUAUUAUUUUUCACACAUAUUAAAAGAAUAUAAUUAAUAUUAUUUGAAAAAUAUAAUUUAUAUGUAAUUAUUUUAUUUUGCCCUUAUUUAUUGUUUUAUAUAUUAUCUUCACAUACAUUAAAUAUGAUUAUUUUAAUAAAAAAUAUCUUCAGUAUAAUUUAAAUUUAAAAAUUAGACUAUAUUUUAAGACAUUCCAAAAAAGACAGAUUGAUGGAGCAGUUUUUUUUUUUUGGGAGUGUGAGUCUAUAUAAUAUAAUGCUCCAUUGCAUAAAUUUUAUCGGAUUUUAUUAGAUUUCGUUAACCCGACUAUGAUAUCCACUUCAUAGGUCGUAUUAUAGUUUUAUUGAAUAUAUUUAGGUUCGUCUGAUACAGAUGAUUUGGGUAUAUAUAUCUAUGACAUUCUAAUAUUUUGUUUGACAAAAAAUAAUGAUUCUUUAUAAAUUAAAAGCCCGAAAAUAUUAUAUUGAUUUGAGAGAUUUUAUAUAUCCUAUACCGUGUACUAAACGAGUCAUAAGUUUUUUUUUUUUUGAGGAAAUGAGUCCUAAGGUUAUGAAUUACAAAAAAUUGUAAGAGAUCGUUUCACAUACAAAUGACACCGAUUCUAAUUCGUAUUUGCGGGGUAUUUAUAUUAUUUUUUUUGCACCUAAUUAUGUUUGUGAUUCUAAAUUUCUAAUAGAAGUUUGUACGAUAUAUAUGUAAUAAGCUACCCAUUUGAAUCCAAACACAAUAAAAUUUUCAAAAACUAUAAUAUAUUACAAAGAAUUGUACAUUUUUUUUGUGGGGCUGAGAACUAUACCAAUUUUUUGACAAAAGAACUAUACCAAUUUUGAAUCACAAAUUAGUAGCUUGCAUGAAUGGGCUCGAUUAUAUUGGACAAUGAAAAUGGGCCGACACAUUAAACAAAUACAAAAGUGCUGCUAUUGGGCUUGGGCUUGGGCUUGGGCUUGUAACUUAAUUGCUUAGAAGAUGCUUUAAAUAUUUAUUUAAUUGGGCAGAAGAUUCUGAUAUAAGAUAUAAAGAUUCAUUAAUGAGCCAAAAAAAAAAGAUACAAAGAUUCAUUAAGCUACAAAAUUCAAGAUUGUUUUGCAGAUGAUUAUUAUUUAAUAAAUAUGACCGAUUUUUUUUUAUCAAUAAAUCUAUGCAGCCACAUUGUGGCUACCCACACACUAAUAUAAUAAGGAUAAUCUUAAUUUAUUUAAUUUAUUUUUUUAAAAUAAAAAUAGGAUUUAGUUAUAUUAUUAUAUUCUCUAUAUUGUACUUAUUUUUUUAAUUUUUUUUUGCAUUUUUUAUUUUUAAUUUAUUUUUUAAUAAAAAUAAAAAAGUUGCCAAAAAAUUGCAAAAAAAAUUACUAUAAUGUAGAGAAUAUGAUAAAAUGACUAAAUCUUAUUUUUAUUUUAAAAAAUAAGUUAAAUAAAUUAAAUUAUUUUCUACUUAAGUAAAUUGUGGGCAGCACAAUGUGGCUGUUUAGCAUUACUAUUUUUUUAUUAAACCCCUCGAUAGUUAAGUUACUAGAAUGGUGUGGCUGUUUAGCAUUACUAUUUUUUUAUUAAACCCCUCGAUAGUUAAGUUACUAGAAUGGUGUCAUGAUUAUCUCAAAAAAAGAAAAAGAAAAAGAAUGGUGUCAUGAUGAGUAUCAAUGCUUUUUAUCAAGUGAUUUAAGUCACAAACUUAAUUAUAAUCCAUUCUAAAAUAAAAGUAACUUCGGUUAAAACUUUUAAUUUUUUUAAUAUAAUAAUUUCGCAACUUUCAAAGUGAAUUAUGUCACGAGUCAUGCCCAAAUCUGUCUUUGUUUAACCUAAAAAAUUAUAGUAAUAAAUUUGUCGGUCACCAGACACGCAAAAUUUUUUAGAGCCCUUUUUCUUUUUAUUAGCUUGAAAAAUUACAAUUUAAGAAAGAGGGACUAUUUUUUUUUAAUAUAAAAAAAAGACGUUAAAUCCGGAUAUUUUUUAUACAUAUUUUUUAAAAUAGAAAACGGGUUAUAUAUGGCCAAAAAAUAAAUAAAUUUUAUAAAAAGAUUGUAAUUUUCAUCUAAACUUUCAAUUAGGCUAAAAAAUAUAUUAAUUUAUAUUUUUAUUACAAUUUUCACUUGAGUUUGACUUUUGACGAAAUUAGAGUUUAGUUGACAAUCGAAAGUCCACCUAAUGUUCGUCUAACUUCUGAUGAUGAUGAGUAUUUAGAAGUUCGGAGGUAUAAGAAGACAAAAAUUAAUAAAUUAGACUUAAUUUCGAUUAUCAAUUAAGCUCUAAUUUCGUUGAAAGUCAAACUUUGCAACAAAAAUAUAAAUUCAUACUCCAUCCGUCCCCAAAAUAAGUUCAUCUUUUUCCAUUUUGGGACGUCCCCCAAAUAAGUUCAUCUUUCUUUCUUUCUAUUUUUGGACAACUACCCCACCACUAAUAAUACUUUAUUUAUUCUUACUUUUCACUUUUUCACCACUCUCAAUACUAAUUAUAACACUCUUUCACCUUUUCACCACUCCCAAUACUAAUUAUAACAUAUUUUUCUCCACUAUCAAUACACUUUACUAUUUUCCUUAAAACAUGUGUCGUCCCAAAGAGAAACUUAUUUUAGAGAAGAAUGGAGUAUAAUUUUUAACUUAAUUAAAAAUUCACGUGAAAAUUAUGAUCUUUUUCAGAGUUCAUGUAUGUUAUUUUUUGCCAUUAACCCAAUAGAAAAAUUUUAAUGGUAUGAUUGGUAAAUGAAAGUGUCGGUGGGGAUUAUACAUAAGCUGGGUGGGCCCCAGCCCCCCCCUAAACCCUACCAAGCUUUCUUUUAUUCUCAAACCAGCCUGUUUCAGUUCCAAAUGCCAAACUCAUCACAGCCGUUGAUUUUGAUCGUGGGUCCCAUCUCAUGCAAAUCAAACUAUGUAGCACGAGGGCAUUCUCGUAAAAUUAGGAUCAUUUGAUUCAUUUCCAACAUUUACAAUAAUUAUUUUAUAAAUGAUGAAAAAUAUGAAAAGCAUUAAAAAAAAGGAAAAAUUGAAGAACGUGAAAGAGACAGCUGAUCUAACUAACACAGUCUGUCGUCGGUGGGAUUCUUUCUCCUCUUCUGUGUUUUCUCUUUGCAUUUCAUCCAAACAAAUUAAAUCCCUAAUUUCCACCAUUUUUUUCUGAUUAUUUCCUCCAUUCUCUGCAAAAAGAUCCAAAAAAAAAAGGAAAAAUUAUUUUAGAGAGAAGAAUCUCGAGUUUUCACUGAGUGUGAGUAAGCAGUAGCUAACCCUUCACUUUCUUUCCCUUUCUUUAAUCUUCAAUGCGUUUGAUGCAUUUGCGUCGAAUUCAUACUCAUUAGUCAAUCACGCACCGAAUUCCAUAAAUCUCCAGCUUUCUUCUGAAAUCACUCGAUUUCAGCGAAAAUUCGACAAUUUCUGAAUUUUUUUCGGUGAUUAAGCAGGAAAAUGGAGGCGAGGAGCGGAGGAUUCGCGAAGAUCGGUCUGGCAAUCUGCGUGAUGGCAAUGGCGGCGUGUUUGGCCGGCGCGGCGGACAAGGAAAUCAAGGUGAGGACGGUGAGGGGGGAGAAGGUGUGCACCCAAGGAUGGGAGUGCAACGGCUGGUCCAAAUUCUGCUGCAAUCUCACCAUCUCGGACAUCUUCCAGACCUACCAGUUCGAGAAUCUCUUCUCGAAGAGGAACUCGCCGGUGGCGAACGCCGUCGGCUUCUGGGAUUACCGGUCGUUCAUCCUCGCCGCAUCCAUGUUCGAGCACCUCGGAUUCGGGACCACCGGCGGCAAGCUCAUGCAGAUGAAGGAGAUCGCCGCAUUCCUCGGCCACGUCGGCUGCAAAACUUCUUGUGAGUUUUUUUUUUUGGAUUUCUGUAAAUGUGCAGGAUUGGGAUGUGGAAUUAAUUGUCUGAGUAGAACAUUUAGGGGUUUGAUUUUAUACGCUGUGGAUGCUAUUAACUUAAUCGAAUUAUUAAAUUUGUAGUAUGAUUAUUAUGUGUUAUGGAUCUAGAUUGUUGGUGUCCAUUUGAGCUUGUAGCUGAUUGUUUUUCUUUCUUUUUUUGAUUUUUUUGGUAGUUGAUGAACAUUUCCAUUUACCCAAUUGAUGUUGACUUGGUAAUUUUGCCUAAGUUGGAGUGAUUCUUCAGUCAUUGUUACUUGGACCUUGGUAGUAUUGACUGAUUUUUUGGGGGGAUUGAUUUAGGUCUGUCGGUGCGAUAAUUUUAUUUUCGUUGCUGUUCAAUACAGUCUACUCAAUUGUGACCUUUACUUUGUAACGUUGUUGGUUAGUUUGUGAAUACUCUUUCUGCCUGCCUAUGUUUUUUGUGAUCGAAAUGCUGUUUAUGUCUAUAGCUGAUAUGAAUAUGGUUGUUACUGUCGAAUAAUAUCCAUAAGAUGUCAGUUUUAUAGUAGCUACUUUAUGCAUGAUGACAUACCAAGUUAGUUAUAAAAGAGAGGAAAAGAUUGUAUGAUUGCUAUGUAUUUCAUAGUCAUGGCAAUCGGUCAUUAUUGGUAACUGCCUUCUCUCUUGACUGAAGAUUAAAACCGUGCAGAAUCUCCACAGCCUUGUUUUGAAGAAUGCAGCUUUAUGUUGCAAUUAUUAGUUAUUACCGCAGUCUGUAAUAUUGAAAACUUUUGGGAAAUUUGAGAUACAUAUUCAGUAUUAUAGAAAUAGGAUUUUGAUUGAGCUGGUGAAUUCGGUGGCUACUGAAUUGGCUGUGGAGAAACAAUAUUGUAGAUAUGAGACAGACUCUUAUACUCUUGCAAAUAUAUCUAUCUUGUGCCACUUUGAAAUAAACAUAUGUAGGGUGAAUUUGUGUCCAUCUUCCUUCCUUCUAGCAGAGUAACCAGUGUCGAAAUAAUGCAGGUGGUUAUGGAGUGGCUACGGGCGGACCGCUAGCAUGGGGUCUAUGCUUCAAUAAAGAAAUGAGUCCCAGCCAAAAAUAUUGUGAUGACUUCUACAAAUAUGACUAUCCAUGUGCUCCUGGAGCAGAAUACUACGGCCGUGGAGCUAUUCCAAUCUAUUGGUACUUCAUCUUUCUCCUGAGCUUUUUUCCUUCUUUUCCCGAAUGAAAGUCCUUGAUUUUUUGGUUAACCUUGUUGCUAUGUAUCAACUGGUGGUAGUGAAUCGAUUGAUGCAAGUGUGUCCGGGUUAAAUGUGUACUUUCCUAAUGCCUACAUACCAAUCCCCUGUUGAUAGUAAGACUAUAAUUAGGAAUCAUUACUUGAUGUCAUUAAGGUUUGUUUUAUUUUUUAAUCUCAUAUUGCUAUGGAUCUGCUAACAUCAUGUAAAAAUCAUUCCAGGAACUACAACUACGGAGCAAUUGGUAAAGGCAUCAAUCAGGAUUUGUUGAACCAUCCCGAAUACGUUGAACAGAAUGCAACGAUCGCCUUCCAGGCUGCGAUCUAUAGGUGGAUGACGUCCGUGAAAAAGAAGCAGCCAUCUGCUCACGAUGUCUUCGUUGGGAACUGGAAACCCACCAAGAAUGACACGUUGGCGAAACGAUUUCCUGGAUUCGGAAGCACCAUGAAUCUUCUGUACGGCGAGCAAACUUGUGGCCAGGGCGACAUUGAUCCCAUGAACAACAUCAUCUCUCACUACCUCUAUUAUCUCGACUUGUUGGGCGUGGGGCGAGAGCAAGCAGGACCCCACGAAGUGCUCUCCUGCGCCGAACAGGUUCCGUUCAAUCCAUCUACUACCAAAUCAUCGUCUUGAAUUCCUAUCUGAAUCUCUCUUAUAAUAAGAUUUGUGUUGGGCCACCUCUCCUGUAUUCGUGUGAUUAUUGAAUUUGUAAUAUGUCGACUGCUUUUGCUCUGCUUCAUUGCUAUAUAUACAGGUUUUGUGAAUUCAAAUUGUUUGUGUUGCUAGUGUAUCAUUAAGGUGUAAUAUUUUAUACAUGAAUGUACUUUUCUCAGUUUAUACUCGAGGACUCAUUAUAUUCGAUUAAUUUUUUCGUUUUGGAGGUGUUUGGUUAUUAUUAUUAUUAUACUCGAUGACGCAUUAUAUUUUAUUAAUUUUUUCGUUGUGGUGGUUGAUUAUCAUUAUGUCUCUUUUUUUGUUUGAUUAACAUAUAAAUUGACAUCUUGAUUGAAUACAGAGCUUUCAAACUCACGUGGUUCAAGAAACUUUAGCCUUUUAACUUCUUCUAAGAUAACUAUCAAUUUCUGCAAAGGUAUAAAUCACAAAAGAGAAGUCUUCUUGAUCUAAAAAAAGAGUCGAUUUUCUUUUCUUUUUGGUGUGUAGAGAAGUAACUAGAGACCCCUAUUUAUAAUACUAGUUGAUGGAGAGUAGUAUUGAAGAGUUUCGAUUGAUAUUAAUCUCAAAAAACCUUACUAUCUCUAGGUUAAAUCUUACUUGUUUGCUUUUUCACACAAAAUUUCUCGAUAAUUUACCAUUUUCAUAGUCACAUAGACAAGACAAGAUAAGAUGUUUGUCUCACUCCAUUCAAUUAUUGAGGUUUUAGAUAAAACAGUGCAACUUAAUUGGAAAGACGUUUUUCCUCCAAUCAAUUAGGUCGGAAGUUCGACUCUAUGCUGAAAUGCUUGAUAAAAUUCAGAAUUAAACACAAACUCAACAAGUGGAAAAGGGAAAGUAAACAAGACGAGAAAAGUAGAUAAGAUCACUUAUCAAAACUCAUACUUGGUUUGGUGAAAGUUUGUUUAACCUUUGAUUAGACUGAUAAACAAAACUAGUGAGCUUAGCCUCUUAACAAUCCUAGAACCCACAUCUAAAUAGUGAUAACAUAAGCAAUUUCCUCAUUCGCGCUCGAGCUGUCCAAAAUACUUGCCUGUUAUGGUCACAAGGAUGUUGAGGACAACAACUUCAUCGUCUACCUCCGCUUUAGCAGCUCGCAAGCUUGCACAUUUUCGCAGCAAUGACCGAAGGGCUGCACUUGUGUCAGCAUGGAGAGGGCAAUCUAGUGCUGCACAGAGAGCAAACAACCAUAAACCGUCGUUGUAUGGUAAUACGUCCAUGUUCACCACGGAGUUUACUCGUUUUUUGAGCAGUGAAGUUCGAGCAGCAGAAUCCAUCUUCAGAAUUGCAGAGAGGGUGGGGCGAUCAACUUUGGGGACGGAGCUUUCAGGAGAAGAUGGGCCGGAUUUGGCAUCACUAGUCUCCAAGAUGCAAGAAUCGUCCACAGAUUCUAAGUUGACGAAUUUCUCAAAGUUAUUACUCUCAACCAUCUGAUUCAAAAAAUCCUCUUUGGUUGAAGUUUCUGCAGUGGGUUCUUCGAGGUCUAACUGCGCGAAAGCCUGAGAGAAAAUAGUUUAUUUCAUUCAUGUCCAUGAAAACCCGUUAACUUACGGGUGUUUGGUGAGCUCCAACAGCUUAUAUAAGCUCCCUAGAAAGAAAAAAAAUCUCAACCCUAACUUAUUCUUUCAUAAUAUUAUAAGCGACAUUAUUUUACAAAAGUAACCCUACUAUGAUUCGUUAUUUUCAUCAUAUAUCCUUCCAAUUUCAGUUCUCUUCAAUUUUCCCUUUUUAACUAGGAUUUUCUCUUUGACAACUUAUAAACUCUCUAAAAUAAACUUAGCCAAACACCCCCUUAGUUGCUCCAAGAUACAUGCAAACAUUGCUAUAAAUAUUAUUUCCUUGAAGGUUCUAACAUGUGCUAAAUGAAAAGAAAUAGAAAUAAAAUGAAAGGAAGUGAGGAGUGCAAUAUUUACCUCUCUCAGCUGUGAAAAAUCAGAAAGAAAGCUGUCCUCCCAUUGUUUGAGAGGCAACAAAUUCUCCGGGCACUUCAUAACAUCAGGAAUUUGAGGCAUAUAGACACUCUGUUGUUUGACUUUAUUGAUCCUGACAACUUUUACCUUGGGAAUUCUAGCAGCCUCCCACCUACAAAACAAGUGACAUCGCACUUCAAGAGUUCACAUCAUCUCAACAUUCUCAUAAUCAUAACAAGCACACAAAAUGAAAAGUUGGUUGAUAAAUACGAAGGUUUUUCAAUAUGAAGUUUAAAGGUAGAUAAGCAAGAGCAUGGUCUACGAAGAAUGUCUAGUAGUCAAAUGUAUAAUCACAAAAAAUAACAAGAGAAAUAAACAUGAAUAGCCAGAGAUGAAGCAGAUAGGUACCUUACACGCCUAAGAUAUUCAAGUCCAUCCAAUGGAGGGCCAGAAUCAAAAUCAGGUUCUCCUGUGACAGAAAAGGCAGGCCUCUGAAUACUGUACUCUUCAUCACUAUCAUCAUCUUCGCAAUAGUCUUCUUCCACUGCCGAGGACCCUCGUUCAUCACUAAUAGGAGGAAAAGAAGGAGGAUCCGAUGCGUUCAAAUUCUCAAGGUGAUCACCUUCAACUUUUGGGCACACUUCACCUGAAAAAUGUAUAUGCUAACUUAGUUAAUCCUUCAAAAUACUUAAUAAAGAUAAUGCAACCAGAACACAAAUCAUUGAGCUGAAAUCAAGGGACCAAACUUCGCAAUUCAAAGCAUGUAUUAAAGAUAAAUGAUUGUAUGUAAAGGAGGUGAAACGAAAUCCAAAUGAUUCUAUCUGAGUCAAUACGUUAUAACUUAUAAGUGGCCAAAAAAAAAAAUAUCUGUAUUCAUAAAACAAGGCAUUCACAAAUCCUACAAACCAUUCUUCAACGCACAAAGAUAAUCAGAUGUUUUCCUUUCCCAAUUGCAGCCAUCACACCUGUGCACAUGGAAAAACUAACCCAUCAAAUUGACACAACCAGAGCAAGACAUCCACAACGUAAAGGAAAUACAAAUAAGAUACACAAAACCUCCCAACUCCAUUAUUUUCCAAGCUUAUACACGAACAAGAAGAUAUGGGAUAAAAAAGGUGGAAUCCACUCAAAUAUGAUAAAAUUUUCCCCUCAUUCUCAUCUCUUCUUUUCUUAUGAUAAAUUUGCAACCAAAGAGAUACUUGUAAUAUAAUCCACCAACCAUAUCACUAAGUUCAUCAUGCACAAUUUCUUGAACGUAGAUAAAGAGGAUACUUUAACAAAAAGAAUGUUCAUUAAAACCACAGCACAAGAACCUUGUUCGAAACGCAAAAACUCCCAAAUAAAAAAGAUAAAUGUAUGAUUCUGAAAGUAGAAGAGCAUACCCAGAUUAGCACAUUUCUGAAACUGAGGCCGAGGAUCAAAGUUGAAGCUCGGGACGCUAUCCUUCUCACGAGCUCUAUCCAAUCUGACCAGUCCAUCAUACUCAUCUACCACUGUCGCACCAAGCCGGCAGUAUAUCUCAAUCCACUUCUUCUUUUGCUCUUCAAGCUCCUCAAACCUUAGAGCCUCGAUCUCCUCUCUCGAAUACAUCAGCCCCUUCUUUUCUCUCCUUUCACUAGGAUAACAAUUCAACCCCUCAUUGUUUCUCCUACCCCUUCCUCCCCUUCGUUUAGGCCUCUUCUCCUUGGGCUCCUGCUGCUUCCAAUUCCUCUUGCUACCACUCUCCUCGUGAUUAAUAAAUUCAGUGUGUUCAAACACCUGAACUUCACUCGCGCAUUUCUUCGAACAGUUAAUCUGCACUUCUUCGUCCAUUUUUUCCUCAAUUCUUUCCACACCAAUCUGCGUCGUUGGAUAAGACGGCUCCAUAUGCAUCGGACUCCUGAACGACGCCGUCGCGGAUGCUUUCUUCAACAGGAACAGAGGCGCUGCUGUUUGUGGAAUUAUCGGAAGCGUCUCUUGCGGCUUCCGCAGUGAAAUUGCCUGAGCCGUUGGAAGAUUGUAGAUUAAUGAGACCGUGAGGCGGCGCUUCCGCCGGAGUAUCGACGAAGCUCCGGUGAACUGCGGCGGCUUCGCGGCCGUCCGAAUCUAUGAGAGUAGAUUGUGCUAACAUCGGAAAAUAGUUGAGCUGUAAUUUGAAAGAAUUUAGGCAAUACCAAAUCCGUAUAUAUAGUGAAUUGGAACACCUCCUCCCAAAAAUUUCGGUCCAAUUUCAAUUUUUUAACAUUUAAAAAAACACACAAAAAAACUAAAAAUACACUAUAUAAUUAUAAUCAUGUAGAUUUUUGUUUAUUGUAAUUACUUUGUUUUUCAGAUUCUGUUUUUGAAUAUUUGUUGGAGUAUAAUUAUAAUCAUGUAGAUGAUAUAGUCUUGAUAUUGUUUGAUUUAUUGUAAUAACGCAUGUAGUAACAAAAUUAUUCCUAUAAUUUUAUUUUGAUCUUCAAGAGAUAUUCUAUGUUUUAAUCUAUUUUAUUUUAAUUUUCAAGAGAUAUUAUAUGUUUUAAUCUGAUUUUUUAUUAUAAAUUAAUAAUUAAAUAAAUAAAUUCAAAAAUCGCAUCACGAUAAACUCAAAAUCCAAACCUUAAAACAUUUAUCACUCAACUAACACACACAAUUCUUGUACUUUCACAUUAAAAUAUGUUAGUUCAAAUGAGUUUAAAUCUCGAUGUAACAUUUUAAAAAUUACUAUAAAAAUGUAUUCAAAAAAAGAAUUGCCACCUAUAUGAUAUGAAAUUUUGAGUAUUAUUUAUUCGAUUAAAGUGAUAAAUCCACUGAAAAUUAUUUCUAUUUACCAGAUGCUAAACUUUCAAAAAUCCCUAACAAACAAACAAACACACUCUAGUUUGCUUUAAGCAGAGUAAGAGCUAAGUGCAGUUACCAAACAGUUACAACAAUCUCAUUAUUUGCUAAGCACAAAUCAAUACAAGUUGCAGCAAAAUUGUUACACAUCAUCGAUGAACAGCUUUAACUAAGUUUCUAAGUUCUAGUAGAUACAAGAUAUAGCAAAGGCGUUUCGCCCAUCGUCGUCCCACUACCAAAACAGAAAGACCAAACGGGAUCAAACUGAAUAUCGAUCAGCAACUCGAGAAGAAGACAAUGCUCCCAACCUUAAGCUACUAACAAGGCAUUCCUUCAAGUGCUAAUUCUUCACUUACAAUGUGUGCAUUACCUUGCUUUCGUUGGGAUCUUCAGUUUUUAGGCGGUUCUUGAACCCCAAGAGCUUGUUGAGGGCGCUAACAUAGGCUCGAACACUUGAGAUGACAAUGUCCAUGGAUGCUCCAGUCCCACUGUUUAUAUAGAAGAAGAAUGGUGUUACAAAAAAAUGACAAUUCAAUGAAUCAAUCUUUUUCUGUUUUAUCAUCCUUUAAAAAAAUUAUUCCGAAAGCUGCAAAGAAUUUCAGUACCUGAAUGCGCGGUUGACAGAUUCUCCUGUGUAAGCAUGGGUUGCUGUUACACUAUCUUCGCCACGAAUUAGAACCCGUGUUGUGGCUAUAGCAUCGAUGCCUUCAGUAACACCACUCAUGGAAUACUCAAGAAGAAUUACGGGAACCUGUGAGCAAGCAAAACUGUAUAUAAGCUUGUUUCAUAUAAUUACACGAACAGCGAACUAAUAAGAGAAUCUCGAGGUCCAAACAUUGAGGUUCAAGUGUUGUCUGAUAAUGAGAUUAGACCCCCUGCAAUGGUGAAUGAUGACAAAUAAUUUCAACCCUACUACAAAUCCUCACAAGAUCUAGCAACAAUUUCUAUAAUACAUGUUGUGAUCCCUAAUUUGCGGCCUGAAGAAGUGUAUUCACGAGUAAAACAAAUUAUGAAACAUAUUUGGUUGCAGAAAAACUAAGCAGCAGAAACUCAAAGCAACUAAUUUUGACGCAUUAUAUAUGUGUGUAAUUAUAUUCACUUUUAUAGCAGCAGAAGACACCGAUAAUGAUUUGUGCACAUUUUCAAAGAUGUCCCCGGAUCAAACUAGAAAGGCAAAACAGUGUACAUCAGCUUUUGAAGUUAUUAACCUUAACAAUAAGGUCAACUGCCUUGUAUGCUGCAUCAACAGGCCCAGUCCCAACAGAACAAGAAAUAUGCUCAUCACCAUUUUCAUGAAUGAGUUUGACUGUUGCGGUUGAAAGGCCAAGAGAUCCACAUGUAACCUGUCGACAAGGUACAAGUAUGGUAAUAGAAUGAACUAUCUCAAUGUACCGCAACUGUAUCUAGUGAUUAACCACUAUGUAGAAAGUUGGAUGUAGACAUGCCUGUACAUCUUCAAGUUUCCAAACAGUUUGUGGCUGGAACACUUCAUCCGAAACUAGGGCUACUAGGUCAUCAUCGGUGAUAUUCUGGAACACCAACAGAAUAUAAACAUGCAGGAAAUAGUGUUGCAAUAUUAUAAGGUUUGACAUAUGUGCAUGUAUAGUUGGCUGAGAAGUACUUCAGUUAAAAUGAGAGAGAGAGAGAGAGUUAUGAAAUAUAAAAAAAGAGGAACCAGUUAUCGUGUGCACGCAUAAUCCCUUUUAUUUAGGAAACCAGACUUGAGGCAUAAUAUGAAACACAUUCUUCUAGUCUUCUACAUCUGUCUUAUCAGAUUUCAGGCAGUACCUUUUUAUUUCCAGCCACAGCUUUGAAGCGUGAAAAUAGAUCAUCAAGUUCCUUUCCAUCAAUAUCAUACCCAAGCUGCAGAUUCAUUUGGAGGAAACAUUGAUGCAUGGGUGGAAUAAUUGCAUAAGCUACUUUAAUAGUUAAUAAUAAGCUCAGGAUUGCAAUUUACCUCCAACAUUUUGGCUUUCAGAGCAUGGCGUCCACUGUAAAAUAAUGCCCCCAACAAAAAAAGAAUAAAACAUUACAAUAAAUACUCCGGGUACAUCAUAUGGUGAUCAGCAUCAUGAAAAUAACAAUGAUCGCGAAAGUAACUUAUAGCAAAAAUGUUAUAACUAAGAUUGACUUAAAGACGAGUAUUGAAAGAUCCUUAUGUUUCUAGAGCCUAUGGAGACGCACACCUAUUAGUUGAGUUAAGUCCAUUAUAAGAGAGUAGUAACACAUGCAACGGCAGUUACAUCCAGCAUACCUGAGUUUUCCAAGCACUAUACCAGAUUCAUUAGAACGAAGAAGUCCAAUAUCUUCAGGAGACAUAAUUUCGUAGGUGUUUCUAUGUUUCAGCAUUCCAUCCUGCAAAAAAACUCAGAUAAAAUGUAUAAACAAUAAAUUUCAGUUACAACUUAAAAUGGUCCAACUCAAUAUUUGCAAAUUUGCAAUAAAUGAAAAAUGUACAUCAAAAUUAAUCAACCAAAGCUAUAAUUUCGAUGUAAAUGCAGAAGACUCUUAACAUAAAAGAAAACCAUUAACCACCAACCUGAUGAAUUCCGCUUUCAUGAGCAAAAGCAUUAGCUCCAACAAUUGCUUUGUGUGGCUGAAUACGCAGCCCACUAUAUUCUUCUACCUGAAACACAGAGUUCAACAAUGUGAGGACAUGUAUGUUUAUAAAAAUGUGAGUAUAUAUCUCAAGAGAAUGACAAGAAGCAUAAAUGAUGCAGAGGAUAGUAUACCAUCUUGCUCGCCAUGACAAUAUGUUGAGUGUUGAUCCCUGUGUAAAGACCAUCAAGAGCUUGCUCUCCACGGCAUUUUAUGGCCAUUACAACCUGCAGUGAAUUAGAAAUAGAAACAUAUUUUCAUUUGGAGGAAAAUAUGGACCUAGACAGUCCUUGAGCCAAUUGGGUGCUUGGACGGAAAGAAUUAUUGUAAUUUCAAGCCAAGAUAAUUUAAAUUAUGACCAUUAAGGACACCUUGUACCAUGCUUCCUUAGAUUUUAAUGAUUAAGACUCAAAACUAACUACCCAAGAUAGAGCCUCCUCCCCCCCCCCCCCAAAAAAAAAAAAAGAAAAGAAAUAAAAGAGCAAGAGAACACACCUCCUCUAAUGACGCAUUACCAGCUCUUUCACCAAUGCCAUUAAUGGUAACCUCUACUUGCCUUGCACCAGCAUAUGCCCCCUGAAGUUGAGAAAAGCAUCAGUGUCAAUCCAACCUGAAUUUUUGUCCAGCACUCCAAGCGUAAGAAAUACGUACCGCUAAAGUAUUAGCAGUAGAAAGUCCAAGGUCAUUCUGGCAAUGUGUUGAGAUAAUGACAUUUUCAAUUCCAGGGGUGUUUGCUUUUAUGUCUGCAAUUAGCUGUCCAAAUUCAGAGGGCAAAGUGUAGCCUACUGUAUCAGGGAUGUUAAGAGUUGUUGCGCCUGCCUUAAUAACCUCUCCCAGAAUUUGAUAAAGGAAUUCUCUGUCUGAUCUGUAAGAAACCAAAUAAAAGAAAGAUGAGAUAACGAAUUAACGAGGUUGCAUUAAGGAUGCAAUAUCUACACCAGACACUCCUCCUUGCCCUAAGUCCCUAGAAAUUCAAAACCUUAAAAUAUCUGUUCCAAUCAGAAAAUUUUCAGAGAUCAUACUCUACUCCGAAUCCCAAUUUAUGAACCUCAAGGUGGUCAGCACCCCACCACACUUUUAAAGAUACAGCUUUACUUUUGAGAUUUUCAGAGAAUAUACUCUACUCCGAAUCCCAAUUUAUGAACCUCAAGGUGGUCAGCACCCCACCACACUUUUAAAGAUACAGCUUUACUUUUGAGAUUGGAACCGACAUUUGAAAGGUUAGCCAAAUACUUUUUUCCAGUCAUUCAAUGGCCAAGGAACAAAAGAAACAUGAAGAAUAAAAUACAAAAUAAAACAUUUCCGCUGCAGAUAUAAUACAAAUCAAAUACUAACAUUUUAUUCCAAUUCAAACAUAGUUCCAUUGGAAGAAAAGAAAUCACACUAUCACAAAUAUUUGAAUAGGAAAUGCUCGACCCCUUAAAUCCAGUUCACAAUGUACUACAACACAAGUUCAUACUCUCUAAAUGCGUUUGUAUGUGUCAUGGUUAACUUUCCUUCUAAAAGCAGCAAUUUGGAUAAUCUGAUUACUGUUGUUAUUUUAGUACUUCCACAACAGUUAAGAGAAAUAAUUUGAGCUUGAAUUGCAGACUUGCAGUAUUCAUUUAAAGCUUCUUCCUUAAUUCUUCCAAUUUCGAGGGGGCAAAACCAAACAGUCAUUUAAUUCAUUAUCAAAUAAUUAAUUACUAAUUUACUGUAACUAAUUCUAGAAGCUGUUUGUGUUCAUCGAGAUAAAUCAAAAUCACAGAAGUAAAUCAAUCCGCGUCACCUUCCCGCAUCUUCGGGGCUAAACUCAACAUCUUCACACCCCAAACUCCGAGCAUAAGCCACCAUGCUCCUCGCCUUCUCCACCACUUGCUCCGGCGUCAUCUUCAGCUUGAACUUCAUAUGAAUCUCACUCGUCGCAAUGAAGGUGUGAAUCCGCGGCUUCUUCGCGUGCUUCACCGCAUCCCAGGACCGCUCAAUAUCCCUCUUAUUACAUCUCGCCAGGCCGCAGAUCACCGGAACAUGAUCGGAAUCCACCGCAUUUCCGAACUCGCGCGCGAUCAAUUCGACGGCUUCGAAGUCGGCUUCGGAGGACGCCGGAAAUCCGGCCUCGAUGAUGUCGACGCCGAGGCGCGCGAGCUGCCGCGCGAUGUCGAGCUUCUCCUUGGUGGUCAUGGUGGCGCCGGGGGACUGCUCGCCGUCGCGGAGGGUGGUGUCGAAGAUGCGCACGUACUUGGGGUCCGGUAUGUGGUUGGGGAUGUAAUCCGGGCGGAGGAGGGAGCAGCGGACGGCGGCGGCGGAGGAUGGACGGCCAUUUCUGAUGAGGUAGAGCGGGCGGAUGGGAUUUUUGUGGGGCGGAAGGUGGUGGGAGGUGGCGGGAUGGCUGCGUGCUUGCAAAUCGAAGACGCCAUUGUUGAAUUGAAUUUGGGAGGUGAAGUGAAGGAUAGGAUUUAUUUAGAGAGGUUAAUGUCAGUUAAAAAACCCUAAUAUUUUUAACAAGGUUUAAGAAAUUUGGGUCCCUGUGGGGUCCGCACUUGUCCUAUGUCGCCUAUCGAAUCUCAUAAUUGACUAUUCUAAUCAUAGUAUUAGAUUAGACAAAUUGUUACUACUUGUCAAUUCUCCAAUGUAUUCUUUAAUUAUUAAUUCUUCUAUUACGAUAAGCUAAUAAAAUUUAAUGUAAGUGACAAAGCUAAAAUAUACAGAAACUCUUUUUUAUAAGAGGUUUUGCAUUCAAUCCAGCUCCUAAUAAUUAGAGUGUUUGAUAAAAAAACAACUUAAUAUUCAUUUUAUUAAACUUACCUACAACAACUUUUCAUGUACAUUGAGUUAAUAAAAGACUUGUCCGAAUUGUAGAGAACAGUUUAUAUAUCAAAAUAUUGAUUUUAUUAUUAUAUAGAUAUAAAAUAGUCAUAAUUUUUUUAAAUAACAUGGUUGUAGAGAUUAAAAAAAAUUAAAAAUAACUAUUUCAUUCGUUCAACAUAAAUGUGGUGUGAAUGAGAUGACACAAAUUUAGGAAAAUAUUUGUGUAUGAAGACGNNNNNNNNNNNNNNNNNNNNNNNNNNNNNNNNNNNNNNNNNNNNNNNNNNNNNNNNNNNNNNNNNNNNNNNNNNNNNNNNNNNNNNNNNNNNNNNNNNNNNNNNNNNNNNNNNNNNNNNNNNNNNNNNNNNNNNNNNNNNNNNNNNNNNNNNNNNNNNNNNNNNNNNNNNNNNNNAAUUCACGUCAAUUAGCUUUAAUUUACCAUUAAAAACUUUUGCAAUUAUAAAUUAUAAUCUAAAUAUAAUUAAUUAGUGAUCUUCGUAGUUACAAAUUGUAGGGAAAAUAAGGUCAAUUCACGACUCAAAAAUAUCGUAUGCAAAAUCAGAUCAAUAGUUUUUUUUUUUGAGAACAAAAUCAGAUCAAUAGUUGAGAAGCUUUGUGAUGGUGAAUUAUAUAUAAAAUGUGAUCAAUCCAUGAUUAAUUUUUUUUUAUGGCCGUGAAUAAUUAUAAUAAUAAAGAUAAAAUUGUAGGAACCAACUAUUUCUCAUCCUUCACGAUAACUAAUUUUUUAUUUUUACGAUAACAAAAGGAAUAUUUUUAUUAGUUGACUUAAAAAUUAAAAAACCCACUACACACUCCUUAUUAACACGAUCACAUCCCUUCAAACCUUGUAGCUGCAAACAUAAUUCUUCACCAUCUAGCCAACUUUUUAUUCCACAAACAAGAAACCAAAUCCUCACACAACCCUCCAAUAUAUAAAAGAGCCUACAGCUUCCCAGAAACGACGACGAAGACAUUACUGAGAAGCUCAAACUCAUUGUUCUCACCUGCGAUGGCGAUGGGCUGCGACGGCGCCAUGGCAAACGCCUUCCGGCACGCAUCGGCGUCGCCGGAGACGGUGUCCGCGCGGACUUCACGUCGCGGAAGGCGCGCGCCCGCAGCUUCUCCCUGGCCGCGGCGAGGGCGCCGAGCGCGGCGCUGUAGUAGUUCGAGCAGAAGCUGUAGACCACCUUCAGAUUGGGAUCGCUGGUUUGGGGGAGGAGGGAUUGGAUUUUGGAGCUCGUUUUGGCGGCGCUCGCCGCCGUCGCGUCGAUCACGAACUGAUCGAGGUCUUGUAGGUUUGCGUUUGCGUGAGGCUGUAGGAGAUUGUAGCAGAAAUUAGGGUUUUUGGCUUGUUUGCAGAUGGAGUCGAGAGGGUAGGAUGAGAUUGGGACUGCGAAGAGGAGAAGUGUGUGGAGGAGGAGGGAGAUGGUGAGGGAAGAGGCCAUUGCUUUUUUUUGAAGAAAAAAAAGUGUUUAUUGGAAUUGUGGGUGAUUUGUUUUUGUUGUGGUUGAUGGUUGAUAUAUAUAUUGAGGUAGGUGUUGAGAUUAUUUAUGCAUGGAGAUUUGGGUUGUGAUUGUUUUGGCUUUUGGGUGGAUUGAGGUAAUUGGGUUACAUAAAUGAUAAAGCUCGUUGAGGGAAAAUAAAGGAAAAGAGUAAUUAAUUUCAUAUGCUGUUAAAGUCAGUCGAGAAUCUCAGCUAUGAAGCCUAAAAUGAUACUCAAUUCAUCUAUAAAAAAUAAUCUCUUUUUAAUAUUUUGAGAAUUUCAAAAAUUAAAAACAAAAAUUUCUGCAUAUAUUAAUUAAGUUAUUUUAUUCACGCACAAUACAAUUAAUUAUCAUUAUUAACAUAAGAUUCUUUUUCCACCUACAAUAUAUUAACCAUUUUUAUUUAAAACNNNNNNNNNNNNNNNNNNNNNNNNNNNNNNNNNNNNNNNNNNNNNNNNNNNNNNNNNNNNNNNNNNNNNNNNNNNNNNNNNNNNNNNNNNNNNNNNNNNNNNNNNNNNNNNNNNNNNNNNNNNNNNNNNNNNNNNNNNNNNNNNNNNNNNNNNNNNNNNNNNNNNNNNNNNNNNNNNNNNNNNNNNNNNNNNNNNNNNNNNNNNNNNNNNNNNNNNNNNNNNNNNNNNNNNNNNNNNNNNNNNNNNNNNNNNNNNNNNNNNNNNNNNNNNNNNNNNNNNNNNNNUGAGUAAUAAUUGAGAGAUGCACAAAAUUCCUACUUUUCACUUUCGUGUAACGAAAUCUCAAUCUCAAUCUCAAUCUCAAAUUACAAGUAAAGAAAUAUUUCUAAUAUAAACAAAUAUACCUAAGGUAUUGGGCAGGGAAGUGCGAGAAUUUCAAAAAAUUUACCUUGAUUUUUUAUAUUUUAUUGAUUGGGCAGAUAACUUGAUCCAUUUGUGUAACCUAAUUAUGCAAUCUGGAAAAAAGAAAAAACAAAACAAAUAUUCAAGCGAAAAUUAAGAAACCAGCUCUUAAUUUUGCAAAUAGACUUUAUAAAGGCGAUACUACGAGUUCACAUAAAUUUCCUUUUUAUUUUAGGUUGCCUUCUUUUUUAUUAAAAAAGGGUGGAAAAGUAUUUGCACUAUUUUUCCAUAGAUAAUUUUUCAAAACAAUAUUUUUUUGUUUACUUUCACUCCAAUUCAUGAUAGUAUGAUAUGAUAAUAUUUCUUCAUAUUAAAGAUUAUUUUUUCAGCUUAAAAAACAUGAAAUAGAAAAUAUGAGACCACUAAAAUGUGAUAAUUUUUUUGUCAUUUUUUUUAUCACUUAUUUUCUUAUAAUAAAUUUACAAUAAAAAGAACUCAAUCUUAAUUUAUAUUUAGAUGAGUGUAUUUAAGUUCCAGCAGUUACCAUGUAAAUAUAAGGAUCAGAGCGGCCUCCAGCUCCAAAUCUCUUCACUGCUUGCAGCUUCAGCAACCUGUUCAUAACAUACAAGAUUUAUACUAGUAAUCAAAUUCACAGAAAGCAAAUUCAAAUCAAAUGAAGAUCUAAAUUCAACAAACUCUGUGAUGUGAUGUUAUAAAUCCAAAGAAGAAGUAAAGAAGUUCCAAGAUAGCUCAAGGAAGUCAUCAAAUUUAGUGUAUAUCUAUCUAGUUCUCACAUUUCCCCUAAUGUUCCAGAGUCAUAAAGAUCAUCUAAACCAUUGUUGCUCAAAUUUCCCAAUUAAGUUAUAGAAACUAACAAUGCCAAUGAUCAAAAACAUCAAAGUUUUUAUAAGAAGGGUUCGAUUGAUGAUACUCACAUUCGCAAGGCUUUGCUCGUGGACGGGCUGUCUCCGAGCAACUGACGAAUCAUCACUUCAGAGGCACUUCCAUCAGCAAGAAACCUCAUAAUGGCUGCAGCUUUGUGGCUCAUGUGACUGGGGAUCACUGGCUUCCUCCCCUUAUCAGCAGCACUAGUUUUACUACCAAGGCUUUGCCCACUGGAGUUGCUAGAAAGGCAUGAUGAAGCCUCAGUUGUUAUCUCAGAAAAAGUCUCAGACGACGCAGAAAAGGCAGGAGUUGCUACUGGCUUGCUGCUGGUUUUCGGUUUCUUGCCAUUGGAGAUGUAGAUGCUUUUUGAACGUUUCUUCUGCACUAUCUGCAAAAAAAGUAAAGAAGCAUUGCUUGUGAGACGAGAUCCAAAUUGAAUGUGCACUUUAGUUACCAAUGCAAAAGACUGUGAGCAGAGCUAAUGAUGUUUCAACAUAAUAUGUAAUCUGUGGGAGAGCAUAAGAAAACUUCUCCAAGUUAUAGCAAGAAAAUACACAGAUAACAGAUAACUUCUUGUGAUGAGGUUUGAAAUGUUCAUUGCAGAUUUAGAUACUUUUUGAGCAUUUCUGACGCACUAUCUGAGGAUCACUUAAGCCAUUUACAUGGAGGAGUGGUGAAAGAGUAAAGAAGCAUUGCUUGAGAGUUGAAAUCCAAAUUGAAAGGGCAUUUUAGCUACCAUUACAACAGACUGUGUGAGCAGAGAAAAUAAUGUUUCAACAUAAUAUGUAACUGCAGGAGAGCAUUAGACAGAGAACUUCACCAAUUAUUGCAAGAAAAAUCAGAAUUAAGAGAUAAAUUCUUGUGAAAGCCAGAAAUGUUCUAAAAACACAAUUCGUUUGAAUCUAAGCAACAGAAAAGGCCAGCUAAAGCUGAACAUACUUGAACUGUUACAAGCAAAGGAAACUCUUAACGCGGAAGGAAAUUUGUAAGGACUAAGAUCAGAACAUAGCACACAGUCAGAAUCUUCACUGAUUGAACAAAUAACGAUCUCAUUGUUAAAAGAAGGCUUAAAUAAUAUGCUCAAAAUAGCGUCCAUGAAUUCGAAAACACAGUAGUUUUUCGGGAUUUAUUCAUUUAUAAAUACAUCAUCCGUUUUACAUGCAUUUCAAUUGUACAAACCGCAGCUUCACAUGAGAUCCAUACCAAAACCGGAGAGGACAGAUAGUACUAAAAUAAGAGGAGAAUUAAAUAUCAAUUUACAAUCAAUCGGUAAUUUUCUGAUAGAUUUAUAAUCAAUUGGCAGUUCAAAUUUGGCAAGUAUCAUCAGAGAUCACGAACAAUCAGCUCAUCAACUUGACUUGAGCUUCAAGCUCAGAGGAAAGCAAAUCUGAUCUCAAUCAGCUACUAGCAACAAUACAGAAAAUCGAAAUUGUAGUAGUCUAAUCCAAAUGACGCAGCAAACAGAAAUUUCAAGCUCAAAAACACCACAAGCAGCUGAGAUCUCCACAAAACCGAAGCAAAAUGAGGAGCAGAAGAUCACCUUCAGCUUCAGAUCAUGCGAUCCGGACACAAACGCCGCCGCCAUCAGCUGCUGAGCGCUCGACGAUUCAUCAUCCACACUCGCCUCCACCUCGGCUGGCGAUCCGCCGCUUCUGAGGGCGGAAAUCGCCGUGCUCUCGAGGCUCUCUGGACUGUCGCCGUCGCCGCCGCUCAUUCCGCUGCGAAGAAAAGAAAAGAAAAAAACUCAAGUCAAAACCACAAUCAACGAUGGGAAUUUAACUAUCAAAAGCAACACCGAGGAAACAAAACGAUCAAUCCGAGCUGAACGGCGAUUGAAUCCCUUACACGGAAGGACAGGAGGAGAGACUGAGAAGCGCGGAUGCGACGCUGCGUUCGAUGUUUGAAGGAAAUGAAACUUCCACAGUUUUGGACACCAUUUUUUGGUUUUUGCUUUUUCGUAUUUUGAAAAUGGCGGGACCGUUUUGAAUUCUGAGCUUUUCUUUUUCCUUUUUGGUUAUUUUCAGUUUCUCUCAAAUAUUUAUACUACGUAUAAAAUUUUGCUGUGAGUACUUACUCUCACCACACAAAAGUAUAAAUGCAUACGCAUGACCACAUAUGGAAAAUUUUCAUUGGAAACUCAACUAUCAUUAAUUUUUUUAUUUUGCAUACAAACUUUAAUUAUUAAAUUAUUUUGAUUAGUCAAUUAUCAUUAUUCAAGUAACUUUUCACAAAUUAAUAGCUAAUAUUUCCCACAAAAUCUUGGGUGUACCGUACAACCGGGUUGACCCAUACCCAAAAUAGUGUUAUUUAUAUGAGUUGGGUCAGGAUAUGGGUUCAAAUCAGAGUGCGGGUCAAAGUUUAAGUGAAGGUGUGAUUCGGUUGUACGGUACACCCGGGUGUACCCAAGACCACCUCAAUAUUUCCUCACUCCGCCAAAAGUAUAUCACAAUAUUGUUUUUUCCCACGAAAUCUAAUUUAAAGACAUACUCCCUUCGUCCCAUGAAGCAUGACACACUUCUUUUCGGCACGAAAAUUAAGAAAUUGAUAUUUUAUGUGUUAAGUGUGGUAGGUGAAAAUGUGAAUAAAGGGUAAUUUUUUUGUCAUUUUUAGAAACAUGUCAUGCUUCGUGGAACAGACCAAAAAAGAAACUGUGUCAUGCUUCGUGGAACGGAGGGAGUAAAUUUUUAUUAUCUCUUUUGUCGUGGAUAAAUUUAUCCAUGAAAGUAAAACUUGUUACUAUGACACAACUCUUUCUUGUAAUUAUUAUGGAGCUAAAGCAAGAAAUGUUAAGCCCCAAAUUCCAAAAAAUAAGUAAAAAAGAGAACAAUUAAGCUCAAGAGCGUAAACUGUAUUGAAACAUAAAAACGUUUUUGAAACUUAAAAUCGCAUUUCCAUCAUCAAAGACAAUAUGAAGAAGUUCAUAGAACUUCCCAGUGAAAAUGAACUCAUUGUAUUGUAUGAACAUAAUUCUGAUCUCCCUAAGGUAUCAUCAUUUCUCUUCUACAACUACAACAAAAACCAUACAGAAAAAGCAAAAAGAAUAUAUCAAAAAACUCUAAAAAAUAAUACUAUAAAGAAAAACUACAAACUAAAAUCAAGUUCAUCCGAAAACUCAGUCAACUUCCAUAUCAUAAACUGCUUCAUUCAAGAUCUGCUGAAGUUCUUUCACUCGUUUUCGCGCUAAUAUUAUGCAAUCCUGCAGGCAACAACAUUUCUUAUUAACAUCUGUCCAUUUUGAACAAGCAUUGCUACAUGAAUAAAUAUAAAGCUUAAACAUGCUUUGAUAGAUUGGUCCAAACAACGACAACAUCAAACUGGGAAGUGGGAUCAUAUAUAUAUCGACUUAUUUCUCAUUGCAAACUGGAAACUGCUAUCCGAAAGAAAUGAUCUUACACAGUGUUAUUCAAUUUAACACAGCACACCAAUGCUUCUUCGCCCAAAAGAUAAUUAUUCUGAUAUAGAAAUGAUGAAAGCACAGGAAAAAAACGAGGCGAAAUUCACCUGGAUUGAUGAUGUGCUUGCUAGACCUGGUCCACCUGGUUUAUUGAGAGACACGAGCUGAUGAUUCGUAUCCAGCACGACUGUCAGGUACGUUUCCAUGAUGGACUCUUCCUCAGAGGUCGGAUCUGCUAGAAUGUAGUUCUUGUGAAGAAUGCAUGUUAAGGAGAAUGGCGACUGUUCAUCUUAAGCUUGAUCUUCUCCUCAUUUACAGGUUUCUUUUCCUUCUUUGAUCUGCCAUUCUCCUCAGACACAAGAACUAUUCUCCCAUCAUCAUUGAGAGAGACUAUUGGAAUUUGCACUGCAAGGUGGAGUUUCUUUAGAAUGUUGAUAAUCAAAGCAAAGAUGGUAGACUUUAUCCGUUUAUCGAGUGGAGUCCCCAGGUAAAACUUACAAUGUGAGAAGGCAGCCACUGCGGAAAGCAAUGCUGCAUCAAAAAGGGCACCAUCAGCAUCCAAACAGUAUAUGUCCUGCAAGAGUCAUUUCCUACGGUGUUAGGUGAUGAUAGUAGAAGCAUGAACCCAAAAUUCAGCUAGUACGGAGAAAUUAAAUGAUUGAAUGAAUAUACUUUACCAGAUAGGCCAUCCAAGCAGCCUUGCCGCUAACCAAACAUAACUCUUUCAGAUCGAUCAUGCCAGAACUGCACAAUUAUAGGCAAUGAGAAAAUUUGAUGGUAUGAUACAUAUGUCAACUUUUCUGUUAAAACAAAGGAGGAAUCGUGGAGAUGUUUAAGCAUAUGAUGCACCAAUGACAUGACCACGCAUACUCAUAUAGAUUAUUAUGACAUGUCAAAAUAUGAAUGUAAGAAAGAUAGGCACAUAUAUUUUAACAUAAGUGGUAUGAACCCGAAGAUCUAUAGAUUUCAAUUAACACUUAUAUGCAAAUAUUACUAAUGAACAUAACAUUCUAAAUGAUUUUUUUUCUAUCAAGACAGAAUCGAAUCAUUUUAAGUGCCCAUACAUAAUCUAUAUAAAUACAUAUAUUAUCACAACUACUACACUAUUACACUAUUUUGUGUGUGAAAUGUGUGUGUAUCUGUACAGUAAGAACAACGUGCAUGAAUUAAUGAUGCCAAAAUAGUGUCAUAUGAUCUCUUGCCUCAGUAUGGUGUCAGACAACUGCUUCGAUAUCACCGGAGCCAAAUCUGCAGGCCUGCCGGGGCGAAUUAGUGGAGAACAAAUUGGAGGCAUGUGGAAGUCAAUGGCUGCAAAGAACAAGUAUCAACUUACUAACAUUAUUAGAAGAAAAGAAUGUUUAAAAUGCGAUAAACUGAUAGUACAAUAAUAUGUUUACCUAUGCAUCCCUCAUCAGGUGCCUCUAUAGUUGGAGUCAUGACUUCCAAUUUAAUGGCAGCCAACAUAGUCUGAGGAUGAUGUAGAACUUUGAAUUAGUGCUCACAAAUAACUCAAAUAGUCUUGAGCCCAUAAGAAACGACACACUUACAGUGCAUCCUAUCUUUGCUAGAGCUGAUCCAUUAGCAGAUGCAACAGCUCCUAGAUUUACAAAUGUUGGAUAUUCAGCAAGGGUAUCAGCUAUCGGCAGUAUAAUAAAUGAGAGGUAACAAAACAGAGUGACAAACCAAGACUAAGCGUAGUCUCUCUAGCCCUUCCAAGGGGACGCCCGUCGGGCCUUAUAGAUUCAAGAAGAUGUCGCUCGUGAAAACGUAGAGGAAAAAGGCGUCGAAAAGCAUCCAGCUCCAUCUCUGAAGACAAAUCAUUGGUUCCACUCGCAGCAGCCAUGUUCUUUCUUGUUGUUUAUUCUGUUAAAACAAAAUUGUACCAACAGCAGCAGAUAAACUAAUCAAUAAAUGAUUCACUCCCUCAUUUCUGGAGACAUUUACGUAAGAACACAAACAAUUUUACCGCCAAAUUUUGAAUUGGGGAUUUCAUUUUGAGGCAGCAAUAUAGCAGAACCAGCAUAGGAGUUUGUAAGUAUUAGUAUAUUUAUUGUAGAAUCAGUAAUCAAAGGCCACAAACAAUUGCACUACCAAAUCAGUUUUGUUCAAAAACUACAAAAUUGUUCACUUCACUUACACAUAUCAGUUGAGCAAUGAAAGAAUAAUACAAAUAAUUAAAAACCAUAGAUGCAAUGCGAUACAAAAACCGUCUGAAUCAGUUAUAUUUCAAAAUACAAAAUCAUGAAACGAGCUUUCUCGUUUAGCGCCUCUUUAUUGUACGCCCGUAAUUAUCAGCAGUUAAAUUUUCAAAACUAAGCUUAUAAAUUCUUAUACAUCACUCGAAUCUGACUCUGUUUCAUUUUCCGGUUCCCUUGAAAAAUCCUAUUAACAAAAAUAUGUCACCUCAGUUCUGAUUAUAAGCGAUUUACACCGUCAGAAAGCUUUGAGGCGGAACGGCGGCGGCGGCGGGAAGAGUGAGGAGGAGCGGCGGCCGGAAGAGUGGUCGAGGCCGAGCUGCUCUGGACUGAGGUACUAGGUUUCGUGUGAGUGUGAUGAAUUAAAAAAAGAUGUAGGUUUUUUUUUUCCUAGUGAUGUUUGGGCCUAAUUUUUUCGGCUUUUGAAAUAUUUUUUUACUAGUAAUUGGGCCAUUUAUAUUUUUAUUAGGAUUAAUAGUGUUUUAUGUUCCGAACUUUCAGCGUUUUUCACAAAAUGUUCCGAAUUUUCAUUUUCUUCUAAACAAUCCUCAAUUUUCAAUUUUUUCCAUAAAAUGUCCCACUAUACAAAAUUCGGUGACAAAAAAAAUGAAUUAUCUCCCCGAAUGAAAUAUUUUGGGGACCACUAUUGUUGGAAAAUUAUACUGAGAACCACCAUUGUUGGAAGACGGUGAAAGUUCGGGAUUUUUUUUUUAUCAUCUUUAUGUCUUCAAAUUUUGUAUAGCGGGAUAUUUAUGAAAAAAAUUGAAAAUUUCGGAUUUUGAGAAAACGCUAAAAGUUCGGGACACUUUGUGAAAAAACGCGACAUAAAACACUAUUAACCCUUUUUAUUAUCCACAUUUACGUCCACUACAUUCUAUGUAAGGUUAUUUAUUGCAUUAUGCAUGUAUUCGUAGUGUUAUUAUAAUAUGAUGAUGAUGAUUAACUAGUAUUUUUUUUUUUUGCGGUAUUACGGUUACUCAUAUUAACCGGCUCAUAUAAUUGUGCGGGCUUGAGUUUGGAUACUAGAAUUCGAUUACAUUUGGAUACGAGUACCCACAUUUCGGGUUUGGGUUAAUCGUACCUGACCUAUUUAUCAUAUCAUAUAAAAACAAUAUAUAAAAACUAACAAUUUAAAUAAAUAGUUAUAACAACUAUUAUAUUUAUUAAUUUUUUUGAUAAAUAGAUGUUCUAUUUUGUUAAUCGUCAUAGCAUGGGAUGUAAGUAAAAAAAAAAUAUUAGUGUUGAAACUUGAAUGACAAUCUUAUAUCAAAUGAAACUAAUGCCACUUUACCAUUACUUUGGUUUUCUUGCACGGUAAGAUUUUUCUAACCGUUCCUCAUACCAAAAAAAAAUGCACCACAAACAGUAGUAAAUUGAAAUAAAUUUAUUCUCUAUGUCUCACUUUAAUAAUUCAUAUUAUUUUUUAUACAUAUUCAAAAAAUACAUUUAAUAAUUUUUGAAAAAUAUAAUUUAUAUAUAAUUUUUCUUUUUUACCCUUAUUUAUUGUUGUUAUUUUAAUAAAAAAUAUAAUUUAAAUUCAGAAAGUGGACUAUAUUUUAGAAUAUCUAAUAAAAAAGGAAAUUCUGAAAAUAAAAUAGAGGAAAUAUAAAUUAUAGUAAAAUAAGUUAAACUAAAAAAGUGUCAAAAAUAUUUAUAUGUAAUUUAACCCUGUGUUCAAAAUUUAGAUGUUUUGUUGUACAAUUAUUGGGCCUGUUACAUUUAUGGGCCUUCACUCAAUUAGCUCAACAAAAUCAACCCAAAUCUACGGCUCACACAACUACAUAUAAACCCUCAAUCUAGGGUUUCUGCGGCUCUCUCUCAGCAUUCUCGACUCUCUCUCACACACUCGUAGCGGUCGGCCGAAGCUUACUCUCACACAGCGACAAUGGUGAAAGGCCGCCAGGGGGAGCGCGUCAGGUUCUCUCUCAAUCCGAUUCAUUUUUGCCUAAUUCAGUGUGAAUCCAAUGCCGAUAUCUAGCUCAAUUUUGAUUUUUGUUCUUAAACAUUUCUUCUUGUUCGGAUCGUUUUAAUGCAGGCUCUACGUCCGCGGGACUAUAUUGGGGUACAAGAGGUAAAAAGAAGCUACAAUUUUGUGUUUGAUUGAUGGAUAAUAAUAUUAAAAAAACUCGAUUCAGUGUGUUUAUUGCGUGAAAUUAUAGGUCUAAGUCGAAUCAGUACCCAAACACGUCGUUGAUUCAGAUCGAGGGCGUCAACACUCAAGAGGAGGUGGCGUGGUACCGCGGGAAGCGCAUGGCGUACAUUUACAAGGCCAAGGUGAAGAAGAACGGGUCUCACUACCGUUGCAUUUGGGGAAAGGUCACGCGGCCGCAUGGUAACAGCGGUGUUGUCCGCGCCAAGUUCAAGUCCAACCUUCCCCCGAAAUCAAUGGUGCGUUUCUCUUUCAAUGAAUUUUUGUUGUUGUUUGCAGUGGAUGCUUGAUGUGUGAUGUGUGGUAAUUUUGUUUGUGUGACAGGGAGCUAGAGUGAGGGUGAUGAUGUAUCCUAGCAACAUCUAAGGUACGGUUCUCAUAUGUUUGGCGCUGUUUUCAGCUCGUAUUGUUAUCUGAUGUGUGAGUGGAAAAUUGUGUUUUUGAUGUGGCGGUUGCUAUGUUACCUGCUGAUAUAGUUUGAUGAAAUAACAUGAUAUGCAUUUCUUAGACAUAAUUUGAAUAGUGUUUCAUUGAACUGGAAGAGAAGUUCUUGAGCAUCAUCUUUCCUACUAAGACAAUUUUGUGCAUAUUUUCAAUUUCUGCAGCUCUAUAGAUUAAGUGUUUUAAGUUUAUUUUGCAUGUACUUAUUCCAUCUAAAUGGUAAUAGCACCUGAGUGGUUCACUUGAAGAUUUUGUUCUGUUGUAGAGAAAUUUAUUAGACAUCUAUAACUUGAAAACAGUUUGGGUCUUGUAACUUCACUAUUGUUACCUUCACCAGUCAUCCCUUACCCUCUACAAAUUUUGAUUAGGUCUGAUAUUGGCUUGAAAUAAUGUUAAAUCUAAUGAUUACUUACAAAAAUAUAGAAAUUAGAGUUUGGUAUAAAGUUCUUGCCACCUCCUUUGUAGUUCAAGAUAUAAAUGUGAAGACACUCUAAUUUCAAGAUUCGAUCCUCCUCUAAGCUAGGUUUUAGAUGAUUCAACCCACUAUUCAAUACACGGAGACAGCUUUUCCUUUCUAUGGAGUGAGUAAUUGUUCUCAGUUAUCUUUGCUUUCUCACCUAUUUUUUAGGGCAUGGUUGUUAUCUUGUAUUAUGAACUGCACGAGAGCUUUUUUUGUAUUAUUUUUAUUGAUAUUUGCCUAAAUUUGUUUGAUUAUUUUGCGCAGGCGGGAUCGUUUGCGUUCUUGGAUACCUCAAAGUGAAGCCCAGUUUGUCUCGGAUUUCUAGGUGGCAUUUUGAGGUAGGAAAGUUUUGUAUCAUCUUAGUCAAGUUUUCUUUCACCUUUUCGUGGUGCACUGAUUUUGAGAUUGCAAAUGCACAUCAUUAAAUAGAGUUUUACAAGUUUGCUGAAAGCUUCAGCUUUUCAUUGUUGUUUACAAUUUCAUUAUGCAGUAUUCAAUUUAACUUUUGAUGGUCUUAUGAAAGCUGUAAUUUCUAAUAAUCUUAUGUUUGAAAUAAUUUAUUUGGUGAUUUUCCUGGCAUGUUGAACUUGCAUAAGUAUGUCUCAAUUCCUAAUUUGCAGUGGAAGAAUUGCUAAUUAAAAUUGUUACCACACAUUUUUCUGUAACCACACAUUUUUCUGUAACCACCACUGUCGUAAUUUGUUACUUAUGAAUUGCAAUAGAGGUACCAUAUUUAUUGGAGACGUAUACCUUUUUAAUAUGUUGGUGAUAUAUUAGUUGAUUCUAAUGUAUCUUAUUCACUCUAUCCAUAAAAAAUACUAUAGUUUAUUUUUGUCAUUUUGGAGCAUUCAUAAAAUUAGCCCAUUUAUAUUUUUGAAAACAUUCAAUCACAUUUUUGGAGACAUUUUUAGUGCAUGGAAGGAGUAUUAAAUUCUUACUAUUUAAGUGUGUUUUUCACACAAACGAACUUGAACGAGCUUUUUUUGAGCCGAGCUCCGAAUAGUUUGCGAGCGGCUUGGUUUGUUUACACCUUAAUUAUAACAUUUUUUCACCUUUUCACCACUCCCAAUAUUAAUUAUAACAUAUUUUUCUCUACUAUUAAUAUACUUUACCACUUUUACUUUACCACUUUUCUUAAAACACGUGCCGUCCCCAAAAAAGAACUUAUUUCAGGGACGGAGGGAGUAUUUACUUUUAUAUAAAGUAUCAUCUGAUUUUAUAAGAAAUAUUAUUUACGAAUAUCAUUUGUAUACAAUAAAAAAUAUUAUUUUAUAUUAUUAAAAGUAUCAUUUGUUGUUAAUAAAAUAUUAUUUCUGUUGAUCGAAAAAAAUUGAACGAAAAAAAAUUAAAUGAAAAGAAUAAAGGGCGGGUGAAAUCGGGUGUAGAAGUGUUGUGGGCCGGGUUGAUCCGUCCGCCCAGGAAAGCACCUCAAUUAUGAAAUGUAAAGUUAGAGAACAGUAGGGUUUGAAAAUAUCAUUGACGAAGACGAUGAUGAUGCGGUACAAGUUGGGUAGCACACAGUACCACCAUUCAUCAACCAAAACAAUUCACAAGUCUGGUAGAAAAUAAGAAAGCAUACUUAAUAUUUUGGGAAUAGCUUAACAGAGGUGAUCUCCAGGGUGAGCACGAAGAUUACCAAAAUACCCUUUGGGGUUACUCUCAAACACGCUCCUCGGCAUCCUGCAGUUCCGGCCUGGGGCUUUCAUCAUCCUCACCCCCCUUCCGCCGCCGCAGCAGCAGCGGCAGCAACACCGGCAGAAGUAAAUCAGCACCGUCAGUAGCACGGCGGCGAUGAUCCACGGCAGAGCCAACUGGAACCAGCGGCUGACCGUGUCGCCCCUUGUUUCCGGCGGAAACACAUCAUCGAACCAAGCCAACGCCUCGCCGCCGAAAUUCUCCACCGCAAGCAGAGCUUCCUUCAGCUUCUCCACCACAAACUUCAUCGCCUCCUCCACCCCCAUCUCUCUCUCUCUCUCUCCUGUUUGUGAUUGUUGAGAGAGUGGUGUACUUAAGAGCAAAAUUUACUGCUUUAUUAAAACAGAUCUCGCGUAACUUUUUUUUUGUUUUUUUUUUAGGAAAUCUCGCUUAACUUUUUUAUUUUGGAACGAAAAUCUCGCUUAACUUUAAACAUACCUAAUUUCUUUAUUAAAUAAAAAAGGAAAUUCAAUAUCUCACUUUAAUUGACUCAAUGAAAAUUGUCUUUUACUAAAAAAAUUGUCUUCUACUAUAAUUAAAAAAAAUUAUUAGUAACUAAUUCUGACUCAUACAACUAUUUAUAAAAAUAUUCUCCCUCUGUUUUUUUUUUAAUUAAAUGUUCUAUUUUAAUAUUUUUUUUGUUUCAUAAUAAGUGUUCCAUUUCAAAAUUUGGGAGUAUAUUUUUGAUAUUUUUUUAUUUUAUUCUUAUUUAAUAUUUAUUAGUAUAAAUAAUUAAUUGUACAUAUGUAUUUAUUAUGAUAAAUAAUAAGGUUAUAAAUAUAUUUUUGUAAUUUUAUUGAUAUGUAUAAUUUGAUUGGUGGGGACAUUUAAUAAAAAAUAGAGACGCAAUAGCUCUUUGCGAACUUGAUUUGAUGUUGUUAAAUUGUGGUGUAUAUUCCAUGUUUGCAUGGGGCUAUUUGGCAAUUAUACCAAAGAUUAGGGAGUAGUUGGCUAAUAUCAAGGAUUUAGGUAUAACUAACUGGAUCCUUCCAUUUCUGCAGCUCGGCUUUUAUGCGCACUAGUACGCCCGCUCGUGCGAUGCACGACUAAUAUUAAAAGUGAGUGAUAUUUUAAAUAAAUAAAUAUACAUAUUAAAUGUAAGUAAAUAUAAUUGAUAUUGUGUAUAAAUAUAAAAAUCAUCAAAUAUCAAAAGCAAGUAAAUGAUAAUGAGUAUCAUUAUGUAUCAUAUAAUAUUCUAAGAUUUACUCCUAUAAAUUUAUACAAAUCUAAAUAUCACCUUUAAAAAUUUACUUUUAAGCUAAAGAGUUCUAAAAUGAACAAAUUAUAAGUUUAAUCUUUUUAGUCGCAUAAAUAUUAAAAAUGAUGUCUAAUAAAAAUACUAUAAAAAUAAAAUAAAAUUAAUAAAGAAAAGGGAAUGAAAUAGGGAAAAGAUAUAACCGUGAAAUUCAAAAAAAUGGAUUUAGGAGAGAGAAGAUGAUAGAUGAGAGAUGAGAGAGAAAAAGAAAUAAAUUUAUGACUUUAAAUGAUAAUAACUUAUUUAUUUUAAAUUUAUUUUUUGUAAUUUUUACAUCAAAUUAAAGAUCUUUUCAUUAUCUUUAGUUUAACAUCCAUAUUGAAUAUAUUUUUAUGAAUUAAAAUUGAUGAUUUUUAAAAAAGAAGACAAAUUAGAAAAAAAAGAUGAAGAAGAGAAAUUUGGUGGGAAAAAGUUUACGUUAAACUGGUGUUUUAUAUAUUAUAUAGAUUUAUUAUCACCAAAUAUGGCGAGACACGCAACAAAUAGAGAUAAAGAGAUAAAAACGAUACAAUUCUCAAAUACAAAUAGCCGUUCUUCCAAAUUAAAAUCUCAAAUAUUCUCACUCUUUCUUUUUUAUUUUUUUCUUUUUCUUAUAAAGAAAUCGUCUAUACACAACUAAAUUAUUACAUGACACCAAGCAAAUAAACUGAAAUAGACCAUUGAAAAUUAAACCGCAACACUAUACAAAGAAUUCAACUCAAAAUUCUUAGCUACAAAACUUAGCAGCAACAAAAUUUAGCUCCUCCUGAUCUAUCUCCACAAGCAAGUAUAUCUGUCAAGGACAUAUUUUUUAGUGAGACAAUGGAAUUCAAGUAACAUGGCACUGAAAAAAAAAUAUUUCAAUUGGAGGAAAAACUACAAUACUAUAGGAAAGUAAGAGCUCAUAAACAGAGCUAACGUUUCUUCGUAAGUAUUAUCCUUCACAUCUCUUGUUGCAAAAGUUCAAGAAAGUGAAGAUCGUUCCGAAACAGAUUGAAGUCCAAUUGACUGACACUAAGAUCUAAACUAACAUCUUACAUGAUUACACUAAGUGAUUUGAUGUUCCAAUGUCUGUAUAUGAAGUUGCGUGCGUGUGUUGGUUGGUAGUGUGGUUUAUCGCUUGAGGCUAAAGGUCUCGGGUUCGAGUCCACCAUCAUGCGGUCUAUAAAUUUACUUGUUUAUUCGUAAAAAAGAGUCUAUCUACAAGAAACUGAAAUAACAUCCCGAGAAAUCUCAUUUUACUAGAUUUCUAACCAUCUAUGUUCUUCAAGUUAUACAUCAACGUAAUCAUCUCUAAGAAGUAAGAACAAUAUGUGAGUCAUGUGACACUUUCCAUUUAUGACAAAAUUCCCAACAAAUUUGGAAUCUCAAUUAUUUGGUUCUCACAAACAAUUAUAUGUAAAAGAACGAGGAACGCAAGGAGAUACCUGUACAGUUUCGAGCUGACCUAGCUCCAGAUAAACGGGUUUCUAAACUGAGUAGCCAUUGCCUCUGAUAGAAACUUAACAAGGUUUUCCCUCUCAACUUCUUUUUCUCUCUUGAGCUCUAGAUGUCGGACCUAAGUCAUGAGCUAGAAAUAUUAGAGGUACAUUGCAAAAGACCAAUGCUAAGUGUAAGAAAGAAGCCAUGAUAGUCACAAAUAAGUUAGACUCCAACCUGAACUGAGCCUUUUUGGGAUACACCGGAGUCAGUGAUGACAACAAGACAUUUGAUAUCAUGCUCGCUUGCAUAUUCGUACUGUUCAGUAAGGCUUGGAUCACGCAACGGGACAAACUCUGCCUGUAAUACUUGCUUUCAGUAACUAUUAUUUGUGCAGCAGGAAUAUAAAAAAUUCUUGCACAAGAUCCGAUUACUGACCCUGAUAUUCUCCUCCCACAAUUCGGCCACCAGUUCCAUGCGCUCGAACAAUAAACCACCCCCUCCUCUCGAACAGACAAGAAUAUUAAUGCCUAUGUCAUUUCUGUUCACGUUAUAAAGAAAUUCCGACACAUUCAGUAGAUGCAUUAAAUAGGAACAUAGUCGGCAACAGCAGUGGAUCUAUAGAAGAAAAGAUUAUCACCUAUGAGAUUUAUUAUCAACAGAAGAAUGUAGCAAAAUAGUUUCUAGCGCAAUACUUGUUCCAACUGCACUGGGUGGACUUGAUUUCUGGCAAAAAGAUAGGAACAAUCAUGAGCACCUUUCUGCUAGGAACAAGUAAAUACAUCUAUAGUGUUCGAUGGAAACAAAGAAAGUGGGGAGAGAUGCUACAUAUAAAAUUUUAAUUAUUUGAGCAAGACCAUGUAGUCAAUCAAACAUUAAUGAACUGUCUUUUAGUAUAAAAAUAUGAUACUAACAUGAUUGAUGCGAUAUUCUAUAACAAAAUAUGUGAUUAUGGUGUGAUAUUCUCACCAUAAUCGAACCAAGGAUGCAAGCAUGGGAAUAUAAACUUCAGAAGACCUACAUAUUCAGAAUCAGCCAUCUGCUGAAGCAAGUAAUCAUAACGACCACCAACAGCAAGCAGGGUUCCCUCCGUUAGUGCUACAGGAUUGUUAUCCUUUUUGAGAUAUAUCUGCAUUAAGAAAUUGAGUAUCAAAGAACUGUUUUUAUCAUGUUUUAACAGAAAGUGCUGCUCAUCACCUCAAGCAAAUAACUUCAACAAGUUAAGAUACAAAUCCCAGUUCAGGAAGGCACAUCUUCUGUCUCUUUUUAUUUGACUAUCCAAAUGACCAAGGACAAAAUAACUUGCUUGUGAUUCAAGCUUUUACGGAGAGAAUCUAUGGUUCAAGCUUUUACGGAGAGAAUCUAAGGCAGGACAUCCAAUACUCAGAAAUGAAAGAAAUCUAGAUUUUUGGCAGACGAAAACUUUAAGAACUUAACAUUGAAUGACAAAGAACUAAGCAAGUACGUAUCUGAAAGGAAUAUAUUUGCAUAAGAACUUGUACUAGUACCUGGAAAUACAAGUUCCUGUGAUAAUAUUCGGUAGGUGGCAUAAGUGCAUCAACGAAGACAUGCCUUUCAAUCUUCCAAACUCUCAAGUAGUUGAAAAGUUCGGAAACCUCAUCAAGUGCCUUACGUAUGGACUUAUCUGCAAUCGUGAUCAACCACAACUUCUGCUAUUGGCUGCUUUCCAAAGAUAUAAAUAUUUAAAUAUGAAAGUUUCAGUUAAAGCAAUUAACUAGUGAAAAGAUACCUGCAGGCAGGGCACCUCGUAGUCUUGGAAGUGCCUGUUCAGCAGUUCCACAGAACCUCAAUCCCACAGUUUGUAAUCUAUUUAAAGCAUCAUCAGAAAGAUCAAGUUCCUGAAAUUAACAAAGAAAGAAAAUAUUCGAACCCUCAUGAUUCUUGAAGUUGAUAGAACAAGUGUGCAACAUUCAUAGAGAAAGAGCUUGCAGACCUGUCGAAGUUGGCGCCUGAUAAGCACCCAUUUUGACUUCCUUUCGGAAGACUGAGGACGCAAGGAACCCAAAAGUGAGAGAAGCUGCAACCAUACAAAACAAUUAAUAAAUACGUUGUCAACAUAGCUUAAUCAUCAAUAUCCAUCUAACCUCAGCUACUUUCUGUCUAUUUUGAGGUUUGAUUCCUGUCCAAGUCCAUAUUGCCUCCAUUAUGUCCCCAUGAUUUAGAUGAAUGUCACAUGAUUCUGAAUUGAAAAAUUGAGAAACAAUGUCCACAGAAGCCUGCAAUUGAACAACAACAAAAGAAAAACUUUGUAUCUUAUUGAUCACUGACAUGAUCAGGGUUAUUAUCAUUAUGUUGAUAUUCAUAUUAUGGACAUGUGUUAUAUGCCAAGUGUAGGACCUUUAUGAUCUCUGCCUCUGUCAAUGCAGUUGCUCCUCCAACAAUAUCAAAAUCCCCCUGUAAGAUUAGGAUUUAUAGCAAAUACGGCCAUCAUUUCCUUUACCAAGUGGCACCAUGGUAAAUUUUAUAUGCAAAAAAAAUAAAAAAAUGACCUGUAAGUACCGAUUCGGAGGUGAAUGGCCAAUUGCUCUGCGGUAUACAUAUGAUAUUUCGUACCGCCUGAAAAAUGAUUUCUGCAAAAGAUAGAAUAGUUAAUUUCUCCACGAAAGGAUCUCAAACAGAAUAUCACAAGUGCUGAAACAAAUGAUGAAAAUAAUAACAAUGACAAACAUAAAGAUAAAAUAAAAGGAAAACUACAGAGCACCAAUUGCAAAUGAUUGAAAUGAAAACAUGGGAUAUACAUCUAAACAUGCAUAUAGUGUUUUUUUGAAAGGUUCAACUGGAAUGUAGUAAUUAAAGCAAGACUGGGAGACCACUGGAAUAAUGAGAAAAAGGACCCAGAAUCAGGAACACCCUAAACAAAGUAAAGAUUAUAAUCCAAGUGUUCUGUAAAAGAUGAAUGUAAUGGAAUGGAAGAAAAUAAAGCAGAAAAUCCUGCUAUGAUAAUGCUUCAGUCAAUUUAUGAAAGUUGUGAGAACACACACACACA
rnacentral:lncRNA from 1 species